rnacentral:lncRNA from 1 species
AGUGGGACUUUGAGUUAUCUUUUUAACAGCUUUGUAGGCGCAAGAUCAUUCAGUGAGGUAGUGGCAGAGGCGAAAGAAGCAGGUUAUACUGAACCUGAUCCAAGGGAUGAUCUAUCUGGAGCAGAUGUUGCCAGAAAGGUACUGUAUGCAGUAAUUGUUUGUUUUGUUAUUCAAAUUGUCGAUAAUUUAGGGAUUCUUAGCUAUUUUCUUGUUAUUUGAAUAAAAUAGGAAAAUACCAUAAAUCAGGAAGUAGAUACACUCUGAUUUUAUGGUCCUAAAAAUUAGCCCUAGAAUUGCUCUCUAGUUUUCCUAUUUAUUUCUAUCGAUCACUGUGUUUUGAAUAAUAAGGAAAAGUUUUAUAGCUUUGUCUCUCUGUUUUUUCCUUUUUUCCUACAUGGUAUCAGAGCUUUAGGGUUCGGCCAUGAAUUACAAAGCAGCCAUGGUUGGCUCUAAUUCGGCUUCCUCCGACGCUAACAGCACUGUGUCAUCCUCUGAAGGGAUUUCCCAACCAUCCCCAAUUGUGCCUAUUAGUGAAAACACUUUACAAAUAACCAUUCACAAGUUAAAUGUUAAAAAUUAUUUAGAGUGGUCGCAGUCUGUGCGUUUGGUGAUUGAUGGCAAAGGCAAACUUGGAUAUUUAAAUGGAGAAAUUCAACCACCAGCUGCUGAUGACCCAAAAUUCCUACAGUGGCGACCCAGAAAAUUCAAUGGUUACCGCUUAGCUUAUUAAUUCCAUGGAACCUUCUUUGGGAAAGCCGUUCAUGUUUUUGCCAACUGCUCGUGAUGUCUGGGAGGCUGUUAGAGAGACAUACUCUGACCUAGAGAAUCAUUCUCAAUUAUAUGAAAUUAACACUCAGAUGUGGCGGACGCAAAAAGGUGAUAGAGAUGUAACUGCAUAUUAUAAUGAUGUGAUGAUUUUGUGGUAGGAAUUGGAUAUGUUUGAAGUUGAGGUAUGGGAGAGUCCAAAUGAUAGUGCUUGAUACACGAAAAAAGUUGAGCAAAGUUGAGUGUUCGUAUUUUUGGCAGGACUAAAUACAAACCUUGAUGAGGUUCGAGGACGAGUUUUGGGGCGAAAACCUCUGCCCUCUAUUAGAGAGGUUUUUUCAGAGGUUCGUCGCGAGGAAGCUCGAAGACGUGAUGUUAAAGCGAGUAGAGGAACCAAAGACUGAUCUUGAUGGUUCAGCCCUUGUAGCUCGUGGUAAUGAGCAACAUGGAGAUAGACGAGGAGGCAAACAAAGGCCAUGGUGUGAUCAUUGUCGGAAACCGUGGCAUACACAAGAAAGUUGUUGGAAACUCCAUGGAAAACCUGCAAAUUGGAAGAAGAAAUCAGGUGACGAUGCUCGGCUAGCAGGAGAUACUCAUGCUUUCCAGGUUAGCACCACUAAUCUAGAGCAGCAGUCAUCCUCAGAAUCUCUUCUUUUUACUAAGGAACAAAUGAAGCUCCUGUACAAGAUGUUUCAAUCCCAAUCCGUAGGAAAUUCUAGUUCAUCUUGUUCUUUAUCCCAAUUAGGUAAUUUUUUCACCACAGCCUUUACCUGUAUCAAUCCAAACACCUCCUGGAUAUUAGAUUCUGGAGCAACUGGUCAUAUGACUGGGUCCUCGUAGUUCUUUUCUUCUUAUUCACUUUGUGCAGGAAAUCAAAAGGUCAAAAUAGCAGAUGGUUCCUUUGCAAUUGUUGCAGGGAAAGGAAAAAGUAUUAUUUCUCCUCUUCUUACUUUGAAAGAUGUCCUUCAUGUUCCUCAUUUGUCCUAUAAUCUCAUCAGUCAGUAAAUUAACUCGUGAUCAUAACUGUCAAAUUAAUUUUUGGUCUUCUCAUUGUAAAUUUCAAGAUUUAACCUAGGGGAAGACGAUUGGGGAUGCUAGGCAAGACGGUGGCCUCUACCUCUUUAAUAAUGGUUCGAACUUUGGAAGGCAAGACUAGCAGACUUGUUUUAAUUCUAUUUCUAUUUCCAGUAACAAUGAGAUUAUGUUAUGACAUUUUUGGUUAGGACAUCCAAGUUUUGGAUAUUUAAAGCAGUUAUUACCCAAAUUAUUCAUGAAUAAAAAUGCUUUCAAUUUUCGAUGCGAAGUUUGUGAAUUAGCUAAACACCAUCAUGCUGUUUUUCUGCCACAACCAUACAAAAAAUCAAAACCAUUUAUUAUGAUUCACAGUGAUGUAUGGGGCCCUUCUAGAGUGGCAACCUUUUUUGGAAAACGCUGGUUUGUUACAUUUAUUGAUGAUUAUACUAGAGUUACUUGGGUAUUUCUGCUAACAGAUAAAUCUGAUGCCGCAAGUGUGUUUAAAAAAUUUUAUACCAUGGUACAAAUACAAUUUCAGGCUCAGAUUAAGAUUUUUUGGAGUGAUAAUGGCAAAGAGUUUUUUAAUCAUGUGUUAGGGAAUUUUUUUGAUGAGAAAGGAAUUAUACAUCAAAGUUCUUGUAGCAAUACUCCACAACAAAAUAGAGUGGCUGAAAGGAAGAAUAAGCAUCUCCUUGAAGUUGCUAGAGCCUUGAGCUUCACAACUAAAGUUCCAAAGUAUCUUUGGGGAGAAACUGUUUUGACAGCCACAUUUUUGAUAAAUAGAAUGCCUACAAGAACUUUGGGGUUUAAGACACCAAUAAAUCUUUUCAAUAAAUGUUUUCUAGCUUCAAGGUUAAUAACAAGUAUUCCAUUAAAAGUUUUUGGCAGUAUUGCUUUUGUUCCUAACCAUGACUUUAGAAGAACAAAAUUCGAUCCAAAGGCACAUAAAUGCAUUUUUGUAGGCUAUCCUACAAAUAAAAAAGGUUAUAAAUGCUUUGAUUUAGUUUUGAAAAAAAUGUUUGGUUCUAUGGAUGUCAUUUUCUUCGAAGGACAAUCAUACUCUCACAAUUUUCAUUUUCAGGGGGAGAAAAACAAUAGUGAAAAUGAUAUGUGCUUAAAUGAUUUUGACUUAAACAUUGAAUUUGAUUGUAUUAGUAAUGGUGUUUUGCCUAAAGAAAAUGAGAAAGGGAAUCUAAAUGAAUUAAUUGUUGAAAAUUCUGGACAACCUUUGUUAAUGCCAUCACAUAACCAAAAUUCUGGAAUGUUAGAGACGUGCACGAAAUUGUAUAAAGGUCUUGUGUAUUCAAAAGAGUACCAAGAACAAAAAAAGAAGAGGAACACUGUCCUACAACAUCACCAAGAAUCUGACUAGAGGUUGGAUCAUGAAAAUUCUGACAAGAAUCCUCGAGGUAAUUUUGAGUUAAAUUCCUCAAAUCAAAAAGAUAUUCCUAUUGCUCUUAGGAAAUGUGUUAGGUCUUGUAUUAAACAUCCUUUAUCCAACUUUAUUUCUUAUACCAAUGUGACCCUUUCCUUUCGUGCCUUUAUUUCACAAGUCUCUAGUGUGGUUAUUGCAAAUAAUGUACAGGAAGCUCUAAAGGUUCCUGAAUGGAGGGAGGCUAUUUUUGAGGAGAUGAGAGCUCUGGAGAAGAAUGCUACUUGGGAAAAAGUUGAUCUACCACAAGGAAAAGCUGCUGUUGGUUGUAAAUGAGUAUUCACUGUGAAACAUAACUCUGAUGGGUCCUUAGAACAAUACAAGGCUCGACUGGUAGCAAAAGACUAUACACAAACUUAUGGAAUAAAUUAUUCUGAGACUUUCUCUCCAGUGGCUAAACUAAACAAUGUUCGUGUUCUUUUGUCAAUUGCUGCAAAUCUUGACUAGUCUCUAAAUCAGUUAGAUGUAAAGAAUGCUUUCCUCAAUGGUGAUCUUGAAGAGGAAGUCUACAUGAAGCCUCCAUCGGGUUUUACUGAGAAGUUUGGAUCCAAAGUAUGUAGACUUAAAAGAUCAUUAUAUGGUCUUAAGCAGUCACCUAGAGCUUGGUUUGAAAGGUUUACAAAGUUUGUGAAGAGCCAGGGCUAUAGUCAAGGACAGGCAUAUCAUACUCUCUUUACAAAAGUCUCCACCAAAGACAAGCUCUCAGUUUUAAUCGUUUAUGUAGAUGAUAUAAUUCUGACAGGAGAUGAUACAGAAGAAAUGAGUCAAUUAAACCAGUGUUUAGCUAAGGAGUUUGAGAUAAAGGAUUUGGGGCAAUUAAGAUAUUUCUUGGGAAUGGAAAUUGCGAGAUCAAAAAAAGGUAUAGUGGUGUCACAAAGAAAGUAUACCUUGGAUCUCUUGAAAGAAACUGGUAUGAGUGGGUGUAAGCCAGUUGAUACUCCAAUUGAAGCAAAUGUGAAGUUUGGAGAAGUGAAAGGAGGAGUUCAUGUGGAUGCUGGCAGAUAUCAAAGGUUAGUUGGGAAGUUGAUUUAUUUGUCUCAUACUCGACCUGAUAUAGCUUUUACUGUAAGUAUGGUAAGUCAAUUUAUGCAUUCUCCUUGUGAGGAACAUUUUGAAGCUGUUUCGAAUUCUUUGUUAUUUAAUGUUAAGGAAGCUCAUUGUGCUGAGCUUAUGAAGAAUAGAAAGGUGAAGAAGUUGUUAGUCUCAGCAAGUGAAGUUAGUCAAUCAUGCCAGCUCAGCAGUGCCAAGUCAUCAGAGUUAGUUAUGAAAUAGCAAGUUAGCACAAGUUGUUAAAAGUCUGUUAUUAAUAAUUCUUGUGUAUACAACUAACUCGUGAGGAGUAGACUUGAAGAGUAGGACCAAAGAAGAAGAAUAUAACAAAAAGCGGGGUUAGGCUACCCCCAAAUUGUGAAAAACACAAUGCCAUUUGCUGCUAACCAGAAUACUUUGUUAUAAAUCUAAAGGCUGUCCUUGAUAACUACCGAUUAUUGAGUUUGGACUUUAGCAAUUCGAAUGGAGAUGAGGAGUUUUUUUCAUGAAAUGGAGGUCAAUUUUCAUGAUCAAUUGAUUUUAUAUAAUUUUGUACUUCUCUUUUAUUCUCCUAAAAGUUAACAGGGUUUGGGGUGAACUUGUUUUCAAGACGAACUUUGGGACUGUAAGUUUUUACAUAUAUUUCAUCUUUUACAUAAAAGAAAGAUGAGUAAGUGUUUAUAUAUAUAUAUAAAUUUUUUUUCAGUGCUAAGAUUCAGACUCCCAUUAACUAGAAAUCACAAAAUUCAAGUCUCUGUCUCAAGACAUUGUGCAUAAGAUUGAGACUUCCAUUUUGAGCGUGUUUAUAUAUGAUUAAGAUCCUCUUCUGAUAUGAAUUUCUACUAAGUAGAAGUUCACACGUUGAUCGAUAGUUAAAAAAAUAAAAAAUUAAAAUUAAAAUUCUAUCCAUACACUAUUAUUAUAUGACACCUGAAAUAAGAUCUUUAAAAGCUUAGGGGAACUCAGAUUAAGAGAAGAUUCUAAUCUAUUUAGAUAUUUUUGUGAUUUACUACGCUUCUCAUCAAAUGACUUGGCUUUGUCAGAAUUUGAUCUCCAUUUUGACUCCAGGAAUAUCGAUAUGCAAUGGUAUGCCAGAUUUGUUGAACUUCUUUCUAAGUUCCAUUAGUUCUCUAGAGUGUUGGGGAUGGUAUGUUUGUUCAUACUUAACUAUUAUUGUUUAAUAUUUAGUGUUCUUUCUUAUAUGUGAAAUUUAAUUAUUACCAUUCAACCUCAAGCUCUCUAACUUGUUACUUUUAAUUUCUUUUUUGAAGAAUGUGAUUGUUCCUAGAGAACUAUGGUCUAUGGCAAAGUAUGCUCCCCCUUAUCCGAUGUCAAUCUAUUGAAAUUUACAAUAAACACUUGUACGUUUCACGUUUCAAAGAACUAGAAACUGUGCUUUCUCGAUACUCCGUAAUUAACAUGAAAUUGUCUCGAAGCAUCGUAGAAGGUUUAAAGAAAGUAUAUACUAUUUUUUAAAAAUAAAAUUUAAUGUUUAAAUGAAAUUGAAAAGGUACAGAACUUUUUGAUAAAAAUUCAAUUAGAUAUCACAAGUAUCAAAAGGCGUUCAUGUUUUAUACAGAUUUAUAAGGAAAAAAAAGUUGACAAAUUACUUUUAUAUGUAAUCUUGAUAUUACAAAUUUUUAAUAUUAAAUAAUUACAUUAGAACGUUACGUGUAUGGUAUUAAGAUAACUUUUGAUAUUUAUACUAUGUGUAUACUUGAAUUUUUUUCCGAGCUGAAUUUUUUUCCAAGCAAUUAAAAAAAAAAAAAACUCUAGUCUCAUAUUUAAAAUAUCAGUGACUUGAGAGUUUAACUCAAUUUACUUGACCAUUGAAGAUAGCAUUGGCAGAAUUCCUUGAAUCUCGAUCACAAAAUUAUAUAAUGUUCGACCAAAUUGAAGCUUUGAAUUUGUUGAUUUCUAAUGAGUUGGAAUUUAAUCCUUUGUAUUGUUUCCAUAAUUGAAUCUCUGUUUCAUUGCAGCAUUCUCUCAUUUUGCAUCCAUUAUUACACGUGCGAGUUUUUGGGUCAUAAUUGAUGAAUUGCUUGCUAUGAGUGAACAAUAAACUAAUAUGCUCAUUGCAAUAUGACUUAAUAUAUUUUUCUUUUAGUAGCUCAAAUAAGCUUCUUCUAAAUUAUAUAGGAUUGGUAAAAAAGUUCAGGCUGAUAAAUUGGUAAAAAAGACUCAGCUAAACUUAUUCUAAAUUAUAUAUUUUUCACCAAUUUGUCGUAAUUUUUACUGACCUAUUACCGACUACUCUAGUCACUCCCGCGUGCUAUAUUUCUCAUUCUCAAAUCUCAACCGUUGGAUAUUAAUAUCCAACGGUCGUUUAACUAAAGGACAAAUAAUGGGGUUUGUUUCCCUAAUGCAAUGUAGUCGUUGCCAAUUUAUAUAAACUUAUUUAUAGUUCUAUUUCAUAAACAAUUUCUUGGAAGAUGCUCGAAGGGCAGUUUUCUAGCCUAUUGAAUAAGCUAAAGAAGCACAUUAUUUUCUAUGAUAGUGAUUGCCAUGUGAAGAAUUUUAUGAUAAUUAACAAUUCCUUGGAUAAUUAAUUAAGGCUAGUGGAACUUUAAGACGAAUAAUUAAUUACGCAAGUGGAAGUUUAUAUCGAAUAAUUAAUUAUGCAAGUCGGUCAACACUAAGGCUUGCUUUAAUCUGGAAUACAAUCAUAUAACAGAGCUGAGGAUGAGGAGCUAGAAGUUGCAUGAUUUAGACUAAGGAAGCACAUAUCCUGUAAGUGUAAAUUUUGAAAGAAAGCUUGAAUGUUAAUUUUAUAUGAAUUCUUUGCCUUUCCUUAUAGUUACUUAGAAAAGAUUUGCUUAAGUAGAGGUGGGUACACACACUCUCCAAUCAGCAUCCGAAAAAAUUUUCUAAUUACAUUUUGGGAUUUAUUAAGUAUAAUUUUUUUUCUUUUUGGUAAAGAAAGUAAAUAAGAAGCUGUGGACCUGUUUAUUUUGUUUAAGAAGAAGAUCGUUGAUUUCGAAAUCAGAAGCACUCUGUUAUUAACUUUUAAUUAAUAUUAGUAAUUUUUUUGUCUUCAAACAAUAUUUAAAUACAAUUUGUUGUCAAUUAAUUUAAUUAAUUGAAAAAAAGGGCAAAUAUUCAGUUUCUGUCAGCUUCUCUCAAUCUCUCUCAAAAUUUAACUAGAAAAUUACGAUCUAUGCGCAAAUAAUGUAUUAGGAUUAAGUAUUCGCCAGGUUCUUUGCUUAUAUAUAAUGUCAACGCAUAUUAGUUGUAACCUUAAUGUUCUUCUUAAUUCUUUCUAAACGACAUGUGGGCACACUGUUUUUUUUAGUUAUAUAAGAUCAUUUUAUUUAUUUUACUUUCAUUAUUUAAUAAUUUAUUAUAUACUGAAAUAAAAAGUACUACUUUCUUGAUAAUUUUCAAAAUUUUUAUUGAGAAAGUUUCAUAACACAUUUAAUGUAAGUAAUAGUAUAAAAUAUCAAAAUUCUAAUAGAAAAUAUUUUAUUUAAUGCAAAUACAGCUUAUGUAAUAUAAUAUGGCGCACCAAAAACAUCCGAAAUUAAUUAUCACUUGAUAUGUACAUUAUCCUUUUCGGGUGCCCAUAAUUUUGGAUGAAUCAUGUUGUCUGCAUUGUAUUGUUCCAAGAAUGUCACAUUUUUUAUUCUAAAUUUCAGGACAAAUAUAAUGGCUUUCACGAGCAUCCACACCAUCUCUUAUGGGAAAUAUGAUGCAUUCUUAAGUUUUAGAGGAGAAGACACUCGUAAAAGCUUCACAGGUAAUCUCUAUACGGCUUUAAAAAAUAAAGGGAUUUAUGCAUUCAGGGAUGACAAAGAACUACAAAAAGGAGGAUCCAUUUCACCAGAACUCCUUAAAGCAAUUGAAGAAUCAAGAGUUUCUAUUAUUGUUCUCUCAAAAAAUUAUGCUUCUUCCACUUGGUGCUUGGAUGAACUUGCUAAGAUUGUUGAAUGCAAAAACAAAGAAGCUCAAAAUUCUCCAAUUUUCUAUGAUGUGGAACCAACUGUGGUGAGGAAACAGACAGCAAAUUUUGGAAAAGAUUUUGCAAAAACGAAGAAAAUUUUAAGGAUAAUAUAAAAAAGGUGCAAAAGUGGAGAGACACUUUAAAAGUGGUGGCCAAUAAAUCUGGUUGGGAAUUGAAGGAUAGGUAAUCAUUCUGACUCUCAAUUAUUAUCAUUUUUUUGGUUGUUCGGCAUGAUAAGUAACCACAAAACAAAUUUUAGUAUUCAUGAUUCAACAUUGUUUUCAAUUAAACAGCUUCUGUUUAAUACGUGUGUAUAUCAUAUGAUGUGUCGUUAUUAAAAUAGUACUGCUAUAAAUGAACUAAUAUUUGCAAAUGAAUAGCUACAGACGUUGAUACGUUAAAUUAUUGUAUUUUGAACUUUUGAAGACGGUACAUUUGUAUCUUGUGAUGCUUUGUGCUCUGUUAAUAAGUUGAUUCUUGAGAUAAAAUAAUUAUCUCAGUUGAAUCUUCUAAAGAAUUAUCAACUACCUAAUUUAGGAUGUCUUUCAUCAUCAUCUAAUUGAUUUCAUGUGUGCAACAAAUGUUCUUAUAAAAAAUUGAUAUAAAUUCUCUUUUAAUCUAAUUUACCUAAUUAUAGAAAGAAAUAUAUGUACAUGAGAAGAAAACAGCAGAAGAAAUUGAAUUUUCUCAUUCUAGUUUUUUCUGACCCACGUAAUAAUAACAUGUUACUUGAUAAUGUGACUUCUAUUUGAUGAAACGAAUAUUGUGUGGUUUGGAUUUUAUAAAUAAUAUGGAAUUGAUCUUUUACCUCGUUCACACAAAAUAUGGAUUUUAUAGCAUACGAAAUGUCUACGACGGUAUUAACAUGACAGGAAGUAGGCUGCGACAAAAAAAGGUCCUUCUCGUAAUCGAUGAUGUGGCUAAUGUUGAGCAACUACAAAGAUUAGUUGGAAAGCGUGAUUGGUUUGGUCCGGGCAGCAGAAUCAUAAUAACAACAAGGGAUGAACAUUUGUUGAAGUUGCAUCGAGUCGAGGAAGUUUAUAAGCUUGAGGCACUAACUUAUGAUGAGGCAUUCCGACUCUUUUGUUUGAAAACCUUUGAAACCCAGAAGCCUAGGGAAGAAUAUGUUCAUCUAUCUCAACUUGUUGUAAAGUAUGCUAGUGGUCUUCCAUUAGCUCUCAAGGUUUUGGGUUCAUUUUUAUUUAGUAGACCUGUGGACGAGUGGACAAGUACCUUGGAAAGACUAAAAAGAGAACCUGAAAAUGAGAUUCUAGAUAUACUCCAAAUAAGUUUUGAAGGGCUGAAGGAAGCAGAGAAGGAAAUAUUUCUCGAUGUUGCCUGUUUCUUUAAAGGGGAGAAAAGAGAUCGCGUAUCGAAAAUUCUCGACAGCUGUGGUUUUGAACCAGUAAUUGGCAUUGGUGUUCUUAUUGAAAAAUCUCUAUUAACAGUAUGUGAGGACAACAAACUGUGGAUGCAUGAUUUGUUACAGGAAAUGGGUAGACAAAUUGUUAGGAGACAGUCCCCAGAGGAGCCUGGAAAACGCAGCAGAUUGUGGGAGGAAGCAGACAUAUGCCAUGUAUUGUCACAAAACUCAGUAAGUGACUAAUAAAGAGGAUUGCAAAUUUUUUGUCUUUUACCUAUUAAAAUCUCGAAUGAACUAUUUUGCUUAUAAUUUUCAGGGGAGUGAAGUAGUUAAGGGAAUAAUAGUUGAUGAUUAUUACUUUCUCAAAGAUAAAGUGCAUUUAAGUGUUGGUCCAAAAGCAUUUUCGAAGAUGACCAACCUACGAUUGCUCAAAAUAUGUAAUCUGCAGCUUCGUCUAGGCCUUGAAUGCCUCUCUAACAAAUUGCGGUUGCUUGAUUGGCAUCAAUAUCCUUGGAAAUCUUUGCCGUCAAAUUUACAAUUGGAUAAAACUGUGGAGUUUAAAAUGUGUUAUAGCUGCGUUGAAGAAUUGUGGAAGGGAACCACAGUAAGAUCAUUAAUUUUGUCAGUAAUUUAUAUUUUUUAAUUGAAUAAUUGUUGAUAACAAUUUUAUUAUUAUAAUUGUAUAUGAAUUAAAAAAUAUCAUUUUAGCACCCUUUUGUUUUCAACAGCGCCUUUAAACGUGUUGAAAGUCAUGAAACUCAGCCAUUCAAAGAAUCUGUUUAAGACACCAGACUUCACGGAAGUGCCAAAUUUGGAGGAGUUGGAUCUUUAAGGAUGUACCAGGUUGCGUGAGAUUCACCCAUCUUUGCUGCUUCACAAUAAGCUGAUUUUGUUGAACUUGAAAGGUUGUACAAGUCUUACAACUCUUCCGGGCAAGAUUGUUAUGAAAUCGCUUAAAACACUUGUUCUUUCUGGUUGCUUUAAAUUGAAGAAAUUUCCAUGCAUUGCGGGAGGUAUGAAGUGUCUGCAGGAACUUCUUUUAAAUGAAACUGAUAUCAAAGAAUUGCCGCUAUCAAUUGAACUUCUAUCUGGACUUGUUCUGUUGACUUUGAAAGGCUGCAAAAAUCUCUCGAGUCUGCCAGUUACUAUAAGCAGUUUAAAAUGGCUACGAAAUCUAGAGCUCUCUGGUUGCUCGAAACUGAAGAUUUUUCCAGAGAUAGUGGCUAGUAUGGAAGACCUGUCCGAGCUCUAUCUAGAUGGAACUUCCAUUACAGAAAUGCCAUCAUCUAUUGAACUUUUGAUGGGGCUUGAAUUGUUGAAUUUAAAUGACUGCAAAAACCUCGUGAGACUUCCCAGCAGUAUAAAAGGUUUGAAAUAUCUCAAAACUUUGAAUCUCUCAGGCUGCUUCAAACUUGAAAAUGUGCCAGAGACAGUUGGGCAAGUAGAAAGUUUGGAAGAACUUGAUAUAAGUGGAACAGCUAUAAGACGACCUCCAUCCUCCAUUUUUCUUAUGAAGAAUCUUAGAACACUCUUUUUUUCUGAGUGUAAUGGACCACCAUCAUCUACAUCAUGGCAUUUUCACUUUCCCUUUAAUUUGAUGGCAAAGAGCUCAUAUGCUGUACCUUUGAUGCUGCCUUCUCUGUCAGGUUUGUGCUCUUUGACAAAAUUGGAUCUCCGUGACUGUAGUCUAGGGGAAGGAGUAAUCCCAAAUGAUAUUGGCAACUUAUGCUCAUUAAAAGUGUUGUAUUUGAGUAAAAACAGUUUUGUUAGGUUGCCAGCAAGUAUUGACGGUCUUUUCAAUCUUGAAGAACUAGAGUUGGAAGAUUGUAAAAGCCUUCAAUCUCUGCCACAACUUCCACCCAACGUAAAAAGAGUUAAUGUGAAUGGUUGUACUUCGUUGGUGACAUUAUUAGGUGCAUUAAAACUAUGCAAGUCCGAAUACACAUUAAUUGAUUGUGUAGACAGCUUGAAAUUUCCGGGAAACAAUGGUUUGGCAUUUUCGAUGCUACAAGAGUACCUUGAGGUCAGUCUUCUAGCUACGCCAAAAUUAUGCCUAAAAAAAUUAAGCAACGGUAUGGACUCGUUCAUUUUUUUAAUUUUUUGGUUGCAGGCAGUGUCAGGUCCAUUAAAAGAUUUCAGCAUUGUUGUUCCAGGAAGUGAAAUUCCAAAGUGGUUCAUGUAUCAGAAUGAGGGUUCUUCUAUAGCAGUCACAAGGCCUUCAUAUUUGUAUAAUAUGGAUAAGGUUGUGGGAUAUGCUAUUUGCUGUGUUUUUCAUCUCCCGAAACAUUCAACUCGUACGAAAAAACUAUGGCCCGGACAUCAGUUGGACUGCCAAAUGAUCGGUUCUCAUAAUAGGCCUACAUAUUAUAUUUCUUUUAAAGAGAAAUUCGGUCAAGCUGUUUCGGAGUCGGACCAUCUUUGGCUACUCUAUUUGUCCCGACAACAAUGCUAUGGUAGUAGGUGGCAUUUUGAUUCUAAUCAUAUUGAGUUGUCACUUACAAGCACGUAGAGCCCAGGAUUGGAUGUAAAGAGGUGUGGCUUCCAUCCAGUUUAUAUGCGCGAAGUGGAGGAGUUCGACCAAACGGCAAACCGAUGGAGUCGUUUUAAUGCUUAUAAUCUAAAUGAAUUCAAUCGCGAUUUUGUUGGAUCAAAUCUGGAAUUAGCCACAACAUCAAAGCGAAGCCUUGCAGAAUAUGUUGGGGCAGCUGAAACCAGUGGAAGUGGCUGCUGUGAUGAUCACGAUGAGGAACCACGACCUAAAAGAUUUAGACAACUCGAAGAAGGGCACAGCCCGGGGGAUAUUAUUGUCUCUGAAUUUUGUUCGGAAGUACGCUUCUCAAUUUCAAUCUAUGUUCUUUAAAUUUGCAUGUGGUACUUCAUUUCCUUUUUAUUUGUUUAUUUAUUGUAUCUACUCUUGCAUUAUAUAUAUCAUGUUGGACCGAAGGUCAUUUUUUCAGAAAGUACUCUGCAGGCAAAAAUUUAGUUCCGCUAAUAUUCUUCAGAAUCAGGAACUUCCUCACUUUCGUUCUCAAACUACGUGAUACUGAUUGGAAAAUCUGUGUGGCUUUAUGUUUUUAAACAAAGAAAUUUAAUGAAGAACUCUCAGAUAGUGUGUGGGAAUAAAUAGCAGGAUAUUAUUUUAAUUUCUGCAGGGAAACAGGGAUUGUGAGAGAGUAUUUUUGAGAGCACUACAAGAUAGAUAUUGGCUUUGAAGAUUUUCUUGGAGUCAACUCGUUCUGUUACAAAUAUGAGCAAGGGACUGAAUUGUCAGUUGACAUGAUGAGGGUAGUUUUCAGUUGGAUUUAAUGAAAAUCAAGGACAGAAUGCAUAGGAUGGGGAGUGGGGACCCAGUGUUCUUUUUCUGUUUACAUAUAUUUGUAGAGACAAUUUUUUUUAUUUCACAAGUUAUCCAAUUUCGAUACUGUCUCAUCUUGACUUGAAGAUGUUGCUCUCCUUUUGCCUUUUUUAUGCUUUAAACACCAUAGAUUUGGUAUUUCAAUUGAGAGCCCUCAACAUUAAGAUUUUCAAUUGAUUCGGGUAUAUGUGUGUAACAUUGCCUUCAUUGGCAGAUCAUGCUUCACCAACCAUCUUAAGAUUUAAGGUCAAUAUGUAAAGUAGCAUGUGAUUUUGUGCUGCUAUCAUAAAAAUUAAAAAUGUCUUCAUAUUGUUUUAAAACUUAUGAUUUACUUAUUUCUCCGUUAUUAAAAGCAUAUAUUGUUAAUAGAGAAGCGUGAAAUUUUGAAAAUACUCAUUGUUUGCUAAUCUUUUUCUCGUGUCAUGGCUACACAAGCCUCCUCAUUCUUCUGCAUCUCCUGAUCUAUGUCCUCCCCAUUGUCCAAGAUCACAGAUACUCUGUCAAAUGCUAAUCCAGAAGCCUCAUAAAGCAGGAGUUUAUGUUCAUCUGUUUCACUAGCUUUUGGUAUGAGUUAUUAUUUCAUAUUACUUUUGUUUCAAAGUUUUGUUGUCUACAAACUUAUUCGUACUGAAGGCGAUACCAAAGAAUACUCAGAGGGAAACGUCGGAUUGCUUAAUUCCUUAUUUGAUUGGAUCCUUUUCAGGUUAAAGAUCUAGGAGACUUGAAAUAUUUCCUUGGUAUUGAGGUUUCUGCAUCUAGGAAGGGCAUUUUUAUUUCUCAGAGAAAGUAUGCAUUGGAAAUUAUUAAGGAUGCAGGGUUAUUAGGGGCAGCUCCCAUUGAUACUCCCAUGGAACGUGGCUUAAAGUUGUCUGAUAAAAGUGAGCCACUCAAAGACCCAUGGCGAUAUAGGCGAUUAGUUGGAAGAUUAAUAUAUCUCACAGUUUCGAGGCCCGAUAUCACGUACGAUGUCCAUAUAUUAAGCAGAUUUAUGCACCAACCCUGGAAGGAUCAUUGGGAGGCAGCUUUACGGGUUGUGCGCUAUUUAAAAUCUGCUCCUGGCCAAGGCCUCUUCUUCUCAUCAAUUAGUGAUCUUUGGUUGCGAGCAUACUGUGACUCGGAUUGGGCAGGAUGCCCCCUUACAAGAAGAUCUACUACGGGGUAUUGUGUGUUCUUGGGCCCUUCGUUGAUUUCAUGGAGAUCGAGGCGCCAGAAAACCGUCUCCCUUUCCUCAGCCGAAGCAGAGUAUCGUGCAAUGACUGGAGCUUGUUGUGAAUUGACAUGGCUUCGUUACUUACUUAGAGAUUUGGGGAUUUUACAUCAAGAGGCUGCACUGCUAUAUUGUGACAAUAAGGCUGCAUUACAUAUAGCAGCUAAUCCAGUUUUUCAUGAACGUACAAGGCACAUAGAGAUGGAUUGUCAUUAUAUAAGAGACAAGAUACAAGAAGGUUGUGUGAUAACGAGAUUUGUAAGUUCCGCAAAUCAGCUUGCUGAUGUGUUGACCAAAGCUUUAGGAAAAGAAAUUUUCAUGCCUAUGGUUCGCAAGUUGGGAGUGCUGGACAUUCACUCUCCAACUUGAGGGGGAGUAUUGGAAAGUAGAAUCAAUUUAUUCAUUAUAUUGAGCUGUAAAUAUAUCUUUCUAUAUGUAUUCCUAAAUUACAGUAGACUUUGAUUGCAUAGCUUAAUUAUAGGGAUCCUACCAUGUAUAGCAAGUCAGUCACAUAUGUAUAUAUACUCAAUCAAAUAUCAAUGAAAACAUGCUUCUGUCCAUUCUACUUUUCUCUCAUAUUUUACAUGGUAUCAGAGCUAGAACUCGCUGCACUUUAAUCUCUCGUGUAGCAUCUCUCUUUCAGCCAUCAUGGCCCUUGAAGAUAUUCCAAAAACCAGCAGUUCUGAUCCACAAAAAUCAGAGAUUUCUGCAGAUUUCUCCAAGGCAGAUCUCUCCAAUCCCUUCUUCGCUCACCAUUCGGAUAACCCCGGAUUGAUUCUCGUCUCCAAACCUCUAAAUGGAGAUAAUUAUUUUGGUUGGAAAAGGGCUAUGGUUCGAGCUUUAAACUCCAAAAACAAGCUCGGAUUUGUCAAUGGUUCUAUCAAAGUUCCUUCAGAAGAAACUGAUCCUGAAGGCUAUGCAAUUUGGUCGAGAUGCAAUGAUCUGGUUCAUUCCUGGAUCGUGAAUUCCUGCGAUCCAGAAAUAGCUGACAGUGUGACUUAUUAUCCUACUGCUCAUGAGGUUUGGGAAGAUCUCUAUGAGCGUUUCUCUCAAGGCAAUGCAACUCGCAUCUUCGAGAUACAACGAGAUAUUGCUUCUCUUCGACAAGAGCAACUCUCUGUCUCAGCUUACUACACUAAGUUGAAAAGUUUAUGGGAUGAAUUGGCAACUCAUUCAGACAUAGCACAAGACGAUCGACAGAAAUUGAUGCAGUUUCUAAUGGGUCUAAACGAAACUUAUAGUGCAAUUCGAGGUCAAAUCCUGCUCAUGAAUCCUUUGCCUUCUAUUCGCCAAGCCUACUCUUCAAUCUCCCAAGAAGAGAAACAGCGCCUCUUUAGUUCAGCGCAUACGAACACCGAUUCAAACAGCAGCGCUGCUGCCAUGGCUGUACGCAGCAAACCAACUCCUUUGGCAACAAAAAAAACCGAACAAACUCGCUCUCAUGGUUUUCCAGAUUCUCGCGAUCGAAUAUACUCUCAAGCGCCAGAACUUGUAGAACCUCAAGAAGGAGAUCGGCGUCGAUUUGGCUCUGGGAGAGGUAGGCCUUUGUGUGACCACUGUGGGAAUUUCGGCCAUUGGAUCCAGAAAUGUUAUAAGCUACAUGGAUACCCACCAGGCCAUCCUAAAGCUAAAAUAAACUCAGGCCAAAAUUCAAAUCGGCAUAAAGGUAUUUCUGUGGCUAAUCAAGUUGGAGAGGGGUCAAACACAAAUGAAGGCUCACCUACAAUAUCCGAUGCUCAACUCAAGCAACUUUUGUCACUCCUGAAUAAUCAAAAUGAAGGUUCUCACUCCAAAGCAAAUACGGUAACAAAGCCAGGUUUGUCUAAAAUUGUUUCCCGAAAUUGGAUUAUUGAUAGCGGGGCGACAGAUCAUAUUACUUCAUCAUCUAAAUUAUUGCAUAAAGAUAACAAUUGCUCGUUACCGCCUGUAUUGUUGCCUAGUGGAGAAAGAGCAAAUAUUGUUGCAAAAGGGUCUUUACCUCUCAAUUCCGUCUAUUAUCUACAUAAUGUGUUAUCUGUGCCUACAUUUAAAGUUGAUUUGAUGUCAGUUAGUCGUUUGACAAGAGGUUUGGGUUGUUCAGUGACAUUUUUCCCUUCUUGGUGUAUUUUGCAGGAUCUGGCUACGAGGAGGACGAUUGGUUUGGGUAAACAACGAGAUGGGCUAUAUUUUUUGGUGGCAUUAGCGACGAAGCAAUCUAUGUCAAAACCUUCCUCACCAAAAAAUCGACUAGCCUGCAAUCUCACCAUCUCAUCCACCGACCUCUGGCAUAAUCGCUUAGGCCAUGUACCACCUUCUCGUUUAAGUUUUAUUGCUAAGAAUUUUUUGAAUUUUUCUGUUAAGUCUAAUAAUGUUUGCCCCAUAUGUCCGUUGGCUAAACAAAGUCGUUUUCCUUUCAAUAACAGUGUUAUUUCCUCUACAAAACCUUUUGAAAUAAUUCAUUGUGAUAUUUGGGGUCGUUAUCAACACCCUUCCCUUACCGGAGCUUAUUAUUUCCUCACUAUUGUUGAUGAUUAUACUCGUUUCACAUGGAUUUUUUUGAUGCGACACAAAAAUGAAACACAAUCUCUUUUAAAACGCUUUUUCAACCAUGUUUCCACUCAAUUUGACUGUCGCAUUAAAACAUUUCGCAGUGACAAUGGUGGAGAAUUUAUCUCACUCCGAUCUUUCUUUCACGAUCAUGGUGUUGUUUUCCAAACUUCAUGCGUUUACACACCUCAGCAAAACGAGGUUGUGGAACGCAAACAUCGCCAUAUCCUACAAGUAGCCCGAGCAUUAAAAUUCCAAGCACACCUACCAACCCAAUUUUGGGGUGAAUGUGCACUCACUGCUGUACACAUCAUCAAUAGGUUACCUUCUCCGGUUAUUUCUCUCAAAACUCCUUACGAACUUCUCUAUUCAAAACCACCUUCCUUUUUCCAUCUUCGUGUUUUUGGGUGUUUAGCCUAUGCCACUAAUGUUCACACUUCUCACAAAUUCGACUCUCGUGCCAUACCAUCCAUAUUCAUCGGUUAUCCCAUUGCUCAAAAGGGCUACAAAUUAUUUAAUUUAUCAACUAAAAAUUUUUUUACAAGCCGAGAUGUCAAAUUCCACGAAACCAUUUUUCCUUACUCAUCCGUCCAAACCAAAUUUUCUCUUCCAUUGACAGCCCAUCAAUCAAGCCCAAUUCCUUUAAUUCCUUCUUCCCUUGACUCAUCAUUCAACUCUCAUGUCAUUCCACCAAGCCCCAUUCCCUCAUCCCAACUCUCUCCCAAUUCUCCCGAUCCAAUUUCCUCUUCUCUUCCCGCGGUAGAACUACCAUCUUCCCCUCCCCAAGCUGUCCUUCAUACUUAUUCCCGCCGUCCUAAACCUGCUACCCCACUAGUCUCAACUGACCCAUCCCCAUUACACUUCUCUGAUCCAUCUUCUCCAGCCCCACAAUCCUCACCUCCUCCAUUCCCUGAACCCGCUGCAUCACAAGAACCCGAACCCGAACCCGGACCUGAACUUCGUCGCUCCAGCCGCAACACCGGUCCACCGGUCAAGCUCCACGACUACGUCUGCUCACAUGUUUACUCCGACCAAUCGGCCUCCUUAAUUCCAGGUCCGACCAAAGGUACACGAUAUCCACUGGCUAAUUAUAUUUCAUAUCAUUGAUAUAAGCCUGCUUAUCAGUCCUUUAUUGCUCAAAUCAGUCAUCUCACAGAACCCAGGUCUUAUUCAGAAGCUAUCCUUCUCCCUGAGUGGCAAGCAGCAAUGCGUUCUGAAUUGCAGGCACUGCAGGAAAAUGGUACUUGGUCUCUUACCUCUCUUCCGGCUGGUAAAACUCCAAUUGGUUGUCGUUGGGUUUACAAGAUUAAACAUAAAUCUGAUGGAUCUAUUGAACGGUAUAAGGCGCGACUUGUAGCCAAGGGUUUCACUCAAUUGGAGGGAGUUGACUACCAGGAUACUUUUUCUCCAACAGCAAAAAUAAUUUAUGUUCGUUGCUUGUUGGCGUUAGCUGCUGCCCGUGGUUGGUCUCUUCAUCAACUCGACGUCAAUAAUGCCUUUCUUCAUGGUGACCUCCAAGAAGAAAUCUACAUGUCUCUGCCGCUAGGUCUUCGACGACAGGGGGAGGAACACUUGGUUUGUCGCCUCCACAAGUCAUUAUAUGGGUUGAAACAGGCCUCUCAUCAAUGGUUUGCUAAAUUCUCCGAGGCCAUACGUUCAGCUGGAUUUGUACAAUCAAAAGCUGACUACUCUCUGUUCACCAAGAAGCAAGGCAAGUCCUUUACUGCUCUUUUGAUAUAUGUUGACGACAUUUUAAUCACUGGCAAUGAUCCUGUGAGUAUAGCUGAUAUCAAAAAAUUCUUGCAUAAUCAAUUUCACCUUAAAGAUCUAGGAGACUUGAAAUAUUUCCUUGGUAUUGAGGUUUCUGCAUCUAGGAAGGGCAUUUUUAUUUCUCAGAGAAAGUAUGCAUUGGAAAUUAUUAAGGAUGCAGGGUUAUUAGGGGCAGCUCCCAUUGAUACUCCCAUGGAACGUGGCUUAAAGUUGUCUGAUAAAAGUGAGCCACUCAAAGACCCAUGGCGAUAUAGGCGAUUAGUUGGAAGAUUAAUAUAUCUCACAGUUUCGAGGCCCGAUAUCACGUACGAUGUCCAUAUAUUAAGCAGAUUUAUGCACCAACCCUGGAAGGAUCAUUGGGAGGCAGCUUUACGGGUUGUGCGCUAUUUAAAAUCUGCUCCUGGCCAAGGCCUCUUCUUCUCAUCAAUUAGUGAUCUUUGGUUGCGAGCAUACUGUGACUCGGAUUGGGCAGGAUGCCCCCUUACAAGAAGAUCUACUACGGGGUAUUGUGUGUUCUUGGGCCCUUCGUUGAUUUCAUGGAGAUCGAGGCGCCAGAAAACCGUCUCCCUUUCCUCAGCCGAAGCAGAGUAUCGUGCAAUGACUGGAGCUUGUUGUGAAUUGACAUGGCUUCGUUACUUACUUAGAGAUUUGGGGAUUUUACAUCAAGAGGCUGCACUGCUAUAUUGUGACAAUAAGGCUGCAUUACAUAUAGCAGCUAAUCCAGUUUUUCAUGAACGUACAAGGCACAUAGAGAUGGAUUGUCAUUAUAUAAGAGACAAGAUACAAGAAGGUUGUGUGAUAACGAGAUUUGUAAGUUCCGCAAAUCAGCUUGCUGAUGUGUUGACCAAAGCUUUAGGAAAAGAAAUUUUCAUGCCUAUGGUUCGCAAGUUGGGAGUGCUGGACAUUCACUCUCCAACUUGAGGGGGAGUAUUGGAAAGUAGAAUCAAUUUAUUCAUUAUAUUGAGCUGUAAAUAUAUCUUUCUAUAUGUAUUCCUAAAUUACAGUAGACUUUGAUUGCAUAGCUUAAUUAUAGGGAUCCUACCAUGUAUAGCAAGUCAGUCAUAUAUGUAUAUAUACUCAAUCAAAUAUCAAUGAAAACAUGCUUCUGUCCAUUCUACUUUUCUCUCAUAUUUUACACUUUAAACACCAUAGAUUUGGUAUUUCAAUUGAGAGCCCUCAACAUUAAGAUUUUCAAUUGAUUCGGGUAUAUGUGUGUAACAUUGCCUUCAUUGGCAGAUCAUGCUUCACCAACCAUCUUAAGAUUUAAGGUCAAUAUGUAAAGUAGCAUGUGAUUUUGUGCUGCUAUCAUAAAAAUUAAAAAUGUCUUCAUAUUGUUUUAAAACUUAUGAUUUACUUAUUUCUCCGUUAUUAAAAGCAUAUAUUGUUAAUAGAGAAGCGUGAAAUUUUGAAAAUACUCAUUGUUUGCUAAUCUUUUUCUCGUGUCAUGGCUACACAAGCCUCCUCAUUCUUCUGCAUCUCCUGAUCUAUGUCCUCCCCAUUGUCCAAGAUCACAGAUACUCUGUCAAAUGCUAAUCCAGAAGCCUCAUAAAGCAGGAGUUUAUGUUCAUCUGUUUCACUAGCUUUUGGUAUGAGUUAUUAUUUCAUAUUACUUUUGUUUCAAAGUUUUGUUGUCUACAAACUUAUUCGUACUGAAGGCGAUACCAAAGAAUACUCAGAGGGAAACGUCGGAUUGCUUAAUUCCUUAUUUGAUUGGAUCCUUUUCAGCUCUAGAAACAGAGAAGGUAUAUCACUACUAUUUAAUCUUUUUCUUUAUUUGUAUAGAUCUUUACUCGUAAUCAAAAUGUUUAACUAUAAGUCAUACCAUUGCUUUAGAGUUCAGUCGAUCUCUUACACUGUCCUAACUAGUUUCCAUAUGAAGUUCGUUCUCAAAAUGCAAAGAAAUCCCGUGACUUUACUGACAUACGCAAAAGGAAGAGACUGCUGGAGAGUAGGGAUGAAGAAGAACAAUAUAACAAAAAAGCAGGUUAGGUCUGCCCCCUAUUGUGGAAAACACAAUGUCAUAUACUUGUUUGCAAGAAUGUUUUGUUAUAAAUUUGAAGGCUGUCCUUAAUAGCUAUCGAUCAGUGAGCUUGGACUUUGGCAACUUGAAUAGCGAUGAGAAGCUUUCUUAUGAAAAGUGUAUAUAAUUUUUGGAAAUUUUUUAAUUUUACCCCCGACUUAGAAUGGCAAUCUUCAAUUUACCUUACAAAAAUGUGAAAAUAUCAAUUUUCAAAAAAAAAAAAAAAUUGAUAGGUUAAGUGUUCUGACCAAAAAAUUUGAUAGGUUAAGUGGUGGAUUCAAUUAAUUGCAUUAUUUUGACCCAAAAAAAAAAAACCACUUCUAUUUGAGUGCUUUAUAGGUUAAGUGUUGUGCACAUACCGAAUUGAGAGCCACAGGUUAUACAUCGCCAACUCUUUCUCAUCCCUUCAUCAUAAAAUUUAUUUCUUCUACUAAAUAAAAUGAUAGAUUUUCUAUCGGGAUUGAUCUAUAGCAUUAGAAAUUUUUGUAGCACACCUGCAUGCUUCACGUGCUUGCUCAUAAGCCAAACGUGGCUUGUUGAAUUGGAAGCAGCCAGCUGCAUGCUUCACUUGCUUGCUUGAAUCGGUGCUUAUAUAUAUUAAAAAUUGAGAGCUGCUUGGUUGAAUUCGGUGGUUGUUCGUUGGCUUUAUAAAGUGUUAAAUAUUGACAGCUGCUUCAUUUAUCAAGUUGCAACCCAGAGGAAAGCAGAGACAGAAGAAAACAAAAGAAAAAGAGAGAGAAAGAAAAGAAAAGAAAAGAAAAGGUAAAUAAGAAGAAAGAAAAACCGAGAGAAAAAGAGAAGAAAAGAGAAGAAAAAGAAAAGAAGAAAAAAAAUUAAAAGAGAGGAGGUAAGCGGAGAGUGAAGAAAAAUAGAAAAAGGAAGGGAAAAGGAGAAAAGAAUUAAGAAGCCGAGAGUGGGAAAAGAAGUUUAAAAAAUAUAUAUUGGACAGUUAGAUUAAUUUCUAGUAAAUUAGUGGAUAAUAAAUUUAUGAAAUUCAAACAAUUAUGUUAUAGUUUUCAUGAUACAUAUCAAUUUUUAUAUCAAUUCUAACAAUUUUAUUUUAUAACCCUAUGUUUUACGAGAAAUUCAAGUACCCCGGAACCCACAGGAGCUCCAAUGAAUUCUAGAGUAAAACAAGACAUGUGAGUGAAUUACUAUUGUGUGUUCUAUGACGCAUUUACGUUUGAUAGUAUGAUUUAGUAUCGUAUUAUGAUUAUAUACAUGCACAUUAUAUGACUGAUUAAUCAUUAGAUGUGAUUGAUAAUCACCAUAUGUGUACCUUUCCUGAUAUGCUCUACGUGCAUAUUGAGAACUAGGAUACUGUACGUGUGUAAUGUAGUUAAAUUCCACUGGGUAUUGAGAGGUUUUUCCUCGCUCUACUUGUCCGAUGAUGAAUAAAGGAGAAAAACUAUUUUAUGAAAAACGCAUGGUACAGUAUUAAGAAUACUAUAAUUAAUUAAUGAAAAAUCAAUUUAAUUAUAAUUAAUUUAAUUAUAAGCAUAGUAUAGUAUUAAGAAUCAACACAAAAGCAGCCAGGUAGAGUUGCAUUGAACUCACAUUUUUAGCAUGAUGGUUUGAAAAAUCAAUUUAGAGAUCGACACAAAAAUACGAAGCAUUCAUUGUCUUUUAAAAUAAUUCAAAAAUGUAUUCCUAGAUAUAGUUUUGAAAUAUAUCAAAUUCGACAGAUAAUUAUAUAAUUUCAACUUGAUAAUAGAUUUUUAAAACUAUAUCUAGGAAUGCUAGUAAAAGAAACAUGUAGUAAAUCGUUGUGUAUGCUUCCUUUGACAAUCCAAGCGUUUAAACUCUACUUAUAGCGUACGCUUUUGAGUGGAGUGGUAUCUUAACAUAAUACGCUAGCCAGGUUAAUCAGUUAGCCUUGUUUUCAAAUUCCCACAUUGGAACUUUAGAAUCCAAUUUGAGAAAGUUUAAACAAAACUAGAGUAGAGAUUUAUCUAUAAUGUUGGAAUUUGAUAAAAAAAAAAAAAGGAAUAUAAAACCCAAAACUUGUGGUUAAAUUAGUUAAAACUUUAAAAUCUAAUAUGAGAAAGUUUAACCAAAGAAUAGAGACUUAUGUAUAAUAUUAAAAUUUGACCAAAAAAAUAGGAACAUUAACCCAAAGCUAGUGGUUAAUUAAUUGAACUUUGGAACCCAUAAAUGAGAAAGUUUAACUAAAACUAAAUACUUAUCUAUAACGUUGAAAUAUGAUGAAAAAAUACGAACAUGAAACCCAAAGCCUAUAGUUAAAUUAGUUGGAAUUUAGAACUAAAUAUUUAACCAAGACUAGAGACUUGUGUAUAAAGUUGAAAUUUGACCCAAAAAACAGAAACAAGAAAAAACCCUUUAUCAUCCUUAGGGUUUCAUGCAAUAGUCUAUUUCAUCCCUACUCUUUAAACAAUAGCCCAAAACAUCAUUUUGUUAACUCAUGGUUAGUUAAAUGUCAUUUGUUAGUAAUUCAUUGAGAUUAAAAAAGGAUUUUCCAUUAAAGAGAAAAUUAAAAAAAUAAAUAAAAUUUGACAUAUAAUUAAAAAUAAUUUUUAUCUAAUCCCACUAAACAUGAAAUGCCAAAAAGAUGAAAAACUUAUAUUUCAAGCAAUUAUUUUGCACUCCUCUUUAUUUUGUUGGCAUGAAAGUCCUAUAAACUCUAGAUCUAAGUACCAAAAAUAAUCACAAUUUUCAUAUUCGUUUAAGCGUACUCUCUAAUUGCACUAUGAGCGGACUUAAGUAGAUAGUGGUAAGGACUUGAGGAAACAAUAAUGGUCAAAGAAGAGUGGUGGUAAAGCUCAAAAUAAAAAUUUAUUGAAGAUUAAGAAGAUAUUUAACAUAUGCAAGCACACAAAAAUUGAUUGUGUUUUUGAGUUUUUUUCCAAUGAUUUAAAGAUAUUGUGUUAAUUAUGGUUUAUUACUUAUGAUAAUUAUUUAGUGGCUAUAUCAAACUAUUUCAUCAUUGAUUUCAUUUAAGAAUAAAUUAAUGAUUUUUGCAUAUUUUGUAGUGUUAUUUAAUUGUGUAAAAAAUUUAUUUUAAUAUAGUUUGUAUCGCAUUAAUUAAAAAUCUUGUUUUGCUCUCAAUGAAUUACUAGUUAAUGGCAAAAAAAUAAUAGUGAGUUAGCAGAAGAAUGUUUUGAACUUUUGUUUAAAAAGUAGGGAUGAAGUGAGCUAUUGCGUGAAACCUUAGGGAUGAAAAAGGUUUUUUCCCAUAGAAACAUGAAUCCCAAAACUAGCAACUAAUUAGUUGGAACUUUAGAACCCGUAUGUGAGAAAGUUUAACCAAAACUAAAUAUUUAUCUAUAAUGUUAGAAUCUGAUAAAAAAAUCAAAACAUGAAAAUUGGAAUUUUAGAACCCAAAAAUGAGAAAAUUUAAUCAAAAUUAGAGACAGAUGAAAUCAAUUUGGAACAACUACCCAACACAUUGGUAUUUAACCAAAAGUAGGAAUAUAAUUAUGUUAUCAUUUUUUCAUAAUUUAUUUUAUUAUAUUUAAAUAAAAUCUAUUAACAUAUUUGUAUCAUUCAAUAUCUUAUCCUAAUUUAUAAUUUUCCUUAUUUUAAUAUGAUUUCUAGUAUAUUUUUUCAACGAAAACAAAUUAAUUGAAUGGAUAACCAGUAAAAUGCCGGCUCUCCAGGUCGCAAAAGCAGGCUGUAUGUCAUACAGUACUGCACAGUAAGAUGACCUGAAGGGUAAAACUGAAAAUAUUCUAUCAAACACAAAAUUAGUGAACCAAUAAGUUGAAAUAUAUGAACCUAUAAAUUAAAAAAAUUAACCAAAAUCAAGAACUAGUCUAACAAAAAAAAUGGUAUUUAACCUAAAUAAUUGAAAUCUUAUCAAGUUAAUUGGAAUAUUAAAUACAAAACUAGUGGAAUAAUAGUUAAAAUAAAUAAACCCAUAAAUGAGAAAGUAUAACCAAAAUUAUGGGCUUAUUUAACCAAAAAUAAAAUUAUUAAAGUAAAUUUUGUACUUCAUCCAAAUAAUUGGAAUAUUACCAAGUUAGUAGGAAACAUUCAACAUAAAAAUGAUAGAAUAAUUAGUUGAAACAUGUAAAACAAAAGGGGAGAAAGUUUAACCAAAUUUAGGUACUUAUCAACGAGAAAUGAAUUUACUUGGAAUCUAACCUAAAAUAUUAAUAUUUAAUGAGUUUAGUAGGAAUAUUGAACACAAAGCUAGUGGAUUGGGAAGUGGAACAAAUGAACCAAUUAAUAAGAAUGUUUAACCUAAAUUAGGGGCAGAUGAAAUUAGCUUGGAACGUCUACCUAAUAUAUUGAUUUUUAACCAAAAGAAUUAGGAGAUGAUUAUUUUAUAUUUUUUUACAUUCAUUUAAAUUAAAAAUACUUUCUCACACAAAUAUCUUUUUACUAAUUAUUUAUAAAUUUCCUUCAUUUUUCAUUUUAUUUUGUAAUAAUAAAAAAAGUUUUUAAAGCAAGAUGAAAAAGAUUGGGGGUCAUAACAAUAUGUUAUUAUUUUCUUGAAAGUUGAUAUUUCAUAAAAUAAAAGGGGGUUCAAAUAUAUUUUGCCUUAUCAAUAUUAUUGUUAAUAAAAAAAUGAACUUGGAACACCUAUAUAUAAUAUUGGAAUCUAAUUGGAAAACAAAAGGGAACAUGAAGGUUGAAAUUUUAGAACCGAAAUAUGAGAAAGUUUAACAUAAACUAAAUACUUAUAUAUAGUAUUGGAAUUUGAUUUAAAAAAAUGGGAACAUGAAAGUUGGAAUAUUAGAGUCUAAAGAUGAGAAAGUUUAACCAAAAUUAGAGACUUUAUAUUGUUGGAAUUUGACCAAAAAAAAAAAAAUAGGAACAUGAAACCCAAAAUUGGUGAUUAAUUAGUUGGAACUUUAUAAACCAAAAAUGAGAAAUUUAUAACUAAAAUUAGAGACUUAUCUAUAAUGUUGGAAUGUAUAAAAAAAAUUGAAUAUAAACAAAAACUAGUGGUUCAGUUAAUUGGAACUUUAGAAUCCAAUUUGAGAAAGUUUAAACAAAACUAGAGAUUUAUCUAUAAUAAUGGCAUUUAAUAAAAAAAUUAGGAAUAUGAAACCCAAAACUUGUGGUUAAAAUAGUUGAAAUUUAGAACCUAAUAUGAAAAAGUUUAACUAAAGACGAGAGACUUAUGCAUAAUGUUGAAAUUUGACCAAAAAAAAUAGGAACAUGAACCCAAACCAGUGACUAAUUAAUUGGAAUUUUGGAACCCAUAUAUGAAAAAGUUUAACCAAAACUAAAUGCCUAUAUAUAAUGAUGGAAUAUGAUGAAAAAAUGGGAACAUGAAAUCCAAAGCCUAUAGUUAAAUUAGUUGGAACUUUAGAAUUAAAUAUAAAAAAGUUUAACCAAGACUAGAGACUUAUGUAUAAUGUUGAAAUUUGACCAAAAAAUAGAAACAUGAAUCCCAAAACUAGCUAUUAAUUAGUUGGAAGUUCAGAAUCAGCAUGUGAGAAAGUUUAACCAAAACUAGGUAUUUAUCUAUAAUUGUUAGAGUGCAAUUUAUGCAUUAGUUUUGCAUUGUUUACUUCCCUUAAUAUCGAUGUUUUGCACUUAAUAAUAGUGAUUUACUUGUGUUUUACUUUUGUAGGUGCAAUUCUAUUGAUUGGUGAUAAAAUUGAGCUAUAAGAUGAUGUUUAAGGAUGAUUGUUCUCUUGGAGAAAUUAUGAGCGUCAGAAGAACUUUGUUGAUAAGGCGUGGGCGCGUGCUGUCAACUGCGGACCUGCAGUUUUUAGUUUAACGUGUUGUGUAUUUUUGGUUAUUUUUGUAAUUACGAAUUUAAUAUUUCAGAUAUUAGUAUUUUAUUUUAAAUAGAAUUCUAAAAGAGAAGAGAGUGAGAGUAUUUAAGGGAGGAAUCUAUUGUGAAAAAGGGGAGAUUGGGGAGAAGAGAAAGAAACCCUAGAUCUAAACUUUUCUCUUCUCUCUAUGAAGAACUAAAUCUAUUUUUCUGAUUGAAGGAUAAUAAAGCUUUGAUUCAUCACUACUGUAAGAUCUAUUUUAUGCUUUAAUUGUUUUAUUACUUUUUGGGUAUUUAUUUAUUCUCUGAAUUAUUUUCAUGAUUAUGUUUGUUAAUUAGGUAAUUGGCCACUAUUUAAUUAUCAACUUAAUCUAUUGUUAAUUAAAGGAUUCAUCGUAUGAAGAUUUUAAUGUUUGUGACAAAUAACAUAGCAGUGAGUUGUGUUAUGAGAAUAAACAAUCUAAUUUAAAUGAAUCAUCGUAUGUGUUGAUUAGGAUUUGGGUCUCUCUGGUCUUUCAGGCUGUCAAUUGAUUAAAUCCUAUGAUCGUAUUUAGGGUUGUCUAUUGAUUAGGGAAAUAGCCAACGGUCGUACCUUGGUUAUCGACUAGUUAAGGAGAGAUUGGUUAUUAGAGGGUCUCAGUAGCUAUAACCGGUCUAUUCAUAAAUAAUAAUAAUCUAUAUUUGAAUCAAUUAUCAGUAGUCGAAUCAAGCUGAAUUAAUUCCUUCAACCAGAGCUUUCUCCAAUUUGAAUUACAACUUUAAUUUGCAUUCUUGUUAUUUUAAUUUGAUUUUUAUUAUUGUCAACAAAACCCCCAUUUUAUGUUUUACGUUUUAAAAGGAUUUAAAUAAUUACCGAUCUCUGUGGACACGACCCUGCUCAAUCACUAUACACAAUUUAUUUAGAGUAGGAAUUUAUUUUUGUUGGCUUCGACAACCAUCAAUAAUGUUGGAAUCUGAUCAAAAAAUCAGAACAUGAAAGUUGGAACUUUAGAACCCAAAAAUGAGAAAGUUUAAUCAUAACUAGAAAUUGAUAAAAUCAAUUUAGAACAAGUACCCAAUACAUUGGUAUUUAACCAAAAGUGUAAGAAUAUAAUUAUUUUAUAAUUUUUCAUAAUUUAUUUUAUCAUAUUUAAAAUAAAAUCUACCAACAUAUUUUGUAUCAUUCAAUAUCUUAUCUUCAUUUAUAAUUUUCUUUAUUUUAAUUGAAUGGAUGAGUAUAACCGGUAAAAUACCGGCUUUCCAGGUCGCAAAAGCAGGCUGUAUGUUAUACAGCACUGCACAGGAGGAUGACCUGAAAGGUGAAACCGAAAAUAUUCUAUCAACUUUAAAAAGGAUGAAGAAAAAAAAAAUCGGUGAAAUUGUCACGCCCUUUCUUGGAAGAAUCAAAGAAAGUGUUUGGCUAUUCUUAUUAUUAUUAUUUUUUGGGUGUUCCCCACAAAGCUUAAUUUAGUUGAAUGGAAAUUAAAUAUUUAAAUAGUACCAAAAGGUAUUGAAUAUUGAUGAGGUACCAAAUUUUGAAUUUUUCUAUUUUUUUAUACCCAAAUUUUAGUCAAAGUUCAGAUAAUUACUUUUAAUUAAUUAAUUUAUUACCAAAAAAAUAAGUAAUUUGAUAUCAACACAAUAUCUUGAAAUUCCUCCGCAACGAAUCAUAUAAGGAGCUUCCAAGAAAUUAUAGGAUGGACAUGAAAGAGGAAAAAGAAAAUUUUUGGACCCACCGUCUUGAAAUCUCAUUUGAUUUCCAACUAAUUUCCGCGGCAUAUUCGCGCUAAUCUCCGCGUUUUACUUUUUAUCAUGACUGUGGGCUACUCGAUCCAUCGCCUCAUUGAAAUUGUUGUAUCUACGUUACAAAAUAAAAACGAAAACCAAUAAAUAGCAGAUAGUAAUCCACUUUACAAAAUUAUUAUCACAUCCCAAAUCAAUUUUCUAAUCAUCAAAAUCUCUAAUCAAUUGAACUGUUUCUGUAAGUUGUUAUGGCUUCUUCUUCUUCUUCUCGUCCAUCCAGCAGUUUGAGUUCGAUGAAUAAUCCUCGAAACAAUAAGUAUGAUGUUUUUCUUAGUUUCAGAGGAGAGGAAACCCGUGACAGCUUUACUAGCCAUCUUUAUUCGGCUUUGUGUGAAACGAAUAUUGAAACUUUCAUUGAUGACCAACUCGUCAGAGGAAAUGAAAUCUCACAGUCUCUUCUUGAUGCAAUUGAAGCAUCAAGCAUAUCAGUUAUCGUAUUCUCUGAAGGGUAUGCUUCUUCCAGAUGGUGCCUGGAUGAACUUUUAAAGAUCCUCGACUGGAGGAAAGAGUAUGCACAGAUUGUGAUACCAGUUUUCUAUCGGGUCGAUCCAUCACAUAUGAGAAAGCAAAUAGGGAAUUUUGGGGAUUCAUUUUCGAAGCUUAAAGAAAGAUUUCCAGACAAGAUGCAAAGUUGGAGGAUUUGUCCGGAGUUGGUUUGAUAAUUAUCUUGAUUGGUUAGAAUAUAGUAUUGUAAAGGAUGCAGCUUUUUGUCUUUAUUGUUAUGUUUUCAGAGAAGAAAAUGGUAGUCAAGGGGCUGGUCCAUGCUUUACUGGUGAAGGGUUUAGAAAUUGGAAGAAAAAAGAAAUGUUGAGACAACAUGUUGGUGGCGUAAAUAGUGCUCAUAAUAUAGCUAGGCGUCGUUGUGAAUCAUUGAUGAAUCAAAAGGCACAUGUUGCUACAUUUUUCUUUAACCAUUCUAAAAAAAUUAAAAGGGAGUACCGACUUUGUUUAACUGCUGUAAUUGACUGCAUUCGGUUUCUUUUGAGACAAGGCCUUGCAUUUCGUGGUAAUAAUAAAUCUCAAAGCUUAGAUAAUAGAGGAAACUUUCUUCUUGCUAAUCACAAUGAGGAAAUUAAAGGUGUUAUUUUCAACAAUGCUCCAGCAAAUCUCCAAAUGACAUCCCCUGAUAUUCAGAAACAAAUUGUAAGUGUUUGUUCAGCUGAAACUUCUAGAGCUAUCAUUAAAGAAAUUGGUGACUCUUUAUUUUCUGUUAUGAUUGAUGAAUCUCGUGACAUAUCCACAAAAGAGCAAAUGGCAGUUGUGUUGCGUUAUGUGGAUAAAAGAGGACAUGUGGUUGAGCGUUUUAUUGGUAUUGAACAUGUUAUUGAUACUAAAGCUGUCUCUCUCAAAGCAUCACUCGACAUAGUAUUUGCUAGACAUGGAUUAAGCAUGUCUAGGUUGCGUGGGCAAGGAUAUGAUGGUGCUAGUAACAUGCAAGGGGGACUUAAUGGUUUGAAAACACUCAUUCUAAAAGAGAAUGAAUCAGCUUAUUACAUUCAUUGUUUUCCCAUCAAUUACAGUUGGCCCUUGUUUUUGUGGCAAAAAAGCACCAAGAAGUUAAUGAUCUGUUCAGUUUAGUUGCUAAAGUUAGUAACAUUGUUGCAGCCUCGUCUAAACGAUAUGAUAUCCUUAAAGAGAAGCAUGUUGUUGCAGUUAUUGAAGCACUUAAAACGGGUGAGCUUAAAAGCGGACAAGGCAUGAAUCAAGAGAUUACUUUAAAGCGUUCUGGCGACACACGGUGGAGCUCACAUUACGGUACAUUAAUAAGCAUUAUUACCAUUUUCUCAUCCAUAAUUGAUGUGCUUGAGAUUAUUGCAAAUGAUGCAUCAAAUUCUGAGCAAAGAUUUGAAGCAAAUUCAACCUUGAAGUUCAUGCAAACAUUUGAUUUUGUGUUUACUUUAUACUUGAUGAAAAAUAUUCUUGGUUUUGCAAAUGAAUUGUCACAAGCAUUACAAAGGAAAGAUCAAGAUAUUGUGAAUUCCAUGAAAUUAGUUAGCAUUUGCAAACUAGGUCUACAGAGGAUGAGGAAACAUGGAUGGAAUUCUUUGCUUAUUCAAGUUUCUUCAUUUUGUGAGAAACAUUUUAUUAGUGUUCAUGUCAUGGAAACUAUGUUUCUAACACCUGGAAGAUCAAGGCGUAGAGCACAAGAGAUCACAAAUAUGCAUCAUUAUCGCAUUGACCUAUUUUGUGCUAUUUUGGAUAUGCAACUUCAAGAGUUAAACAGUCGUUUUAAUGAGGUAAACACUGAAUUACUUCUUUGCUUGGCUUGUUUAUGUCCAAAAGAUUCAUUUGCAGCUUUCAAUAAAGAAAAGUUAUUGCGUCUUGCUCAACUUUAUCCAAAAGAUUUUUCUCAAGUUGAUCUCAUGGCACUAGAUACUCAACUUGAUAUUUACAUAAUGGAUAUGCAGUCUAGUGUUGAGUUUUCAGAAUUAAAUGGGAUUGGUGAUCUUGCACAGAAAAUGGUUGAGACUAACAAGCACAAGGUGUUUUCAUUGGUCUAUUUAUUAGUCACAUUAGCAUUACUUCUACCAGUUGCCACUGCCACUGUUGAAAGAGUUUUUUCAGCAAUGAAUUAUGUGAAGAAUCGACUACGAAGUCGAAUGGGAGAUGAAUGGUUGAAUGAUAAUCUAGUUGUGUACAUUGAAAAAGAUGUAUUUGAUUGUAUUGAUAAUGAAAUUAUUUUACAGCAUUUUCAACACAUGAAAUCCCAUCGAGGAAUUCUUGAUUAGAACAAUUGUAAUAAGUUAAUUUAUUGUUAAUUUAUAUUACACUUGUGACUCUAUUUACUGUUAUCUAAAUUUUCAAAAUUUAUUCUCAAUUUAUAUUAUAUUGCGAUUUUUUGUGUUGUGAUAUAAAUUCUUAAAAUUAUACUAUAUUUUUAAUGUGCCCCAGAUCAAUUAAAUUUCUGGUUACGUCCCUGUUUUAAUCUAUACAAUGUUAUUGAGUAAUGAUCUAGUGGGCAAUAAUGCUCAUCUUAUGGAGAGCGAGAGUGGCACAUCGCAUUGCUUAAUUAAUCCGCAGCGUUAACGCUAUUCACUGGGAGUUGUAGAAUUCUGCCACAUCCAAAUGCUCAUCCAUAUGGUGGGCACUAGUGCUCACUAGAUCAUCGUUCCAAUGCUAUAUUGUUAAUUUUUUAUUUAAAAUUAAAUUUAACAACAUUUUUUCAAAAUUAUGAUCUUUGGUACUGGGAGAUUUUUUCCAAAGUUCAGGUCGAGUAUUAUUACCUGGGAAUGAAAUUCCAAAGUGGUUUAGCUUUCAAAGUUUGGGAUCUUCUUCUAUAACCUUGAAGAUGCCACCUGUAGGUUGGUUCAGUAAUAACAAAGUGAUUGGCUUUGCUUACAGCGCUGUUGUAGGAUUUCGAGACCAUCAUGUCAAAGAGAAGAGGUGGUUUAACUUGUUCUGUGAAUUCAUGAAAGCCAAACCUGAAGAUUGUACUGAGCUACUGGUCAGACGGAGUUCUCUAAGGGGAUUUAAUUAUGUAGAGUCAGAUCACUUACUUUUGGGGUACUAUUUCUUUGGUGAGCAUGAUUUUAGUGCUUUCCGGAAACACAACUGCGAUCAUGUGGCAGUCAAGUUCUAUUUAGAGGAUGAUCGUAAUCAACGUGAACGUUUGGAUUGUUGCCCGGUGAAAAAAUGUGGGAUUCAUUUAUUGUACGCCCCUGAUUCUACGGAACCCACAGAAGAUCCAAGGGGUACUCUCGAUUUAAAUAUUCUUUAAGAUAUCAUAGUAGCUGCUACUUUUCAGUAAAUUAAUAAAUCUUAUAUUCAUAAACCUUGUUUUGCUAGCUUGGUUUCUUUUCCUUCUAUCUGUUUUUAUUACUUUUCUUUAAUUAUUUUCUUCCCAUAUAUAAAUCAUUGGCUUCAAAUAUUCAUAGGGAGAUACUUGUUUUCCUUGAAUUGCCUCGUUGCAGUAUUGAACAACUUUCGGAGAGCGUCCAGGUGUGCAAUGUCAAUAAUAUUUAAUUAUCAUACACGCUACUGAUUUGCAUGUAAUGGCUUCUUUUUUGGUGAAAGCAGAAUAAUUCAUUGGUAACGCUUGAUUAAUCUCUGGUUAUAGUACUCAAUAGAUUUAGUGAGACAUUUCGUCAAACAGGUAGGUUGUAAAAAUUAUAUAGACUAUGGUAAAAAAUUUGAAUUAGGAUAUAGAGAUACAAACACGGGAAAAAACAACAUGAAGACAAUACAAUAGAAAUUAAAUAGAGCAGGUAGUGAACCAAUAAUACAACUUAACCCGCACUCAUAAAAAUUAUAAAUUACUAAACUCACCCAUAAUUGGCAGUAGGUUUUUUAUUUAUUUUUUUAAAAAAGUCCAUCUAUUGUGGGUUUUAGGGGUGGCAAAAAUAUUUGUCUGAUCUGGACUCUGGCGAUGUGGGCCGGAUAAUUCUAAGCCUGGGUAUGAAGCUAGACUUGUCUUGAGUAUCACUUUAUAAACCCAAGACCCGGCCCAAAACCCAAAUUUUAUUAAAAAAAUAUUAUAAAAUAUAUAUUAUUUUUAAUAUUUAUAUUUAUUUGACCGAUCUAUUACAUAUAGAUAAAGUUUUAAAUAUUUGAAGUUUAAAUUUUCAUGUUUGAUUUCAUUGAAAUAAAUUUAAAAAUUAUAAAAUUAUAAAAAUACAUAUAUAAUAAUAAAAAAGUACAAAAUACGAGGUACAAAAACCUGAAUUAAAAAACCUGGAUCGGGUGUUUAAAAAUUGAGUAAUGAUACAGCCACAAACUCUUGUACAAAUUUAUUUUGUACAAACUGACGUGGUAUUAAUUCAUUGGUUGAAUGAAAAUAUAAAAUAAUAAAAACAAAUCAUGUGGGCCAAAUGAUAUUUAAUUCAACCAAUCUUAUCAUGUCACAUCAGUUUGUACAAAAUAAAUUUGUAUAAGAGUUUGUGGCUAUAUCAUUACUCUUAAAAAUUACAUCAGGGAACCGAGAUUUAACAAUCAACAAACUAACCUAUAGCGCGCAGUAAAUUUUUUUUAUAAGUUUUCUUAUUUAAAAUCACAAAUAUAUAAAAAAAAACACUUUUAAUAAUACAUAAAAAAUUAAAUUAAGUGAUUCAAAUAUAAAUUUAUAACCAUAGCCUAAAAAAUCCGCAUACAAAACUCAAUUCUAGAUUUUACCAAUAAAAAUAAGAAAUUAAAAUUCCAACAUUAAAAAAAAAACAAAAUAUACUAAAUCUGACUUACAAAAUAAAAAAGAAAAACAAUAAAUAGCUGAUAGUAAUCUACUUUACAAAAUUAUUAUCAUAUCCCAAAUCAAUUUUUUAAUCAUCAAAAUCUCUAAUCAAUUGAAUUGUUUCUGUAAGUUGUUAUGGCUUCUUCUUCUUCUUCUUCUCGUCCAUCCAGCAGUUUGAGUUCGAUGAAUAAUCCUCGAAACAAUAAGUAUGAUGUUUUCCUGAGUUUCAGAGAAGAGGAAACCCGUGAUAGCUUUAAUAGCCAUCUUUAUUCAGCCUUGUGUGAAACGAAUAUCGAAACUUUCAUUGAUGACCAACUCGUCAGAGGAAAUGAAAUCUCACAGUCUCUUCUUGAUGCAAUUGAAGCAUCAAGCAUAUCAGUUAUCGUAUUCUCUGAAGGGUAUGCUUCUUCCAGAUGGUGCCUCGAUGAACUUCUAAAGAUCCUCGAUUGCAGGAAAGAGUAUGCACAGAUUGUGAUACCAGUUUUCUAUCGGGUCGAUCCAUCACAUGUGAGAAAGCAAAUUGGGAGUUUUGGGGUUUCAAUUUCGGAGCUUGAAAAAAGAUUUCCAGACAAGAAGCAAAGUUGGGGGAGUGCUUUAACUGAAGCAGCCAAUCUCUCUGGCUUUGAUUCUCAUGUCUUCAGGUAACAGUCAAUUUAUUACCAAUUUUAUAAUUAUUUUUAUUUACUCAAGUUCUAGUAUUAUAUAAAUAAUUUUAAAAUCAAAAAACUCUGUCUCAAAUCCGAACUAAUUAAAAACUCUCCUUUUUGUCUCUUUUUGAACUUAAUACUAUGUUUCUUGUAUUUGCUAGGAAUGAAUCUGAACUUAUAAAGACAGUUGUUGAUGAGAUUUUGGAGAGGCUGCCUAAAGUGGUUCCAUUUGAUAACAAAAAUCAGCUAGUUGGAGUAGAAUCAAGAGUUGAGGAGCUUGAAUCUCUAUUAGCUGCUGCACCUAUAUUAGGGAUUUGGGGCAUCGGUGGUAUAGGCAAGACAACAAUUGCUAGGGUGAUUUUCAACAAAAUCUCCAGAAAUUUUGAAGGUUCUUGCUUCCUUCAAAAUGUAAGAGAAGAAUCGCAGAGCCCUGGUGGAUUAGCUAGGUUGCAGCAAAAACUUUUUAACGAAGUAUUGAAGGAUGUAAAUGUGAUUCCUGAUAUUGACUUCAACUUUAGGAGGCUCAGCCGCAGGAAGGUUCUGAUUGUUCUCGAUGAUGUGACUAGCUUCAGCCAAAUAAAAUCCUUCAUCAGAGUUUCUGAUUGGUUUCUGCCUGAAAGUCGUCUCAUACUGACCACAAGAGAUCAACAAGUCCUUAAAAAUUGGGUUGUGAAAGAGAGAGACAUUUAUGAGAUGAAAGAAUUAGAACACGAUCAUGCCCUUGAGCUUUUUAGUCGACAUGCCUUCAAACAAAACUGUCCUCCUGAAGUAGGUUAUAAGGAAUUGUCAGAGGUUGUAAUAAAUUAUGCUCAAGGUGUUCCUUUAGCACUGGAAAUUUUGGGUUGCUAUCUAUUUGGAAGGGAAAAGGAAGUUUGGGAAAGCGCAAUAAACAAAUUGAAAAGAAUUCCUAAUGUGGAGAUACAAAAUGUGCUAAAAGUAAGUUUCGAUGAUCUGGAUGAUGAAGAGAAAGAUAUUUUUCUAGACAUUGUUUGUUUCUUUAAAGGGAAAGAUAAAGACUUCAUUAUAAAAUUUCUUAAUGCUUGUGGCUUUGAUGCACAAAUAGGAAUAAGUGAUCUUGUCAAUAAGUCUCUUAUUGUCAUACACGACAACAAAAUAACAAUGCAUGAUCUGUUACAAGAAAUGGGUAGGGAAAUUGUCAGGCAAGAAUCUGUGAAAAAUCCAGGAGAACGCAGUCGGCUGUGGCACCAUGAGGAUAUUAUUGAAGUUUUGACCUUUAAUACGGUAAGCAUUUUGUUUGAGACUUUAUAUUAUUUGUGAAUGCUAUUGGAUUUGUAAACUUUACUUAUAAUUAUGUAUAAGUACAUGGAAUAUAAGAUCAAUAGAAGAACUGGCAAUAAUAAAAAGGAAAAAAAAAAUUGCAAUGUCAAUUUACAACUAAAAGUCUGGCAAACAGACAGAGAUACGUUACAAUGUCAAUUUACAUCUAAAAGUAUGGCAAACAAACAUAGAUACUUUAUAUGUUUAGUAUUGUUUGUAUUACUAUGUUUCUUUCGUACAUAGGCAUGUCCAUACUUCAUGGAUACUUUAUAUGCUUAGUAUUGUUUGUAUUACAAUGUUUCUUUUGUACGUUGGCUUUCAAUUAACUUGAACAUUAAUUUAAAUUUGAAUUUAACUUCCUGGUCUUUCAUUGAUUGUUAGGGGACCAAAAAAGUUGAGGGUAUCUGCUUUGAUAUGUCUAGAAUAAAAGAGAUCUAUCUGCAUCCAGAUACUUUCACAAAGAUGUGUAAAUUGAGAUUUUUGAAAUUCUAUAACUCUAAAGAUGAUGGAGAGAACAAAUGUAAGGUGUCUUAUUUGGUAGGACCUGGAUUUGCUGAAGUGAGGUAUCUUCACUGGUAUGGAUAUCCACUAAAAUCAUUGCCGUCAAAUAUUCAUCCAGAGAAACUUGUUUCAAUUGAAAUGCCUCAUGGUAAUAUUCAACAACUUUGGGAUGAUGUCGAGGUAUAUAAAAUCUUAAUAUUUAUGCAAUGUUUCAGUAAUAAUGUUUAAUUAUUUAUCGUACUUAAAUGCUAACAAUUUGUAUGUCUGGGCUUCUAAUUUUUUUGGAGCAGCAUAAUGGUAAGUUAAAGCAGAUAAUAAGCCGGGCCUGCAAUUUUUUCACCAAAUCUCCAAACCACUCGUUGACCCUGCAUCUGGACAAGCUAGUUAACCUCAAUCUAAACAAUUGCAAAAGCUUGAGAAUUCUUCCAGCUGGAAUAUUUCGUUUGGAAUUUCUUAAAGAACUUGAUCUUUGGGGCUGCUCAAAACUAAAAACACUUCCAGAGAUAUCAUCAGCUGGUAAUAUAGAAGUGAUGUAUUUAAAUGGAACUGCAAUUGAAGAACUGCCUUCAUCCAUAGAAUGUCUGUCUCGGCUUUCGGCCUUAUACCUUGAUAAUUGUAAAAGGCUGAAGAGUCUCCCAAGCAGCCUAUGUAAAUUGAACUCUCUGAACUUUAUUUAUCUCAGGUGGUGCUCAAGUCUUAAGAGUUUGCCUGAUGAACUUGGAAAUUUAGAAGCUUUGGACAGUUUGAUUGCUGAAGGAACUGCUAUAAGAGAAGUGCCGUUGUCCAUUGUUGGUUUGAACAAUUUUGAUGGCUUGCAAAAUCUGACGUCUUUAUAUCUAACUGAUUGCGGCAUCACGGAGUUACCUGAAAAUCUCGGUCAGUUAUCCUUGUUACGUGAAUUGUAUCUAGAGAAAAACAAUUUUGAGAGAAUACCAGAGAGCAUCAUACAUCUUUCUAAGUUGGCAUAUCUUAAAUUGAGUUAUUGUGAGAGGCUUCAAUCCUUACCAAAGCUUCCAUGCAAUCUAAGUGAGUUAGAUGCACAUCAUUGCACGGCACUGGAAUCAUCACCGGGUUUAGUAUUCCCAAGUCAUGAUCCUCAGUCUUUUAACCUAACAAAUAAUUUGAAAUUGGAUCGCAACGAGAUCUGGGAAAUUCUCGAAGAUGCUCUGCAAGAAAUUCAGGUUAUGGCAAUAGCACGUUGGAAACAAUUACCGGAAAUGGUAUGGAGUGUCUUUUAUGAUCCUUUUAAUCUAUACAAUGUUAUUGAGUAAUGAUCUAGUGGGUGAUAGUGCUCAUCUUAUGGAGAGCGAGAGUUGCACAUCGCAUUGCUUAAUUAGUCCACAGCCUUAACGUUAUUCACACAGGGAGUUGUAGAAUUCUGCCACAUAUCCAACUGCUCAUCCAUAUGGUGGACACUAGUACUCACUAGACUAUCGCUUCAAUGUUAUUUUGUUAAUUUUUUAUUUAAAAUUAUUAUCUUUGGUACAGGUAUAUUUUUUCCAAAGUUCAGGUCGAUGAUUAUUACCUGGAAAUGAAAUUCCAAUGUGGUUUAGCUUUCAAAGUCUGGGAUCUUCUUCUAUAACCUUGAAGAUGCCGCAUGCAGGUUGGUUCAGUAACAACAAAGUGAUUGGCUUUGCUUACAGCGCUGUUGUAGGAUUUCGAGACCAUCAUGUCAAAGAGAAGAGGCGGUUUCACUUGUUCUGUGAAUUCAUGAAAGCCAAACCCGAAGAUUGUACUGAGCCGCUGGUCGGACGGUGUUUUCUAUGGCAUUUUAAUUAUGUAGAGGCAGAUCACUUACUUUUGGGGUACUAUUUCUUUGGCGAUCAUGAUUUUAGUGCUUUCCGGAAACACAAUUUUGAUCAUGUGGCAGUCAAGUUCUAUUUAGAGGAUGUUAAUAAUCAACAUGAACGUUUGGAUUGUUGCCCGGUGAAAAAAUGUGGGAUUCAUUUAUUGUACGCCCCUGAUUCUACGGAACCCACAGAAGAUCCAAGGAGUACUCUCGAUUGAAAUGUUCUUUAAGACAUCACAGUAGCUGAUACUUUUCAGUAAAUUAAUAAAUCUUAUAUUCAUAAACCUUCUUUAAUUCUUUUCUUCCCAUAUAUAAAUCAUUGGCUUCAAAUAUUCAUAGGGAGAUACUUGUUUUCCUUGAAUUGCCUUGUUGGAGUAUUGAACAAAUUUAGGAGAGCGUCCAGGUGUGCAAUGUCAAUAAUAUUUAAUUAUCAUAGACGCUACUGAUUUGCUUGUCAUGGCUUCUUUUUUGGUGAAAGCAGAUUAAUUCAUCGGUAACACUUGAUUAGUCUCGGGUUAUAGUACUCAUAGAUUUGGUGAGACAUUUCAUCAAACAGGGAGGUAUAUGCAUCAAACAACUGGCUUUAACUGGCUUUAUGCCGGAAAAGGAUUGAAACUUUCAUUAAUAACAGUCUCUUACUAAAUAUAAUAAUAUACAAAAUGUUAGAAAAACAUUUAAAAGGGAAAAAGAAUAUAUAAAAGAAAUAAAGCUUGUAAAUGUUUUUUAUGCAGUAAAGAAGGACAUAUUAAAUCACAUUGCCUUGAGAGAAAAAAAAAAGUCAAUCAGUUAAAAGUAGACAGUUAUAAUACAAAAGAACAUGUUUUAGACAUAAAAAAAUUCUUAAUAUAGAUCAAUUAUUUGACAAUGAUAGUAUAUGUAUUAUUAGUAGUAGUGAAUCUGACACUAGUAGCAAUUAUUUGAUAAUGAUAGUAUAUGUAGUAUUAGUGGUAGUGAAUCAAACACUAGCAGCAGUUCAGGUUUAGAAUCAAACUCAGAAUUAGAAUCAGACUUAUAAAUUAAUGUUCUAGAAACUUACACAUUAUUUUAUGGUGAACAGACUGUGAAAAAAAAAAUUGAAUUAGGAUAUAGAGAUACAAACACAAGAAAAUUCUUUUGUAAUAAUUGUAAAGAUAAACAAAAAAAAAAAGAUAAUACAAUAGAAAUACAUAGAGCAGGUAGAAUUAUUAUUUAAAAAAGAAACGGUUUAUACUAAAGUAAUGAUAGACACAUGUGCAAAUAAAUAUAUUAUACAUGAUAGUUUAGUACCUAAAGAGAAUAUGAAUAAGUUUAGAAAUUCAGUAAAUAUUAGACAAUUUAAUGGUGAAUUAAUGCAAAUAACAGAAUGUAUAAAUAAUAUACCCAUAAGAAUAAAUGGAGAAACAUUCAUUUCUAAUAAAAAAGCUGGAUAUAAAUUUAUUUUAGGAUUAAACUUUAUAUUAGGAAAUAAUGGUAGCAUAUUAAUAACUCCAAAUGGAGUGAAUGUCUUUAAAAAAUCAACAUUUAUUCAACCUAAAUAUGUGACACACAUUUUUCUAUACAAAAAGAAAACUUUAAUGAUCGAAAAAGAUGUAGAUAUAGAAUUCUUUUAUUCUCUAUCAGAAGAAGAAAAAGUACAAAAAUCAAAAGAACUAGAAAACAAAAGUAAGCUAAAAGUAAAAAGUGAUAUGUAUGAAGUAGUAAUUUUAGAUGAUGAAGAAAUAGACAAGUAUUUAGAAGAUGUAACGAAUGUAGAAAAACAAGUAGAGUGUUUAGAACGUGAAAAGUGGCCUGAAGAAAUUAGGAAAAAGGCAGAAGAAUUAGAAAAAUUAGAGAUAACAGGUAACAUUCCAAUUAGAAAAUAGGGUUUAGCUACAAUGCAACUGUUGUUUCAUACCUUAUUUUUUUUGUCUAUUUGUGAUCCAACCAUUGCAUCCAACCCGAGAGUUGCAAAGGCUAUUCCAACAGUUUGGAUGUUAUUAUUUGGUUAUUAACGAUGUGGUCCCUUAUGUUUACUAAAAGAAUAAGAAAAGAUUAAAUUUUAAAAUUUGGACACAUUGGUCCGUUAAAUAUUUUAUUAUCAAAUGUAAUUUAGUAAACGAACAUAUUUAUAUAUUAAAAAUAUGGAUGGAUUAUUUUAACUUGCUAAAAUACUCUCCACUUCCAUUUACUUAAAAUACCAAUUAUAUUUUAAUAAUACUAUUUUGUAUUUAGUGUAAUACAAAAUUGGAUAAAGUUUUAUAUAAAUUUUGACAAUAUUAAAAUGAAAAAUAAAUAAAUAUUAAAUAAAUGCUUGGAUAGUCAUUUAAAUUCAUUAUAGAGUUUAUAAAUAAUAUUUUCAAAAUAAUAAAUUUCUAUAUGUAAAUUUGAGAUUAUGUAAAAUUACUUAUAUUUUAUCCCACGUAUGAAGCCGAUCAAUUAUUUAUUUAAUAUAAAAACAAAUAAAUUAUAUAAUAUUUAUUCUAUUACUUAAAUUUAGAAUUAUAAAGAAUGAAACUUAAAUUUAAAAUUGAUUGAGAAGGAGAUAGAGAGAAUAAAAUUUUUAGAAUUUUAAAACUAUUAUAUUUUAAUUGAGUUUAUUACAUAAAAUUAUUAAAACUUAUAGUUUUUAUUAUUUACAUAAAACAAUAGGGAUUGUUGAAGAAAAUGCCAAAUAAACUUUUUAAAAUUUUGAAUUAUUAUCUUUUAAUUGGGGCUUAUUGUAUAAAAUUUUUAAAACUUAUAGUUUUUAUUAUUUACAGAAAACUACAGGGACUGCUAAAGAAAAUACCAAAAUGGUAUUUGGUACAACGGUAGUUUUGCCCUAGAAAAUGUAAUAAGGAAGUAUAUAAAUUAGAAAUCAUUAAUGCAUAUAUAACAAUAAAAACACAAAAUUUAGCUUAUCGUUUAGAAGAUAGGAAAGAAUUGAAAAUGCACAUAAAUGAAUUAUUAGAAUUAAAAGUUAUUAAAGAUAGUACAAGUAGACAUACAAGUCCCGCAUUUAUUGUAAAUAAUUAUAGUGAGUAAAAAAGAGGUAAGAGUAGGAUAAUAAUUAAUUAUAAAAAAUUAAGCGACAAUACUCUAGAUAACAGUUAUAAAAUACCUAAAAAAGAUGAAUUACUAAAUUAUAUACAGAACGCAAAAUAUUUUUCUAAAUUUGAUUGUAAAAGUAGUUUUUGGCAAAUACGACUCUAUGAAGAAUCAGUACAAUGGACAACUUUUAAUUGUUUAGAAGGACAUUUUGAGUGGUUAGUAAUACCAUUUGGAUUAAAAAAAUGUCCCACAAGUUUUUUCAAGGUAGAAUGGAUAGAGUAUUAAAGCCUAUUUUAAAAUUCUAUGUAGUUUAUAUUGAUGAUAUUCUUGUUUUUACUCAAAAUAAGUUUAUGUAUAUUACUCAUCUACAUAAAAUUUUAGAUUGUUUUAAGAAUAAUAAUAUAGUAAUUUCUAAAGAAAAAUUGAACUAUUAAAACAAAAAAAAAAGAUUUUUUAGGACUAACAAUAGACAGAGGAACUAAAGAAUUACAACCACAUAUAGUUGGCAAAAUACUAGAAUUUCCAAAUAAAAUAGAAGAUACUAAAAAAGUACAAAAAUUCUUAGGAUUAUUGAAUUACAGUAGCAAAUUCAUACCAAAUCUUAGUGCAUUCAUAAGACCUUGAUAUAAUAAAUUAUGUGAAGAUGGACAAAAAUAUUUUAAUAGUGAAGACAUAAAAUUAAUUCAAAAACUUAAAGGAAUAGUUAAAAAUCUUAAGCCAUUAACAUUAGCUAUAGACAGUUACUAUAAAAUUAUAUAAACAGAUGGAAGUGUUAACAUGUAUAUGUUCAUAAUAUUGAUUUUGAUGAUAACAAACUUUAAAUGUUUUUUAUUAAAAUGAUGAAGCUAUUCAUUAAUAAACAAAAGCCUUAUAAUCAUUCCAAUUGUUUUCAAAGAGGUUGGAUAAGUGGUAUAUUUCAAAAUUGGAAAAUGAUUCUCUGCAAUAUCUGGCUAAAAAGAUUCUGGAAAUAAACGGUGAACUGUUUUCCAUUUAAACGGUUAACCGAUUAAAACUAGACAGUAACAAAAUUGCUUAAGCUCUAACCAGUUAAAAAAAACAGAAAAUACAAAAAGCUAGGAAGGCUACUGGAAUUAAACUGUGAACUGUUUAUUGAAACGGUUAACAGAUAAAAUCCAGAAGGUAAGAUUAUACUCAUCUUGCUACUGGAAACAAACGGCAAAAGUUUAACUGAAACGGAUAAGGCUAAUUUAUUUUGCAGGUUACUGGAAACAAACGGCGAAUCGUUUCGUGCAAACGGUUAACCGAUAAAAUUCAGAAAGGUUAUUUCGUUCAAAUCUUUAACUAUAAACAGAUAACUAAAGUUUGUGUUGCAGGUCUCUGGAAUUUAACGGCGAAAGGGUAAGUCUAAACGGAAAAGCGUUUAUUUGAAAUUUGGCCCAACGGUAACUUUGACCAGCCUAAACGGUUAACCAUUAAUAGUUAACGGCGAACCAUUUUUGAGCAGACAGUCUGUAAUGACUAGUUUUUCAGCUCCAAGUAUAAAUAAGCUCAUUCAAAUUCAAACAAGGUUGAUCACAACACGACCAUUGAACUUAUAUUUGAGAAUACAAUCUUCAUAGAGCUUUAAACACAUUCUUGCUUCAUCUAUUCACACAUUGGGCAUCGAUUUGUAAUCUUAGAUAUUGUGUGAGAGAAAAAUAAUUUGUAAUAUUUUAUUUUGAGUGAUUGUAAGUGUUGGGAUACACUUGGGUUAAGAGAUUGGGGAUAAUCUCUUGCUGUAAAGGUUCAUUGACACCUUGGAAGUCAAGUGUAAGCUUUUGAAGCCUUGGAGGCUUGCUUAGUAAAAUCCUCAAGCCUGGAAAGCUUGGAGGCGUGGACGAAGACGAGGUUGGCUGAACCAUGUAAAAAUCUUCGUGUUUGAAUGUCUCUUCCCUUAUCUUUUUAUAUUGUAAUUGAUUUAAUUGUUAUUGCUUUAAAUUCGUUUUAAAAUUGCAUGAUAUUUUGUUUUAGAAUUAAAUAAUUUUUAGAAUCUCAAUUCACCCCCCCUCUUGGGUUGCACACUUGUAUUUCAUUUGGUAUCAGAGCUUGGUUCUCUUGUUAGGACUUAACCGUUUAGAGUAAAAGAUCCAUGGCAACCCAAAAUGACUCAACCUUUAGGGAAGGACAGUCCACAACUAAACCAUCGUUCUUUGACGGAAAUGAUUACGCAUAUUAGAAAACUAGGAUGAGAAUUUAUUUACAAGCACUAGAUUAUGAAAUUUGAGAAGUUGUAUGUGAUGGUUCGUUUAUGUCCUUAACUAAAAAUGAAGUCGGAGAAGAUAUUCCAAAACCUUCACAGGAAUGGAAUGACUUGGAAAAGAGAAAAGUUUCUCUAAAUUCCAAAGCUAUGAAUGCCUUAUUUUGUGCACUUGAUAAGAAAGAAUUUCAUAGAGUAUCUAGUUGUGAGAGUGCCAAUGAAAUUUGGCACAAACUUGAAGUUGUCUAUGAAGGCACAAAUCAAGUGAAAGAGUCGAAAGUUAGUAGGUACACUCGACAAUAUGAGUUGUUCCAAAUGGAACAAAAUGAGAGUGUUUACUCUAUGUAUACUAGAUUUACGGACAUAGUAAACACCCUAGGAGCCCUAGGAAAGACCUUCUCUAACAGUGAGAAAGUUAAUAAAAUCAUUAGGUCACUUCCAAAAGAAUGAAGACCUAAAAGAACUGCUAUUGAAGAGGCCAAAAAUUUAAAUAUUUUACCUCUUGAUGAUUUAAUUGGUUCUCUCAUUUCAUAUGAAGAAGAUUUGGCAGCAGAAAAAGGGCAUGGAGAGAAGAAGAAAAACAUUGCUCUCAAAGCCUCAAAGUAUGAGAGUGAUGGGGAGAGUGAACCGGAUGAUGAAGAGUUGGCCAUGCUAGCAAAGAGGUUCAGAAAAUUUUUCAAGAAAACCGGUGAGCGAAGAAAAUUCAAAAACUUCAAGAAUUCAAGGGAGAAGAAAGAGGUAAUCACAUGCUAUGAAUGCAAGAAGCCUGGCCAUAUAAGAUUGGAGUGCCCACUUAUCAACAAACUCAAGAAGAAAGCCAUGGUUGCAACUUGGAAUGAUAGCGAUGAAGAUUCAAGUGAUGAAGAAGAGUCGCAAGAAGUAUCAAACCUAGCACUUAUGGCAAUAGGAGAUGAUGAUGAUCUCAAUGAGGUAAGUGAUCCUACUUAUGAUGAAUUGUAUGAUGUUUUUAAAGAAUUGCAUAAUGAGUUGAUGAAGAUUGGUAAAAAGAAUGUGUGUUUUAAAAAGGAAAUGGUAAAGCUCAAAAAUGAAAAUGAAUCUCUAAAUGCAAAAAUUACAUGCCUAGAAAUAGAGAACAAAACAUUGCAUGAUAAAAUUGAGUUAUCAAAUGAGAAACCUAGCACCUCACAUGAGCNNNNNNNNNNNNNNNNNNNNNNNNNNNNNNNNNNNNNNNNNNNNNNNNNNNNNNNNNNNNNNNNNNNNNNNNNNNNNNNNNNNNNNNNNNNNNNNNNNNNAAUGGGUUUUUUUUGAAAUUUUACAAAGGGGCAAAAAGAGGUGGGAUACACUGCUCCAAUCCCAAAAAAAUGUGUUGUGGACAAAGGGGGGAUGUGGUUUUUUAGCCCCACCCUUGAAACCAAAAAAUUUUAUAAUGAAAAUCCCAAUUUAUCCCCCCCCAAGGGGGGGGGGGGGGGGGUGAAUUGAGUUUUUAAAAUUUAUGCAAUACAAAUUUGCACAACAAUUUAAUCUAUUGCCUUAAUCAAAUAAAAAACAAUAAAUUCAAUCAAGCUCUAUAUUUAAAUUUUUUAAGGGAAGAGAAAACAAACACAAGGAUUUUUACGUGAUUCGGCUAUCCCCGCCUACGUCCACGCCUCCAAGCUCACUCGACUUGAGGAUUUCACUAUCCAAACCUCCCAAGGCUUCAAAUGUUUACAAUUGACUUCCAAGGUGUCAAUGCACCUUUACAACAAGAGAUUAUAUCCCCAAUCUUUUCACCCCAAGUGUUUCUCACACUUGUACACUCACAAUUUGAUGAGAAAUGAAAAUCAAAACAAUGAAACUCUCUUUAAGAGUGGAUAAACAAAUUAUAGCUCAAUAAUGAUUCAACAAAUGUUGAUUUACGAAAUGGAAGCUCAAUAUAUGUUAUAUGAUCUUGUUUUUCCUUGAAAUAAAUGUUGGAGUUGAGUUUUUAUAGUUAAAGCCCGAAAACUAGCCGUUAUAGGCAAAUUCCAGCGCCCAAGCGGUUAGCCGCUAAUGAACAGUGAUAUUAUCGUUAUUUUUGAAUUUGCUACAGUAACACUGUUCACUAAAAUUACACUUUAGCCCAAAAACUUUCUAUAAUUCUAAUAUGGCCCAAAACGUAAUAAAAUUUUAGAAAUAGGUCCAACUUCAGGAUUUCUUAAUAAUAGUUGUUUUUCCAAAACUUUUUAAAAUUAUGCUAUGGCCCCAAAUGUAUUAUUAUUUCUCAAAGAGGUCCUUUUUAACAUAAUACCCAUAUUUUUCAAAGUUCUCAAAAUCUUUCACUUUAGUCCAAAAUAUUCAUAAAUUAUAGUAUGGCCCAAAACAUUUCAAAUGUUUGUAAAACGGUCCAACUCCGAAAUUCAAUAAUAAUACUUAUUAAAAUUAAAGAUUUCAAAACUUUGCAUUUAAGUCCAAAUUACUCAAACCACAAAAUACUUUACCUUAUAAAAAUAAAACCGUUUAGUUUAUGAAAAGUAAUUAUUUAAAUUAAUCUCUUGAGCUUCUCAAAUGCUAAAUCAUGCAUCAAUUAAAUCAUACCGGCUUUACAAGAAUUUAUCGCACUAAUUUGUCCGUUGAGCUCUAAACUUUAUUCUUGAUUUCGCCGUUGUCCGUUGAGUGUCUUCAACUUGAUUUCACUUGAUUCACUUGCAUAAAUAUUAUCCUUAAAAAACUAGUAAAAAUUGUGAAAUACAAUAUUUAUUAAAUCGCUUAAUACACAUGUUUGUUAUUAUCAAAAUUACAUUAUGUGUAGCCCUUUAGACUAACAAUAAGAACAACUUUGUGAAGAGUACAUCUAGUAGCAAUCAAGUUGUAUGUUAUUUUUGUAAUCAAGAUGGUCAUAUGAAAAAUAAGUGUCCAGUAAAAAGAAAUACAUAUUAUGGUAUGAAAUGCAUUUGGGUUCCAAAAGGAACUAUUGCUAACUCUCAAGGACCCAAAAAGUUUUGGGUACCUAAAACUUGAAUUUUUCUCUACAGGGCAUGAAGAAAAAGAAAAAUAAAUGGUACUUGGACAAUGGUUGUUCAAGGCACAUGACCGGAAACUAUGCAUGGUUCUCAAGCUUCACCAAAAUUGAAAAUGGUGGAGACGUAUCUUUUGGAGACAACUCAAAAGGAAAAAAUCUUGGAAUUGUAAAUGUUAGUAAAGUUUCCUCAACUCUAAUUGAGAAUGUUUGUUUUGUUGAGAACUUGAAACACAACUUGAUUAGUAUUAGUCAAUUAUGUGACAAAGGUUAUAAAGUUGUCUUUGAUAAAUUUAGUUGUGUCAUUGAGAAUUCAUGUGAUGGAAAGAUCUUAUUUGUUGGAAAUAGAUGUGGUAAUGUUUAUAUCAUUGACAUAGAAUGUGCAUCUACUCUUGAUAAAUGCUUUUCGGCAUCGCAUGAUGAUAGUUGGUUAUGGCAUAGAAGGUUAGGACAUGCAAGUAUGGACUUGAUUUCAAAAAUUUCGAAAAAUGAUUUAGUCAAAGGUCUUCCAAAAAUCGAUUUUCAAAAGGAUAAAAUUUGUGAAGCUUGUCAACUUGGAAAACAAAUCAAAACAUCUUUUAAAAACAAAAAUCAUAUUUCCACUUCAAAACCACUUUAACUUCUUCACAUAGAUUUGUUUGGACCUUUAAGGUAUGUUAGCUUGAACGGAAAAUAUUACACUUUUGUAAUUGUUGAUGAUUUUUCAAGAUACAUAUGGGUAUUAUUCUUAACUAAUAAGGAUCAUGCUCUUGAUGCUUUUAAAGUACUUUGUAAGAAAAUUCAAAAUGAAAAAGGGUAUGGUAUUGCAUGCAUUAGAAGUGAUCAUGGAGGAGAGUUUGAAAACUAUGCAUUUGAAACCUUUUGCAAUAAUCUAGUCAUUGUGCAUCAAUUUUCAUCACCUAGAACUCUACAACAAAAUGGAGUUGUUGAGAGAAAGAAUAGGUCAAUUCAAGAAAUGGCUAUGACUAUGUUAAAUGAAAAUUCCUUGCCUAAGUAUUUUUGGGCCGAGGCCGUCAACACCGCUUGUUAUAUUUUAAAUCAUGUAUUGAUUAGACAUAAUCUUAAUAAAACCCAUAUGAGCUUUGGAAAGAUAGAAAACCCAAUAUUGGUUAUUUCAAAGUUUUUGGAUACAAAUGUUUUAUUUUGAACACAAAAGAUAAUCUUGGCAAAUUUGAUCCAAAAUUCGAUGUUGGUAUUUUUCUUGGAUAUUCAAACUCAAGCAAAGCUUAUAGAGUUUAUAACAAAAGAACUCUAGUUGUAGAAGAAUCAAUGCAUGUUACAUUUGAUGAGUCUAACCCCUUUUCUACGGAGAAAGGAAUUAUUUAUGAUGAUGCAGAUGGAGAGUUACAAGAAGAAUCAUCAAAGCAUAAACAAGAGAAUGCACCACAAAGAAAUCAAGAGGAUGGACAAGUAGAGCAAACAAAUAUGGAGCAACAUGAAGGUACUUCUCAAACACUCCCCAAGGAGUGGAGGUAUGUUUCUUCUCAUCUUAAGGAUGUAAUUUUAGGAGAUCCCUCACGAGGUGUUACAACUAGAUUAUCACUUAGGAAUACUUGUGAGUAUAAUGCAUUUAUUUCUCAAAUUGAACCCAAAUCCUUUGCGGAUGUGGAAAAUGAUGAAUCUUGGAUUAUGGCAAUGCAAGAGGAGGUAAAUUAAUUUGAGAGAAACCAUGUGUGGGAAUUAGUUCCUAAUCCGGAACAUCAAUCCAUCAAAGGUACUAAAUGAGUAUUUAGAAAUAAGAUGGAUGAAUCUGGUAUGGUUGUAAGGAAUAAAGCUAGAUUAGUGGCUCAAGGUUACAACCAAGAAGAAUGAAUUGAUUUUGAUGAAACUUUUGCACCUGUAGCUAGACUUGAAUCAAUUAGAAUGUUGUUGGCAUUUGCAUGUCAUAAAGAUUUCAUUUUAUUUCAAAUGGAUGUGAAAAAUGCUUUUUUAAAUGGUUGUAUUAUGGAAGAAGUGUAUGUAAAACAACCCCCUGGUUUUGAAAUUGAAAAAUUUCCAAAUCAUGUUUAUAAGUUAUUUAAAGCUUUGUAUGGAUUAAAACAAGCACCUAGAGCAUGGUAUGAUAGGCUUAAGAAUUUCCUGUUAGAAAAUGAUUUUUCAAUGGGUAAAGCGGAUACUACUCUCUUUGUCAAACAUAAGAACAAAGACAUACUUGUUGUUCAAAUUUAUGUUGAUGAUAUUAUUUUUGGUUCUAUUAAUGAAUUGUUGUGUAAAGAAUUUUCAUUUUGCAUGAGUAAUGAAUUUGAAAUGAGUAUGAUGGGAGAGUUGAAGUACUUCAUUGGGCUGCAAAUAAAACAAAAUGAGGAAGGAAUUUUCAUAAAUCAAGCCAAGUAUGUAAAAGAUCUACUCAAAAGAUUCGGCAUUGAAGACUCAAAGACCAAAAAUACUCCGAUGAGCACAACAACCAAGCUUGACAAAGAUGAAAAAGCAAAGAAGUGGAUAUCAAAAUGUAUCGAGGUAUAAUCGGAUCUUUACUUUAUUUAACUGCAAGUAGACCUGAUAUCAUGUUUAGUGUAUGUUUGUGUGCAAGAUUUCAAUGAUGUCCCAAGGAAUCCCAUUUACUUGCUGUAAAACGAAUCUUCCGUUAUUUAAGUGGAACUAUAGAUCUCGGCCUUUGGUAUCCUAGAGGAACUCAUACAGAUUUAACAUGCUAUUCAGAUGCGGACUUUGCGGGUUAUAAAGUUGAUAGGAAGAGCACUAGUGGAACUUGCCAUAUUCUAGGUCACUCACUUGUUUCAUGGUUUAGCAAGAAACAAAAUUUUGUUGCACUUUCAACUACCGAGGCUGAAUAUAUAGCUGCAGGAAGUUGUUGUGCACAAGCUCUUUGGAUGAAACAAAUACUUAGAGACUAUGGCAUUAACCUUGAACAAAUUCCCAUUAAGUGUGAUAAUACUAAUGCUAUAAAUCUUUCAAAGAAUCCCAUUCAACACUCUCGAACCAAGCAUAUAGAAAUAAGACAUCAUUUCUUAAGAGAUCAUGUUCAAAAGGGAGAUAUUGCAUUAGAGUUUAUUUCUACGGAAAAACAACUUGCCGAUAUCUUUACAAAACCUCUUGGCGAAGAACAAUUUUCAAAAAUUCAACAUGAACUUGGGAUGAUAAAAUUUUCGCAUUAACAUUUCUAUUUAUGAUAUAGGGUCUAUUACAAUUGAUUGGUCUAUGAAAUGUUCGUAAGUGAUAUGUUUGUGUUAUCUUGUGGUUUAUGUAUGUAUAUUGAUUGUUUGACUCAUAUGCUAGUUGAUAAAUCAUGCAUUGAACUGGCUUUUAACAUGUUUCAUAUUCAUGAGUUGAUCCUGGAACAUAUUAAUUGUUGGCAAAAUAUUGAAAAUAAAUGUGCGAAAUCUAAAAAAAUAAACGGAUAACCGUUUUUCAAUAAACGGUGUACCGUUUAAUUCAAGAAACUAGGAUAUGCUCUCUGGAAAUUACUCUCUAACCAUUAAACGGACUAACCUUUCACCGUUUCCUAUUAAUUGCUCUCUGGAAGUUACUCCCUAACCGUUUCAAUAAACGGUUAGCCGUUUUCGUGAAUAUAAAACUGUUCAAAGGGUUUCUUCUCCUUCGUCAUUUGCCCUCUGCCAUUUCAGCCAUUGUUGCGCAGCCGAAGCUUUCUCCAUCCUAAAUCCUUCAUUUCUCUUGUUUUUCUUGCCAAAUCACACCUAUAAACCCUCUUCCAUCAUUAUUAGAGUGCUUUCACCGAUUCAAUUCAUCCAAUUGAGCCCAAAAUUCGAAAAUCCCAAAUCAAAACCGUAAGGUCAGCCGGUUAGGUUUCGUCAUUUUUGACCUAAUUUGUGUCUCUUUUCAACCACAUUAGGCCUCCAAAUUCCAUCCUCCAUUCUCCCUUGAUCCCAAAAUAAAUUUUUUUUGUCCAAACUCUCUUUUCUCAAAAUCCUCCAUUCUCAUUGUUCUUCACCAUGGCCGAGCCCUCUUGGAGAACUCGAACGAGGAAGGAUACGCCUCAAAGGAAUCCCAUACCACCACGGGCAGUCUCUGAAUUCGAAAGAAUUCAUUUUCCCACCCCCUCAUUGGCCAAGCGUUUUGAGGACCGCUUCAAUGGUAGAAAGGUACUUGAUUCUUUCUGUGUUGACAUAGAAGAUUUUAGAACCUUAAUUGUGUAUGGUAGAAGUGUUAGAAAUAUGCUACACCCUUGGGAGUCCGCCAUUGACUUUGAUGACCGAGUUUAUCCUAACUUAGUGCGAGUUUUCUAUUCAAACAUGGAAAUUUUCGAAACCCGCCUAGAUAGGAUAGUUACUCAGGUUGGUGGUGUGCAUAUUGAAUUUGAUGUUGAGCUCUUGAACAAUAUUCUAGGGAUUUCAAAUGAUGGACAUAGGAUUUAUACAUCCAGAAAAGCACUAUUUUUUAGUACUUUUUCUCAUCAUCGCGGUGUCCGAAACAUUUGUCGUCGUCGAGACCUGACUUAUGACAUUUGUAAUUUAGCAUUUUGGUCUCAACUAUUACCUCUACAAGUUCGUAUCCUGCAUUUUAUUCUACAACAUAUCAUUACACCUAGGAAGGGCCAUUCAGAUGAGGUUACACGGUUGGAUGUUGGGUUACUAGAUAGUCUUAUUACCGGGAGACCUAUUAACCUUGGUUACAUUAUUGUGCGGCACAUGUUGAGUAUUCCUGCGGUUAACCACCGCUUGCUUUCGUAUGGUAGUAUCAUUAUUAAGAUACUGCGACGCUUUGAGGUGCCCCUUCUAGAUACCGGUUAUAUAGAGACCAGACGGAUUGGUCCAUAGGCCAUAACCAGUAUCGGUUUCUCUAGAAAGAAUGGCCAGUGGAUAAAGACUUCCACCUCCAAAAAUCGCGAUACUUUGAUUGCUCCAGAGGAUGAUCAUAUGCUCAACGAUGUUUAUCGUCCCGAUCAGCUUCCAAAUUUUAGAUUAGGGCCUCAUUCUCCUCCUCCGCACCGCCGCUCUAUUCCCCAGCCUCUAGCUGAUUCCGAUACAGAGGAGCAUGAGAUGGAUGUGGAUAUUCCAUCCACUUUGAUGCCACCUCCAGCUCCAGCACAGCCUUCCACUCCCGAGCCCUCUACUGUUCCUGCGCAGCACUCCGCUUCUGAGCCACCUCCAGCUCCCGAGCAACCUCCUGCUUCAGUUCAGCCCUUACUUCGGAUGCUUUGCAGCAGUUGGCGGAUGAUGUUCGCAGGAUUUCGGAGAGGCAACAACUGAUUCUCGAUAGGUUGGACACUUUCUCCCGCGAUCAUCAGCAGCUUCGUUCUGAGUUUCAAACCUUCCAGCAGCAGAGCAUUGAUCAGCAGCUUGAGCUUAUAGCUGGACAAUGCACUAGGGGUGUUCGCGGAUCGGAUUUUACGGAUUGGACAUCAAUCCAUAUCCGAUCCAUGAUUUUGCGGAUUAUAAUUUUUCAAUCCAAUCCAAUCCACGGAUUGAUAAAAUUCAAUCCAUAUCCAAUCCAUACAUCUGCGGAUCGGAUGCGGAUUUGACUCAAUCCAUAUCCAAAUCCAUCAUUUUACGAAUUGAUUUGCGAAUUAAAAAUUUUAGUUCUCUUCAAUCUAUAAACUAAUGAAAUUAAAAAAAAAUCUAAUAUAAAAUAAUUUUACUACCAAUUAAAUUUAAAAUUAAAUAAAAUUUAAACAAAUUAAUUGUUUGUUUUAAUAAUACAUUCAAAAUUUCAAAAUAUAACACAUCGUGAUUAAUUGUUUAAAUAAAACUAUAAUAAUACGUUUAAAGUUUUAAAACAUAACAUACCAAAAUUAAUUGUUCAAAUAAAAUUACAAUAAUAUAUUAAUAUAAUAUCAAAAUUAAUUGCUCAAAUAAAGCCACAAUAAUACAUUGAAAGACUCAAAAUAAAACACACCAAAAGGAAAAACUUCCACCUCCAAUUUGUGUUUCGUAUUUUAGCCUAAACAAAAUAAACAUAAUUGAUAUAAAUAACAAAUAAAAAAUUAUUAAAUAAAAAAAUUAUUUAAUAAAUAUUUACCCUUAUAUCACAUCAAAUGCCAUCAAGCUUCAUCAAAUAUGUUCUUGUCAGCUCCCAAAAUCUCUAUACGUAUAAGAUAAGAAAAAUGUCAAUUUUUAAAAUAGAAUAACAACAUAAAGUCAAAUAAUAAUCAAAAAAUAAAAUUAAAGGUAAAUUGUUACAUUUUACCUAUCUCAAUAUGUUCAAUCUCAUCUAUUGCUUCAUCAAAAUUUAUCGGAGUUGAACGUAGCCAAUUUUGUGUGCAAAUUAAUGCCUCCACCGUCCUUGUAGAUAGUGAGCACCGAUGUGGAUCAAGAACACGCCCACCAGUGCUAAAUGCUGACUCAGAUGCCACAGUAGAAACAGGCAUGGCCAAAAUAUCUCGAGCAACAUAAGACAAAAUUGAAUAUUUGGAAGAAUUAAUCUUCCACCAAUCUAAAACAUUAAAACUCUCAUUUUCUGGGUUCUCACAUGAUUCUAACAAGUAAAGAUCCACUUCUGUUUUGCACUCUAUAAAAAUGUUGUCUUUUAAAAUCCUCAUAUAACCCAAAUCAAACAUUUGCCUAGCAUCAACCUCAGUAUCAACCUCUAAAUCUUUUUCAUCAUUGACAGCAUCCAUUACUUCCACAUUAUCACCAUAAAGCAAUUUGUAUUCCUCAUAUAAACUAUGUAAAUUAUUCCGCACUUUAACAACCAACUCAUUAGCUUUAAAUUCACCAAACAACACUACAAAACAAUAUCUCAAAAACCGUUCUUUAUGUCGAGGCUCAAGCAAAAUAGAAACAAACAAGUAAGGGUUGAUUGUUUCAUAAUUUCCCCAAUACUUAUCAUACUUCUUUUUCAUAUUUUCAGCCAUUAUCUUCAAAAAUAAAUCCUUACUAUCCCUCCAAGCUUGCAAUUGUGUAUGAAUCAAACAUAAUUGGCGCAAAAAAUUAUUGGAGGUCACAUAUAAAGAACCCGAAAAUGUCAAAGUGGCAUCAUGAAAAACCUUCAAGAAUUUAAUGAAAUAACGAGCAUAUUCCCAAUCAAUUGACGAAGGACACGUUUUUGGCUCGCUCAAACAAAACUCACGUAUGUAUUGUGCAUCAUGAAGCUCUAACCGAUCAAAUACUUUUUCAUACUUUUCAGCAGCCUCUAACAUGAAAAAAGUGGAAUUCCAUCUAGUUACGACAUCUAAACACAACAACUUAUUUGAAGAAAUUUUCUCUCGCUCUGCAUAUGCCUUAAACUUUUGUGUCCUAGAAGGCGAAGAUCUAAUAAAUCUUACAACAUUGCGAAUUUUAGAAAUCGACUGAUGAUACUCUUUUAACCCUUCUGCAACAAUGAGAUUUAAUAUAUGUGCACUACACCUCAAAUGCAUAUUUUGACCCCCUAAAAUUGCACUAUUCCAAUUGUUCACAACUUUUGACAAAUAAAAGACAACACCAUCAUUAGAAGAAGCAUUAUCAACCGUUACUGUAAAAACUCUCUCAAUACCCCAAUCUAAUAGGCAUGUUUCAAUUUGCCUACCAAUUGUUUCACCUUUAUGGUCAGCAACUUGACAAAAAUUCAAUAUUUUUUUGUGCAAUGUCCAAUUAUCAUCAAUAAAGUGAGCUGUAAGACACAUAUAACAAAGAUUUUGAGCUGAAGUCCAUGUGUCUGUAGUGAGGCAAACUCUUUGAUGACUACUAACAAAAAAAUCAGUCAAAUCUUUCUUUGUUUUUUUGUAAAGUUGCAAAAUAUCACGAGCAAUAGUAGUGCGAGAUGGUACUUUAAAUCUAUUUUCAAAAACUCCCAACAUUUCCCUAAACCCUUCACCCUCUACAACUCUAAAUGACAUCUCAUCUUUUAUAACAAACUUAGCAAUUGCUUCCCUACAAGCUUCAACAUUAUAUGUCGUUGAUACAAGGCUACAUGGCUCUCCAAUUUUCACUGGUUGGUAAGACAAAGUUUUUUGUUUUUUGUCCACUCGAGCUCGACCGGGAUAUUUUAGACAUCUCUCUCUUAUAUGACCCAAUAAAUUAGAUGUUCCUUUAUGAAAACCACAUUUAUAUUCUUUUCCACAAUAUCGACAUUUGGAUCUAGGAUGCAGUGGAUCAGAACUUAAUUGGAUAAAAUGCUCCCAAGCUUCUGAAGUAGUGGAUUUAUUGGGCGUACCUUCAGCAUUACUGGAUGAUUUAGAACUUGGGGGGGUUGAAUCUACAGCUACGCGUUUUCCUUUAUCAAAUUGAGAAGUCAUCUACACCACCAAAAAGAAAAAUCAUGAAAUUCGCAUGUUAUAUCCAGAAAAAGUAAUAUGAUUGUUAGAUCCACAGAAGCAACAUGAUUCAAACACCCCCAACAACAAUUCUUUAAUCUUCAUUUUUUAAAAAAAUAGCCCAUCAAACAAGAAAUUAACAGAUUCAAUUUUACCACAGAAUAAAAAGCAAAAGCAACCGAAUUAGGACAUAUAAUCAACAAAUAAUUCUCUUCCUCAAUCCCCAACAACCUUAUUAUUAAUAAAAGAAUAUCAAAAUCAUUAUCUCAAGUCACCAUUGAUAAAAAAGAAGAUACAUAAUAAUAAUUAAAAAAAAAUCAGAAUAAAUGUUAUCGAAGAUAAAAUCAAAAUAAUAAAUUAGGAGAAUAUUUACGAGUACUGUACCUGAAGAAGGAGAUAGACACACCGUGAUAAGAUUUAAUAAUACUCGUCGAUAUUGUGCGUGUGACUGUGAUGGCAAGGAAGCAGGAAGCAGCUUAGGGUUUUUUUUUCGUUUGCAGAGUGACCACUGAUUAGCGAUUUUGGGUUAUGCUAAAUUGCUAAUGCUAGUUGCUUUUGGCGUUAUCUCCUUUAUGUCAUUGUUAUUAUUUUUUUUUUUGACAAAAGCUUUAACUUUUGACUUUAUUUCAAUAAUUUUUGACCGAUUUCAUAUUUUUUAUUUUUUUUAUUAGAUAAUGAUUGUUAUGUUACUUUACUUAAUAACUUUACUUUACUUUAAUUUUUUUAAUUAUUAAUUUAAUAUUUUUUGUUUUAUAAUUUUAUUAAAUAAUGACUAAAUUAAAUUAUAGUGUUUAUAUAAUUAUGUAAUAUUAUAUUUAUAAUAUUUUUUAAAAUAAAUAAAUAAAUAUAUUUUUUUGCGGAUUCACGGAUUUUUGCGGAUUCACAGAAGUAAAUCCAUAUCCAAUCCACUGACUGCGGAUUUUUAAAAUUUCAAUCCAAUCCAAUCCACCAAUCCACGGAUUGGAUUUAUACGGAUCGGAUUUUUGCGGAUCAGACGGAUUGAACGGAUCGGAUCGGAUUCUGAACACCCCUACAACGCACUCUUCUUCGUUAUUUCGGUUAUGAUCCGGGAAGCACAUCUUCACCACCUCUAUAGUUUCUGAGUUUCAUAUUCGCACAUACAUUUCAUAUUCUGGUUGUUUGCGUGUUGCUAUUUAUAUUUUGGGUAUACAUUUCUACUUCUCUAUGAUUUUGAUGAUGGAUUGUUUCUGUGAUGUUCUUGAUAUUAGAUGAUUUGCUGGAUUAUUGUUUUUGUGAUAUUGGAUGAUUUUAAUAUUGUUGGCUGAUUUUAUAUUGGAUAAUGGAGUUGUUGGUAUGAUUGGAUGAUGGGGUUGUUAUUAAUAUAUUUGGAAGUGUUUUUAAUCAUAUUUUUUAUUAGCGGAUUUGUUCCAUUUUAAGGGGAAAUUCUGCCAAAAUUUUUGCUCGCCAAACCUGGGUAAUUUCUUUGUCACGAUGUUUUACGUCCUUCUUUUCUCUCUCUUUUUUUAUGAUGAAGGGGGAGAAAAUGUCCUGUAUUUUGUGUAUAUUGACAAAGGGGAGAUAGUAUAAUAAGAAUAAAAUUCACUUUUGAAAUGAACUUUGUUUUUUUUUUUUAAAUGAAUUCUCUUUUUAAAAUGUUUCCUUGAGCAAAAAUCUGUUUAUUGGACAUAUUUUUAAAUUGGCCAUACAUUUAAGGGGAGCAUAUAUUAAGGGGGAGAAAAAUAGUGAAUAAAGUUUGUCAUCAUCAAAAAGGGGGAGAAUGUUAACAUGUAUAUGUUCAUAAUAUUGAUUUUGAUGAUAACAAACUUUAAAUGUUUUUGAUUAAAAUGAUGAAGCUAUUCAUUAAUAAACAAAAGCCUUAUAAUCAUUCCAAUUGUUUUCAAAGAGGUUGGAUAAGUGGUAUAUUUCAAAAUUGAAAAAUGAUUCUCUGCAAUAUCUGGCUAAAAAGAUUCUGGAAAUAAACGGUGAACCGUUUUCCAUUUAAACGGUUAACCGAUUAAAACCAGAAAGUAACAAAAUUACUUAAGCUCUAACCGGUUAAGAAAAACAGAAAAUACAAAAAGCUGGGAAGGCUACUGGAAUUAAACCGUGAACCGUUUAUUGAAACGGUUAACCGAUAAAAUCCAGAAUGUAAGAUUAUACUCAUCUUGCUACUGGAAACAAACGGCAAAAGUUUAACUGAAACAGAUAAGGCUAAUUUAUUUUGCAGGUUACUGGAAACAAACGGCGAACUGUUUCGUGCAAACGGUUAACCGAUAAAAUCCAGAAAGGUUAUUUCGUUCAAAUCUUUAACUGUAAACAGAUAACUAAAGUUUGUGUUGCAGGUCUCUGGAAUUUAACGGCGAAAGGGUAAGUCUAAACGGAAAAGCGUUUAUUUGAAAUUUGGCCCAACGGUAACUUUGACCAGCCUAAACGGUUAACCAUUAAUAGUUAACGGCGAACCGUUUUUGAGCAAACAGUCUGUAACGGCUAGUUUUUCAACUCCAAGUAUAAAUAAGCUCAUUCAAAUUCAAACAAGGUUGAUCACAACACGACCAUUGAGCUUAUAUUUCAGAAUACAAUCUUCAUAGAGCUUUAAACACUUUCUUGCUUCAUCUAUUCACACAUUGGGCAUCCAUUUGUAAUCUUAGAUAUUGUGUGAGAGAAAAAUAAUUUGUAAUCUUUUAUUUUGAGUGAUUAUAAGUGUUGGGAUGCACUUGGGUUAAGAGAUUUGGGAUAAUCUCUUGCUGUAAAGGUUCAUUGACACCUUGGAAGUCAAGUGUAAACUUUUGAAGCCUUGGAGGCUUGCUUAGUGAAAUAUUCAAGCCCGGAAAGCGUGGAGGCGUGGACGUAGGCGAGGUUGGCCGAACCAAGUAAAAAUCUUCGUGUUUGAAUCUCUCUUCCCUUAUUUUUUUAUAUUGUAAUUGGUUUAGUUUUUAUUGCUUUAAAUUCGUUUUAGAAUUGCAUGAUAUUUUGUUUUAGAAUUAAAUAAUUUUUAGAAUCUCAAUUCACCCCCACUAUUAGCAAACAAUGGAUAUACUUUUUAGAAGUAAUAACAAGCAGAGCAUAUAAUGCAAAGUUUGAGCACAUAGUAGGUAAAGAUAAUACUUUAGCUGAUAUUCUUUCAAGACUAAUUAAUCAAUAUUUAUUUUACAGGAAUGGAGCGAUAUAUGAAAUUCGGUUCAAUAAAACUUAGACAGAUUGUUUCAAGAAUGAAUUUAAAUUUUAAAAGAAAAUUUCGGUUAUUAGACAGUCAGUAAUGCAUUUUAAAAAAUUUCUAUAUUUGCAAUAACGCACAAGAUAAAUUAAAAGUAGCCUAUGCGCGCAUGCAUAAUUUUAGACAGAUGAAUGAAUGUGUAGACAGUAAUCACUUUGCAUUUUUUGUGUUAGUUAGACAACCAGACAUUUAUAGUCUGUGGAGAGAGUAGUUGAUUUAAUAAUCAAUUAUCCUUAUCUAUACUAUAAAGGCUUUUACUCAUUUCAUGAAGCUAUAGAAUUUGCUAGACAGAGAAUAUGACCAAAUUAUCAUGUUAGUAAUUUAAUUAAUCCUUUAAACAGUGCAUAGACAUCAUCAAAUAGACUGUUAAAUAAUUCUUUAGACAAUACAUUUUCAUCAUCAUCAUCUAUACAAUUUUGCAACCAUUGUGAAGCCUUGACAUGCAUAGCUAGAAAGCCUGAUGAAACUAGAUAUCAUUUCGACAGUAUAGUUGAAGCAUGUAGACAGUUAGAAAGCCUAAUGAAACUAGAUAUCAUUUAGACAGUAUAGUUAAAGCAUGUAGAGAGAAAAUAAUUGCAUUAGAAAGUGCUGAAGAAGGGUUAAUUAGACAGAAUAUUAUUUUACAAAAUAAAUAUCAUAUUUUGUUAGUAGAUCACUAAAAAAUCCAAAUACAAAACCAACCAUUAGAAAAAUUAUUUUACCAUAGUCCAGCCAGACAGUUAACUAAAAUCAACCAAAUCUCAUCUUUCCUUUGUGAUACCAUAGACAUUGUAAAAGAAAAAAUGGUAGAAAACAUAUACAUAGACUUUAGUUCUUUAGCCAAUCAAUUGUUACAUAGCCAGUUAAAUUUCUUACUUGAAUUUAGACCUGGGUGGUUAGAAUUAAGUAACAUUACUUCAAUUAGACAUGAUUUUCCUACUAUUUCCUUUGAUUACUCCUUAGCCAAAACACUAGACAAUGAAGACAUAUUAUACAAAGCUCUUAGUUUUGGAAUAAUACGUACUAUUUAUAUUUUGGGCCUAGACAUAUUUAAAUUCUUUCUACCUACCUUGAACAUAGCCUUAUAUAUUCUAAAACCUGCACCUUUAACAAUAAAUUUUUGUUUUAUACCACCUAGACCUCAAAUAGUCAAUAAAACCAAAACUAGUGUCAUAUUAGUAGCAUAUCAUGUUAUUUUUAUAUGCGAAGGAGCCAAAAAGUUCAAAAGAAGAAUUUAUCAUGACAAGCGCAACUUCUCUGCAAAAGAUAUAUACAAACGAACACAUGGAAUAGCAGUUUUCUAUGAAUAGGUAAAUACUCACGAUAGGAUUAUAGCCCAACCAAAACAUUAUAUUAUUAUAGCUCAAAAGCAUCUUAUCCGUGAGGAACUACUCAUUCCUUCACUAUAGAUAAAUAUUGAUAAUCCAAGAAAAUGUGAAAAAUAUUUGGAGGCGCUAAUCGAGAUGAAUUGCAUGCCAUCAUUAGGCGAUGGAUCAGAAGCUAUGAGUCAUCAAUCUAUGGAUGAGGAUAUAGCUGAAGCUGUUGAUGAAAUGAUGGACAGAUAGGAGGCACAACAAAAACUAAAUUAGUCAACAAUCGACAAUUAGCAUUAGUCAAAGGUUAAAAGUAGGCAGAGUCGUGUGUCUUUACAGAUGACCUUCUUUUACUCACUACCAGAUAAGGAAAAAUUUGUGAAGGCAUCUUUUUCAUUUUAUUUUUUAUUACCGACAGUGAGGUAACUUAGAAAAUAGUAGCAAGUCAUUAUUUGUCGACAAUGAGUCACUACAAAAUAACAGUAGCUAGACAAUCUUUUACCUUUUCAUUUUUUUCAUUAAUCAUUGGAUUUUUGCCACAUGUAAAGUAUAACUUUAAAUUUUUAUCCUUUAUACACAGAGUUAUUAAUCGUAUCAAUAAUUGUAUCCAAUCUUUAGUUGUAUAUACAUAGGACUCUUAAGACAAUAAGAAGAGAAAGGAUAACGAGAAGUAAAUGUGCAAAUAGAAGUCAAUACUUUGUACUCAAAAAUAAAAAUCAAUAAAAGUUUCUUAUUCAUCAACACUUAGCAAUCAUUUAGACAACAACUAGCAAGCUCUUACCAAGAAAGUAGUUUAAUUUCUUUAGUUUCUAGUUAUUUAGCUCGAAAAGUUAAGAAGUAUAUCCUAGUUAACAAAAGUAUAAAUUGUUAGACUAAGAAAACCUUUGGUGAAAAACAUCAUCUAUAACGCAGGAAUAUUCUUGUUGUAUCACCAAGAAUCAAUAACAAAAUAUAUAUGGAACCAUACCAAAAUCCAUAAUGCUUAAUUGCCCUCUAAGGCGGUGUGGUUGGCCUUCUAGAUCAACACGUUCUCCUAAAGAAUCCUUUAAGUUUCUCACUGCUCUCUCUCUCUGAUGAUGGGAAAUAAAAAAGAAUAGAAAGAUACGCGUGACCUGGGGACGAUAACCACUUAUAUAGACAAUCUUUUUUUGUUGUCAUUAGGUAUUCCUAAUUUUGCCCAUCAUAGAAUUAGAACACCAUUGGGUCUCUACACAUUAAAAGCCCACACCCUAUUAGAUACAUUAAGCACAUAAUACCAAAAAUCUUAAUAGAUCACUUUUAACAUAAUACCAAAAAUCUUAAUAGAUCACUUUUAAUUGGGCUUAACGUUAUAUGGCAAUUUGCAACACAUAAUUAUUCACAAAUAAGCCUAAUGUUUGAUUAAGGAUCCAACAAUAUUGAAUUAAAAAAUCUAACAAUCUCUCUCUUGUGCUAUAUGUGUAACUCUAUAAUUAUGUUUUGCAAUAAAUAACCGUAUGAGCUCAACCUUUGACUUUGGAAUACAGCACAGCUGACUUAUUGUCACAAAAUAACUUAAAUGGUUUAUCAACAUCAUCUACUAUAUGUUAACAUGUAUAUGUUUAUAAUAUUGAUUUUGAUGAUAACAAACUUUAUAUGUUUUUGAUUAAAAAUGUUGGAGCUUUCUAUAAUAAACAAUUUCUUAAAAGCCAUUUAAUAUUUCUAGAUAUGAUGAAAUUGGGAUAAUCGUUAAAUUUAAUCGAAAAAUCAUUUUUUUGUGAAAUUCUAUAAAAAUGUUGAUUCUAGGAAAUAACAAUGAACCGUUUACUGCAAACGGUUAACUAAUAAUUUUCAGAGGGGUAUUAACUUUCAAUCUUGAACCGUUUAGCAAGAACGGAUAAUCAUAAUUUGUUUUACAGGAUUCUGGAAUUAAACAGCGGACCGUUAAUGUCAAACGGUUAACCUAUAAUUUCUAGAAUGGAAUUACAUGCUAACAUUGAACCGUUUAGCAAAAAUGGUCAAGCUAAAUUUGUUUCGCAUGAUUCUAGAAAUUAACGGCGAACUGAUAAUUCCAAACAGUUAACUGAUUAUUUGAAAUUCAGCUCAAUGGUCAUUUCAAAUAGUCAAAACAGUUAAUCGAUAGCAGUUAACGACGAUCCUAUUUCUCUCAGAAAGUCAACAACAACUAGUUGUCAGUUCCAACUAUAAAAUGGCUCAAUCAAAUUCAAAUAAGAAGUUGUCCAAGAGGUAUCAUUGAGUUUACUAUUGAGAAUACAACCAUCAUUGAGCCUUAAACUUAUUCUUGUUUCAUUCAUUCACACUUUGAGCAUUCAUUUAUAAUCAUUUACAUUAUGUGAGAGAAAAUUCAUUUGUAAUCUUUAUUUUUGAGUGAUUAUAAGUGUUGGGAUACACUUGGGUUAAGAGAUUGGGAAUAAUCUCUUGUUGUAAAGAUCUAAUGACACUUUAGAAGUCAAUUGUAAGAGUUGCUGAAGCCUUGAAGGCUCGUUUAGUGAAAUCCUCAAGCCUGGUGAGCUUGGAGGUGUGGAUGUAGGCAGGGAUUACUGAACCAUGUAAAAAUCAUUGUGUUUGCUCUCUCUUCCCUUACUCCUUUGUUAUUGUACCUUAUUAAAUUUAUCAUUUUUUAUUUCAUUAAGGCAAUAGAUUAAAUUGUUGUGUGGUUUGUUUAGCUUAUGUUUUAAAAUCCCAAUUCACCCCCCUCUUACAUUGCAUAACUAGUAUUUCAUUUAGUAUCAGAGCUUAAUUCUCUUAUUAAAACUUAACCGUCUAGAGUAAAAGAUCAAUGGUAACCCAAAAUGACUCUACCAUUAGGGACGGACAAUCCACAACUAGGGCACCAUUCUUUGAUGGUAAUAACUACUCUUAUUGGAAAACUAGGAUGAUAAUUUAUUUGCAAGUGCUAGAUUAUGAAAUUUGGAAAGUUGUAUGUGAUGGUCCAUUCAUGCCUAUGACUAAAAAUAAAGUAGGGGAAGAUAUUUCAAAACCUUCACGGGAAUAGAAUGAAUUGGAAAAGAGAAAAACUUAUCUAAAUUCCAAAGCUAUUAAUGCCUUAUUUUGUGCACUUGACAAGAAAGAGUUUCAUAAAGUGUCUAGUUAUGAAAGUGCUCAUAAAAUUUGGAAUAAACUUUAAGUUAUUUAUGAAGGCACAAAUCAAAUGAAAGAGUCUAAAAUUAGUAGAUACACUCGACAAUAUGAAUUGUUUCAAAUGGAACAAAAUGAGAGUGUGUAUUCUAUUUAUAUUAGAUUUACGGAUAUAGUGAACACUCUAAAAGUCCCAAGAAAGACAUUUUCGAAUAGCAAUAAAGUUAAGAAAAUUAUUAGGUCACUACCAAAGGAAUAGAGACCUAAGAGGACUGCCAUUGAGGAAGCCAAAGAUUUAAAUGCCUUACCUUCUUAUGAGGAAUACUUGGCAGCAGAAAAAACAAUGAGGAGAAGAAGAAAAGUAUUGCCUUUAAAGCCUCAAAACAUGAAAGUGAUGAGGAAAGCGAGCUGGAUGAUGAGGAGAUGACUAUGCUGGCUAGGAGAUUCAAAAAAUUAUACAAGAAAACUAGUGAGCAGAUAAAGUUGAGAAACUACAAGAAUCAAAAGGAGAAGGAGCCAAUUACUUGCUAUGAAUGCAAGAAGCCCAGACACAUAUGAUCGGAGUGUCUUCUUCUCAACAAGCUCAAUAAGAAGGCAAUUGUAGCUACAUAGGAUGACAACGAUGAGCAAAUAAGUGACGAUGAAGAGUAACAACAGAUGACAAAUCUAGCUCGCAUAGCAAUAGGGAAAGAAUCAUUUGAUGAACUUGAUAAGGUAAGCGAUCUUCCAACAUAUGAUGAGUUACACGAUGCUUUUAAAGAAUUACAUGAUGAUUGGACAAGAAUAGGUAAAAAGAAUGUAUCCCUUAAAAAAUGCUAGAAAUUUCAAAUAAAAAGGAUGCUUUACAAAAAUGCAAUGAUUCAUUAAAUGAAAAGAUUAAAGGACUAGAGUUAGAUAAUCAAAUGUUACAUGCAGAAUUGCAUCAUUUAAAGGUAAACAAAGUAUCUCAAAUGAUCGUGAAAAAUCACACGUUGAUGAAUUGAUGAAAAAAAUCACACGUUGAUGAAUUGAUGAAAGAAAAUGAAGUGCUUAAGAAAAAGAGUAAUUAGCUCAAUCAAAAUUAUGUUAAAAUUUACAAGUGGUCAAAAGAAUUUAAAACGAUUAUUGAGCACUAAAAAAUGUGUGUUUGAUAAAGGAGGACUUGGGUAUAAGCCUAACUUGAAACAAAAAUAUUAUAAGAAUUAUUUUGUUAAAGGAUUAUUUUGUUAAAGCUACCUCUACAAGUGAUCAUAAUAUUAUAUGUCAUUAUUGCAAUCAAAAUGGUCAUAUGAAAUAUAGAUGUCCAGUGAAAAUAAAAAUAUAUUAUGGUGUAAAAUGUGUUUGGGUUCCAAAAGGAACCAUUGCUAACACUUAAGGAUCAAAAAAUGUUUAGGUACCUAAGACUUAAGAUUUUCUUUGCAAGGUUUGAAGAAAAAUAAAAAUAAAUAGUACUUGGAUAGUGGUUGCUCAAGACAUAUGACUGGAAACUAUACAUGGUUUUCAAGUUUUACCAAAAUCGAAACUGGUGGAGAUGUUUCCUUUGAAGACAAUUCAAAGGGAAAGAUUCUCGGAAUUGGUAAUGUCGGUAAAGUAUCCUCAACUCUAAUUGAAAAUGGAUGUUUGGUUGAAAAUUUGAAAUACAAUUUGAUUAGUAUUAGUCAAUUGUGUGACAAGGGUUAUAAAGUUGUUUUUGAUAAAACUAAAUGUGUUAUUGAGAAUGCAUGUGAUAGCAAAAUUUUGUUUGUUGGAAAUAGAUGUGGUAAUGUUUACACCAUUGACAUAAACUGUGCAUCUACUCAUGAUAAAUAUUUUUCUGCGUUGCAUGAUGAUGGUUGGCUAUUGCAUAGAAGACUAGGACAUGCAAGCAUUGAUUUAAUUUAAAAAAUUUCCAAAAAUGAUUUGGUUAAAAGCCUUCCAAAAAUCGAUUUUCAAAAAGAUAGAAUUUGUGAAGCAUGCCAAUUCGGUAAACAAAUCAAAACCUCUUUUAAAAGCAAAAAUCAUAUUUCUACUUCAAAACAUCUUCAACUACUUCAUAUAGACUUAUUUGAACCUUCAAGAUAUGCUAGCUUAACUGGCAAGUAUUAUGCUUUUGUAAUUGUUUAUGAUUUUUCUAUAUAUACAUGGAUAUUAUUCUUGGCUAAUAAGGAUUAUGCUCUUAAUGCUUUUAAAGUGUUUUAUAAGAAAAUUCAAAAUGAAAAAGGGUAUGGUAUUGCAUGCAUUACAUGGAAAAGAGCUUGAAAAUCAUGCAUUUGAAACUUUUUGCAAUAAUUUUGGCAUUGUGCAUCAAUUCUCUUCACCAAGAACUCCACUACAAAAUGAAGUUAUUGAGAGAAAGAAUAGGUUUAUUCAAGAAAUGACUAGGACCAUGUUGACUGAAAAUGCAUUACCUAAGUAUUUUUGGGCCGAAGUUAUCAACACCGCUUGUUAUAUUUUAAAUCUUGUGUUGAUUAGACCUCAUCUCAAUAAAACUCCCAAUGAGUUUUGGAAAAAUAGAAAAUCCAAUAUUGGUUAUUUCAAAUUUUUUAGAUGCAAAUGUUUUAUUUUGAACACAAAAGAUAGUCUUGCUAAAUUUGAUGUUGACAUCUUUUCAGUUAUUCAAACACAAGCAAAGCUUAUAGAGCGUAUAAUAAGAGAACUUUGGUUAUGAAAGAAUCAAUGCAUGUUACGUUUGAUGAAUCUAAUCGUUCCUCUACGGAGAAAAUUGUUGUUGAUAAUGAUACAGAUGGAGAAUUACAAUAAGAAUCUUUAAAAGACAAACAAGAUGAUAUAUCACGUGAAAAUUAAGAGGAGCAACAAGAAGAAACUAAUUUGAAGCAACAUGAAGGUACUUCUCAAACACUCCCCAAGGAGUGAUGGUAUGUUUCUUCUCACCCUAAGAAUUUAAUUUUAGGAGAUCCCUCAUGAUGAGUAACUACUAGAUCAUCAUUUAGCGAUAAUUGUGAGCAUGUUGCAUUUAUAUCUCAAAUUGAACCAAAAUCCUUUUUGAAUGUGGAAAACGAUGAAUUUUGAAUUAUGGCAAUGCAAGAGGAGUUGAAUUAAUUUGAGAGAAACAAUGUAUGGGAAUUAGUUCCUAAACCGGAAAAUCAAUCUAUCAUUGGCACUAAAUGGGUAUUUAGGAAGAAAAUGGAUGAAUCCGGUAUGGUUGUAAGGAAUAAAGUUAGAUUAGUGGCUCAAUGUUGCAACCAAGAAGAAGAAAUUGAUUUUAAUGAAACAUUUGCACAUGUAGCUAGAUUAUAAUAUAUUAGGAUGCUCUUAGCAUUUGCAUAUCAUAAAGAUUUCAUUUUAUUUCAAAUGGAUGUCAAGAGUGCUUUCUUAAAUAGAUAUAUUAUAGAGGAAGUUUAUGUAAAACAACCCCCUGGUUUUGAAAAUGAGAAAUUUUCAGAUCAUGUUUAUAAGUUAACAAAAACUUUGUAUGGUUUAAAACAAGCACUUAGAGCAUAGUAUGAUAGGCUUAAAUUUUUUUUGUUGGAUAAUGGUUUUUCAAUGGGUAAAGUUGAUACAACUCUGUUUAUUAAGCAUAAGAAUCAAGACAUUCUCAUUGUCCAAAUUUAUGUUGAUGAUAUUAUUUUCAGAUCUACUAAUGAGUUUUUGUGUAAGAAACUUUUAUCUUGUAUGAGUAAAGAAUUUGAGAUGAGCAUGAUAGGAGAAUUGAAGUACUUUCUUGGACUUCAAAUAAAAAAAAUUGAAGAAUGAAUCUUCAUCAAUCAAGCCAAAUAUUUAAGAGACUUACUCAAGAAAUUUGGCCUUGAAGAAGGAAAGAUUAAAAGUACUCCAAUGAGCUCAACAAUCAAGUUUGAGAAGGAUGAAAAACGCAAGUAAGUUGAUAUCAAAACUUAUCGAGAUAUGAUCGAAUCCUUGCUUUACUUAACUGCUAGUAAGCCUGACAUUAUAUUUAGUGUAUGCUUGUUUUAAAGGUCUAUUGACACAUUGGAAGUCAAUUGUAAAAUUUGUUGAAGCCUUGGAGGCUCGCUUAGUGAAAUCAUCAAGCUCGUUGAGCUUGGGAGGGUGGACAUAGGCGGGGAUUGCCAAACCACGUAAAAAUUAUUGUGUUUGCUCUCUCUUCCCUUACUCAUUUAUUAUUGUACUUUAUUAAAUUUAUCAUUUUUGAUUUCAUUAAGGCAAUAGAUUGAAUUGUUGUGUGGUUUGUUUAGCUUAAGUUUCAAAAUCCUAAUUCACCCCCCUCUUGGGUUGCAUAACUAGUAUUUCAUUAUAUGCAACUUCGUGACAAAAUUUCGUAGCCAUAUUCAAUGAUUGGAUGCCUCAUAACAUGUUAUGAACUCUGCUGCCAUAGUAGAAGAAGCUAUGAGAAACUGUUAAGCACUCUUCUAAGUGACAGCACCCCCAGCUAGUAGGUAGAUGUAACAGGAAGUGGAUUUCAUAUUAUCUUGGCAUCCAAAAAAAUCAAAGUUAGUAUACCCAACGAUCUCAAGCUGAACCGACCUCUAAUAUGUGAGCAUAUAGUCUUUUGUAAGUAUUGUAAGACCCAUUUAGCAGUUUCCAAUGGUCUGCUCCUAGAUUACUUAAAUAUCUAUCUAAUAUCCCAGUAACGCACGCAAUAUCUGGUCGCGUACAAAUUUGAGCAUACAUUAAACUUCCUACUGCUGAUGCAUAAGGAAUUUCUUACAUUUCAUUCUCCUCAAAGUUAAUCUUAAGGCACUAAUUAAGGCUAAACUUGUCUUGCUUCGCCAUAGGGGUAUCACCUGGUUUAUAAUCUUGCAUGCCAUAUCUCUUGAGAAUUGUUUCGAUAUAACUCUUUCGUGAUAAUCCAAGAAUACCCCGAGAGCGAUCCCAGUGUAUCUAUGUGCCUAAUAUAAAAGAGGCAUCAAUAAGGUCUUUCAUCUAAAAAUUCUUAGGUAGAAAUCUCUUGGUAUUGUGUAAUAAGCCUAUAUCGCUCUGAUACCACUUUUGGAAACUGGUUAUUUUAUUAGAACUGGAUGGUUGGUUGAUUACAGAGUAGAGCAUACAAAUACUAGACCUGCUCCAAAACUCGAUGCCCAGAUACAAACCAUGGGUUCCCUUUUAUAGGAGUAAGGGAUCCACUAUUACACAAUAUUUGCAUUAUUGAUCUUUAUCACUAAGGAAUCUACUUUACAACUCAUUAUCUACUUUAUAGCACACCACACCCCUAUCCUUAUUUAAAUGGAAUCUCUCUUGUACACAUGUGAAGCACACAUACAAUUAUUACAUAUAUUAUUAUCAUCAUCGCUUCCACUAUGGGGUCCACUAUGUUUUCGCCUACAGUCCAGAGUUGCCACUUGUUGACGUGCUUUUUCCCGAUAGGUUAGCUCUCCGUUCUUCUGACAUGGUCUCCAUCCUGUCAGUGAGCUCUUGCCAAUCCACAUCCUCUAGCUAUGGUUCCACCUUCAGCUGUGGCCAUUGUUCUAGAUCUAGCCAGUCGGCUAGUUUUUCUAGCUCUCCUCUUCAUCUGUCGAUUUAGGGGGUCCUCCAUGGACAGCCUUCCUGUUCUCUGUAUCUUUCUUGCAUGUCCUCCCCCCCUUCAUUAUCGUUGUAGAGUCUCGCAUCCUGAUACCUUCCUUGUAGCAGAGGUCUGGUGUUCCUUGGACUUGUGAGGAUAUUGGGUUGUGAGUUAUUUACAUAGAAAUUGUAUCAUAAACUUCAGCCAAUGCUUUCCUUGCUGUAAAGCAUCCUGUCCACAUGGAAUUGAUGUCUUCACAUAAGUGGUUGUGUUCCACCACUUUGACUAUUGGUUCAGCAAACUCUUUACGUCUCCCUCAAAUAUCUGUUAAUUUCACAAUCACGAUAGUGGUAUGCGGGAUGUGAUAACCAUUGAUGAGUGCAAGGGUAAGGAUAUCUUCAAAAAUAGAGGCAAACAUUUUGUCAAACCAGCGCCCUUUUUCAUAUCUCCUGCUGGUGUGGAUUAAUUUUGGUUCAAAUAGUAUUGCCACCGGGUAGAUGUUCAGCCAGUACCAGAAUAUAUAGUAAGCAUGUGGGGUUAUGUCACAGAUGACAUAAUGUCCCCAGUUUGUGUUUUCAUCUAUUACAUGAUAGAAUGUACAGCCUAGCUUGAAGACUGUUUCGUGCAUCUAGUCUGGAUCUGGAUAUGGUUCGAAUGGUGUCUGGCUUCUUCUGUUGUAAGCGGGUCUAAAUUCUUGUAAGGCCAUGAGCUGCCAUAUUCACCAGGUCAAAGCUCUGUCUUAUGGGUCUUCUUUGUGAUCAAUCACCUUCUUGAAGAUUCUUUUUUGUACAUCAUCGGAAAGCCAUGAGAUUAAAGUGUUGAGAUUUUCAAGGAAGUGUCCUCUGGCUUUGUGGGCUCUAGAGCUUCCUUCUUCCCAUCGUCUAGGGAGGCUUCUUCUUGAGAUCAUAGUAACCGGUCUGGAUAGGAAAUCGGCUACUGUAUUAGAUUCUCCCUUUAUGUGUUUAACUUCGAACUUAAAUCUCGAAAGAGACUCAGACCACCUUGCUAGCUGUAAAUCUGGGAAUUCUCCUUCUUCUUUUUUUCUCAGAAGUCCCUGUAAGUAUUUAUAGUCUAUUUCAAUUAUGAAGGGGGUUAGAGAAAGAAAGAACUGGAAUUUCUUGAUCCCUUUGAUAACUGCUAAGACUUCUUUUUUCGAUGAUGGAUAGUGGCUUUGAGCAUCAUUGAACUGCCCUGAUUUAUAACCACAUACUCUUCUGUUUCCCUCGGAUUCCUCUAUCAAGAGUGCUCUCUAAUAAUAGUCACUAGCAAAUUUCUGUAAAAUAAGUUGUCCAUUGUCAGGUAUCUUUAAUGGUGGAAGUGACUGGCACUUUUGCUUUAAUUCUAUCACUGCUUUUGUCGCUUCUUUCAACCACUGUGGGGGCACCUUUCUUCAAGUGCUAGGAUAUCUAACUCGUCAUUUUUUACAAGUUAUGGACAUGAUCUGCUGCAUAGUUGAUUAUCCUAAAGAAUUGCAGGAUCUGCUUUCUGCUCGACAACUGGUCAUGAAAUUGGGAUAUUUUCUCAGUAAUGUGUGGCUGAGGAAUGAUGUAUCCCUGCUUGAUAUGUAGUCCCAAAAAAUCUACUUCUUUGAGACCUAUCUUCAUUUUUUAUUCUGACAAGGCUAACCCAUGUUUGUAUGCUAGGUCUUUGAAUUGGGAUAGGUGCUCUGCAUGCUCUUCCUCGCUGAUGCUAAAGAUAAGGGCAUCAUCAAUGUAAAUCAGACAGAAUCUAGAGAUGGAUUUGUACACUUCAUCCAUUGUGUUUUGGAAUUUUGACAGUGCAUUCUUUAAUCCAAAAGGCAUCACGUUCCACUCAUAAUGCUUGUGGGGAACCACAAAAGCUUUCUUGUGUCUAUCCUCUUCCUUUAUCUAGAUCUGCCAAAAGCCUGAUUUCAUGUCGAACUUUAAAAACACAUUUGCAUCUACUAUUUGCUUUAAAAGGUGUGUCCGACGUGGAAUGGGUAACUGAUAUCUUGCAACGUGGAAUGGGGUAACUGAUGUCUUGCAAGAAAUCAUUCAGCUUCCUAUAGUCUAUCACCAAUCUCUUUUUGCCACGUACUUAUGUUAAGUGCUUGUUGACAUAAAAUGCUGGGAUGGCCGAAUGAGACUUAGAGGGCCCGAUCAACUUUAGAUCUAUUAAGGCAUGGAUCUCUGUUAUGUACAGAUCUUCAUCAUGGGGCAUACCUGGAUGCGAAGCUGUCUGAUGAGGCAUGGUCCAUCCAUCUUUGUAAGGCAAUGACACAAAGUAUUGUUCUCGAGCCCAAAAUUGGUUUAGCACUUCUGCACAGCAUUCCAGAAGCUCCUUGAUCUGUGUUUUGAAUUUAUGGAUUGGGUGUUUCUUUAUUUUCCUCUUUUCACCCUCUCCAAAAAUGGAGUGUUUUUCAACCCAAGGAACUUGGAACAAAUGGGCAUUACCAUCCAUAGGAUUAUGAAUAGUAUAUAAGAACCCUUCGGGAAAAAAAGGCAAAAGGGGCAAUAAGACUGAGAAAAUAUGUACCCAGUAGGAUAUCUUCGCCAGUAUGAUCAAAAGCAAAGAAUCCAUGCCUUAUUCCAAAUAGCUUUACUUCAAUUGGCCUUGUGUAUUUGCGGCUAUAAAAGUCUUCCCCACUUAUUGAGCCGAAAAAAACUUGUAUAGGGACGUAACAGUCUUUAAGUACACAUGCUUCGCGUAUUAUUAAACAUAUUGCUCAUGUGUCAAUUAGAGUAGUGAGUGCCACCUGGCUUUCUUCUGAUAGAUUGAGAACUAUUUUGAUGUAGGGCAUGAAGAAGGAUGUUGGUUCCAUGGUGAAGUCAACUGGUAAUGGUUGUCUUACCAUCAUGACUGGCUCUUCUUCUUCUAAGCUGCUACUGGAAAUUUCCUCUGCUUCUCCGGUACUAUUAUCUGAUUCUUCGAGAUCAAAUAUUGCUCCAAUGGGGUUGGAAGUCCAGUAGUAGUCAUCAUCCUCAAAUUCUGCUUGUUGGAUCAUCUGAAGUAAUUUGGUUAGGAGUUUCUUUUUUUACUUGCACUGCCGUGCAUAAUGUCCUUUCUUUCUACAGAUAAAACAUCUCCCCAAACCUUUUUUCUUGGUUCGCUUCUUAAUAAAAUGAUACUUUUUUCCCUUAUAUGGCUUCUAGGGCUUUUUCUCCUUCUUACGUUUGCCUGGUCUACAGUAGCAUGUCUUGUCUGAAUGCUGGCAUCCAAACUUAUUUGGUUUGUCAUCACAAUAUUUUUAUAAUGACAUUUUCUCAAUCUAUUUCAUGUGCUUUUUUAACUCUUGUGAUCUGCAGUGGCCUUGGAUGAGUUCUGUCGCUAUUUGGUACAGUUGUGCUAUAUUGUACAUCGAUAGGUCUAUUAUUGCGUCAGCUUUGAACUUUGCUUCCAUCAUCUCUACUACAAGUCCUAGCAUGUUGAGUACGAACGUUCUGUGAAUAGUAUCAGUGGGUUUGUGAAAGAUGUAGUAUAACCUUUCUUGUUCCAGGUAGUACUCUUCCAUCUGCCUGACAUCACAGCACUUGUUCUGGAGAAAUUGCUUUUCUGUAACUUCUUCUUCUCUCAUGAACUGCCCUAGAAAAUCUAAAGAUAGAUUUUCCAUGAGGGAUCCACAGGGAUCUUCUCUGCCCAGUAUGAACUCCCUUUCAUCUCUCGUGAGCUUUCUUCCCCACCCUCUUCUGAGUGAUCCUACAAAGCCUGCUACAAGUCUCAUAGUGGCUGUUCUCCUUGUCAGCUGAGGGGCUCGCUGGCAUUCUCCUUCAUACCAUGCCGUCAUUUUUUCAAAAUAAGCCACUCUUUCUUUUAGCUUUAUCCCAUCUAUAUUCCAGAACAUUUUCCCCGUUGUUGAGUGCCCAAGUUGGACUCUCGUCUCUCAUUCUUCUCCUUGGGGUAUUUUAUCUCUUUGUUCUAUCGACGGAACCUUUCUGGGUGGUCUCCUAGUUGGAUUGGAAGAUUCUAUUCCAGAUACUACUGGUUCUGCAGCAUAUUCCUGAGCUAUAAAUUAUGUUGCUCCUUAUGGGUGUUGUGUUGAUACUUGUCUGCUGGGAUCAGAGGUCUGACCAUGUUCAGUUGUGGAUGCAGCAAAUCUUCUUCUGGUAUCCAUAUAGAAUGGAUUAGCAGGGUUGGGUCUCUCCAUUAGGAUUGGGUUUAGUGCCUCUUCAUCUGAGGAAGUUCAUGUUCCUGAAGAAGUGUUGGUUUCUUCAUCAUCCUUGUCAUCCCAUCCCAUAGCUUUUAUGAGCCAUGGAUAUUGUGGAGGCGGAGCAUAGCUUCUCUAAAAUGCUUUCUGGCAGUUUCUAUAUGCAUUUUCUUCCCAAAUGUGCCAAGGCUUGGUAUGCUUGCUUUUCCAAUGCCUGGACACUUUUCUUAUGGGUGGGCAAAAAAACUGUGCACUAGAGAAAACUGAAUCAAAUCGAUCCAAACAGUUCCGUUCGGACCGAUUUUAAUUUUAAAAAAUAACUGAAAUAUAUAGUUUGUAAAAAAAAUCAAAAUGCAGGUUCGGUAUUCGAUUCACUCAGCUGAACCGAAAAACCGGGUUAUUCUUGGAAUUUUAUUUAAAUAGACACAUGUUAAAUUUUAAUUGGUUGCGUAAGAUAACUAAAAUAGGCAUGCACACAAACGAUUACGGGUAUAUAUAUAUUUAAAAAUUAUUGUUGGUGUUUGUUUCCAAAUUUUCUUUUUAUUUUGUGUUGUAAGUUUUAAUUGUUGUUAUUUUUAUUUGUCUUUACAACAUUAUGUUUAUGUAGAUGGAGUAUUGGAGUUUGAUUAUGUAUUUUGAAAUCUUAAUAUUUCAUAUUUUGUAAGUACCUUAUUAGUAGUUAGUAAGAUAUUAGUGAUAAAAUGUGUUUUGAAUACUUUGUGUUUAUUGUUAAUAUUUGUAAUGAAAUUAGGAUAAACUAAUUGUUGAAAAAAUUAUUACAUUCAUGAGGCCGAAUGGACUAAAAAUUUAGAAAUUCAAAAUAGGCCCAAUAGGCCCAAAACCGAAAAAACGAACCAAUCUGAAAAGAUCCAUUUAUAUUCAGUUUUUAUUGAGUUCGGUUCUUAUUUGGUUCUUUUUAUAAAAUAAUCGAUUUAAAUCGGUUCUGCUUAAUUUCGAUCUGAACCGAACCGGACCGAACCAUGUCCACCCCUAACUUUUCUUGUAAAACAUUGCCUAAUCCUCUCCAUUUCUUCAGGAGAUGCAGCUCCUGUGGCGACUAUCAUUUGAUAGGUCUGGGAUUUUCAUGGAGCUGUGACAACUGCUAGGUAGUCAUUCUGUGGACUUUCCUGGUCUUUUUUAUCUACUUUCGCAAAUUGCUUAGUUCAGACAAAAUUUGCUACUGGUUAAUCAAGAUUUCUCCCAAUGCCUGAUUCUGUUCAACAGCAUUAAUGUUGUUCCAAUUGAGUGCUUUCUCGAUUAGUCCGAACUCAAUUGGAUUGACCUUUUGUAUAACCCAUCAUGUUGCGGCCAUACCUCCACACAUAUCUUUUAUGAAUUCAUUGUCGAGAUCUGGAGUGUUGAUCAUGGUAAUUGGACCCAUAAUUCUGCAGGAAGUUGAUCUUCUGGGCAUAUAAGUGCAGAAUGAGGGAGGCUUUCCUUCAAUCUGAAGAUUUUCACAUGGAUAAAGAGGUCUAGUUUCUUAAGGGAAUGAAACUGACACCCAGCCAUCUUGCAUCCUACUAACUUUUGGGGCUUCAUGGAUCUGCCGAGGCCAGUUGUUCUUCUCAUACUUAUUAAUCCAUUAAGGAGGGAAAAUGAGUUGAUUUUGUUGGUAAACCCUUGGUUGGAUUACUCUGCCUUCACCGGCUAAGAAUCUGGUGAUUGGUUUCCAGAGAUGCUCAUAGAGAACAUGUGGGUUUAGACUUUGUAGGUCAUGGAAUGAUGGAUUGCUAAGGCUGACUCAUCAGGUUUCAUUGUUAACCCAUUCAAUUGGAUUAACACUUUGAUGGCAUCAGUGAGGGAUGGUUUAUGUAGGUCUGGGGUAAAGUUAGGUUUUACUUGGAGAACAAUAUGGCCUUUAUUAAGUCCUACCUCAACAGCAGUAAUUAAGGCAUUCUCAAAUGUUUGCCAUCUAGUGUUUAGAAUGGCAAUAAAACAUGUGACAUCCUUUCCAGCUAGAAAUAAUGGUUGUAUUCCUAUCUAGAUUGCUCCUAGAUGUAGACUCUUAUACCCUUCUCUCUUGUACCUGGUAAUCUUAAGAGAAGAAAGAAUAGGUAGGUAUGUUUCUUUUAAACUGGAGGAUAUUGACUGGACAGUUAUUUCGGAGGACUUGUAAAUGGAUUUUAAUUUAGGCUGUCAGAUGGGGAUUAUGGCUCUUAAGGAAUUUAGGGUGGCGUUUACAUGGUAAUAUUUAUAUGGGUCGAGAGGAUCCAGUCUGAAGGAUUGUACCACUCUUUCUCUGUUUUCGUCUUCCUAGGUUUCAUAAUGGAAGUUUAUGGAAGGUGCACUAUCAGUAGGGACUCUAAGGGCCAAAGUGGAAGGAUCAGAAGUGAUGUGGGAUUCAGGUCUAGAAUUGUUUUGGUUUUCCAUGACUACAGUGUUUCAAAGAGUUUUCUUUAAGGUGAUAAGCCCUAAACACAUGGCUCCCCUGGCCUUAUCAAACGGACGCCACACUUAGAGGGAAUUCUCUUUAAAAGACCAAAGUUUCUAGAAAAUUUGGACAAAACAGACUAAUAUCUAACAAUUUUCUAAUGUGGAGGAUUCGAAGUAUUUCGGCAACCAUAGAGCAUAUUAUUGUUACACACCCAGGGGUUUUGGCUCUGAUACCACUUUUGGAAACUGGUUAUUUUAUUAGAACUGGAUGGUUUGUUGAUUACAGAGUAGAGCAUACAAAUACUAGACCCGCUCCAAAACUCGAUGCCCAGAUACAAACCAUGGGUUCCCUUUUAUAGGAGUAAGGGAUCCACUAUUACACACUAUUUGCAUUAUUGAUCUUUAUCACUAAGGAAUCUACUUUAUAAUUCAUUAACUACUUUAUAGCACAUCACACCCCUAUCCUUAUUUAAAUGGAAUCUCUCAUGUAUGAAAGGGGUCAGAGAAAGAAAGAACUAGAAUUUCUUGAUCCCUUUAAUAACUGCUAAGACUUCUUUUUUCGAGGAUGGGUAGUUGCUUUGAGCAUCAUUGAACUGUCCUGAUUUAUAGACACAUACUCUUAUGUUUCCGUCGGAUUCCUCUAUCAACAGUGCUCCCCAAUAAUGGUCACUAGCAUCUGUCUGUAAAAUGAGUUGUUCGUUGUCAGGUAUCUUUAAUAGUGGAAGUGACUGGCUAUAUACAUACAUACAUACAUACAUACAUACAUACAUACAUACAUACUUAUUACCACAAAAGUUAAAGUAUAUGCAAUCAUAGACCAAAUUUUUCUUGAAACCGAAUGAGAUAAUCACUUGAUAAAACUUGAAAUACCAUUAUUGAAAUGCUUGCUUGAGCCCAUGAUGGAUUUCUUAAGUUUGCAAACCAUAUUCAUUAGGUCUCCUGUCACAAAAUUUUCCGGUUACACCAUAUAGAUUUUCUCAUCAAUGUUGCCCUUGAGAAACAAUGUCUUUAUAUCCAUAUGAUGUAACUCAAGAUUGAAAUGCGCCACCAAUCCCAUUAUAAAUCUGAAAGAAUCUUUUGAAGAAACUGGAGACAAAGUCUCUUUAUCAUUGAUGCCUUUUUUCUGCAUAAAGCCCUUUGCGACAAGACGCACCUUAUACCUCUCCAUAUUACCUUUUGAAUCCCUCUUGACCUUAAAUAUCAAUUUGUAAUAAAUAUGUUUCGCACCUUCUGGCAAUGGGACAAGAUCUCAUAUGUCAUUAUCCUUCAUGGACUUCAUCUCUUCAUUCAUGGCAUCUAUCCACUUCUGAGAGUUUGAACUAUCCAUGGCUUCAUAGAAAUUAAUUGAAUCGUCUUCCAUCACUCCAAUGUUUGCCUCAUAUUCUUAAAGAAAUACAUUGUAGUCAUUUAGCACUGCACUUCUCAUUUCUCUAGUGGAUCUCAUUAAUGGCAUAGGUUCUUGAGGUGAUAGAGUUUGUUCUUCUAGAAUAACUUCUUAUAUAAAGGGUUCUCCAACAUUAUCUUGAUUUGUUGUGUCUUGAACAAGGUCAAGAAUGAGACCCUGAUCAAUGCCAAUAACACUUAUGAGAAUAUUAACAUAUUCUUCUUCAAAGACAAAGUCUCUAGUCAUAUCUCCCCCCGUAAACUCGACAUUCUCAAAGAACCCAGCAUUUCUCGACUCGAAAAUUAACUUAGUCGUGGGAUCAUGAAACUUGUAACCCCUGGAUCGUUCUGAGUAUCCAAUGAAAUAUCAACUCACCAUAUUUCGGUCUAGUUUUUUCUCAUUAGGCGUAUAAGGUUUUUGCCUCAACUAGACAUCCUCGAGCAUGCAAGUACUUUAAACUAAGCUUCUUACCCAUCCAAAGCUCGUAAGCGAUUUUGACAGUCGCUUUAGAUGGAACUCUCUUUAGGAUACAUGUUGCAGUCUUAAAUACUUCUCCCCAAAGUGAUUAUGGUAAGAUAGAAUGACAAAUUAUACUCCUCACCAUGGCGUUAAACGUCGUGUUUCGUCUUUCAACGACACCAUUCAUAGUGGGGGAACCCAGCUGUGGGAUGAUACCGCAUUCCUCUAGGAAUUUAGCAAAUAGUUUGGGACGUUGUUUACCUAAAUCGUCAUAUCUACCAUAAUAUUCACCACCACGGUCAAAUCUGACGUUUUUUAUUCUUUUGCCGAAUUGGUUCUCAACUUCAGCUUUUAAAUUUUUUAACAUACCCAACGACUAUGACUUUUUAUGGAGGAGAUAUAUGUAGCCAUGUCUCAAAAAAUCGUCUAUGAACACAUAAAAUAUUGUUGACUAUUCGAAGCAUCUACAGGUAAUGACCCUCAAAUAUUCGUAUGCGUGAGUUUUAAAACAUCCAAAGUUCUGUUGGCUUUAAAUCUCCUUUUAUCGAUUUGCUUCCCCUUGAUACAGUUAACACAUAUAUAAGAAUCUGUGAACUCUAAGGGCUUAAGAAUUUUGUCUGACACAAGUCUCUAUGUUCUCUGUUUAAAGAUAUGACCUAAUCUCCUGUGCCAUAACGUAACUAAAUUCUUAUUGGUUUCCUCCUUAAACCCCGUGUACAUAAUUAUAGGGAUUCAUUAAAUGAAGCAAUCAUGUCAAGCAUAUAAAGAUUAUCAUAUCCUGACAAAGAACUGGAACCAAUUAGUUUUCAAUCAUGAAACAAACUGAAUUUUCUAUUUCUAAAUAAACAAGAAUAACCAUAUUUGUCCAAAGUUUUAUCAAGAUUCAAAUAAAAUUUGGUCUAUAAUAACAAUCAAAAUUUUCCAAUUGCUUCAACUUCAACAUUCUUCUCAUCACCCAUAUAGAUGUAUCUUUUACCAUAAUUGGGCUUUCGGUAAUUCAACCAACCUUAUAUAGACACCUAUCCACCACGCGUGUCUAUAUACGGAAGCUAAAUUAACCUUAGAACAAAUCAAACCAUGCUCUUCAGCUCCAUAAAAGAAACAACUAAUGGCUUCUAGAUAAUACAAUUUCUUCUGUUGUUUCUUUUGAGGUGUUGUAUCUGCAGCUUUCUCACUCUUGUUCCUUUUCUUGCCCUUGUCCUCGUCCUCAUAUGUUAUUGAAAUUAGGAUUGUCAAGCACGUACUAAUUUUAGCAUUUUCCUUCUUGACAUAAACCUCUGUUCAUGACCACGAUAGUUAUGACAAACCUUUGUUCAAGUUCUACAGAGAACUCCUUAGCUGUAGUUGCCUUUUCAGACAUUAAACCUCUGAAUGCUUCCGGAAUGGCCUUUUUCAUGACCAUGAUACACAUGCGAUUUAAUAUCUCCUACCUUUGCAUAUCCCUCUUGUCAUCAAGGGUACUCUAAUUUGCAAGAGGUGGGGAAGAAUCAACCCUUAACGCAAGGUCGAGACCUAUGACUGCAAGAACUAUUAAGAGGAUCUCUUGCCAUAACUUGAAGUUAGAGCCACUUACCAUAGGAAUAAAAUUGAUGUUGGCAGUAAUAUUAGCAGGAGUCAUAACUAAACAAAAAAUAAUGAACAAACAAAACAAGCUCCUGUAAGUCUUAAAACAAAAGCAAAUUCAAAUAAAGGUAAACUCAUCUCGAGAUACUGAACACUCCAUUAAUAUUUCAUCUUUAGACAAAAUACUAACUUGUAGGUAAUAUCUUGAUAUAGUAAUCAAGCAUUGAUAAUAAAAACAUGUCAAACAAAGAAACUUUUUUUGGACUGAUUAAUUGCUCACAUGUUAAACCAAAUAAUCAUCAUGUGUUUAUUACCACAGGUGCACAUGCAAUUCUAUUAAAUAUGGACCUUCCUUUGGACUGACCGAUAUUUACAGAAAUUACAUAUACAAAACCGCUUAUAUUCCAAAAUAAAUUAAUAUCCAUAAGAGAGGUCAGUUUGGCAACAUGUUGCUUCAAUUAAUUUAUCUCAAAAUAUAUAUAAACCAACAAUAUUUGAAUUUAAAUUGCACUAAAAAUUACCCAAAAAUUAAAAAUUAAAAAAUUCAGGUCAUAAUGAAAGUAUGACAGUUGACCAAUCAAACUUUGACCGAUUUAGACCAUUGACCGGUUCUGGACCAGUCCCAAAUAAAAAAAAAACCAACAUUUUUAUUUUAUGGCAGUCUUGCUUGAAACUAUUCUAUAGCGGCCUGAUGGUUGCAGCAUCACUGCUAAUGCAGCCCAAUGCCGCGUCUUGCCGGUGUCGCCUUUCUUUUUUUCUCUUAAUUCUUAAAGCCGUCGUUUUUGCUAGAUCCGACCCCGACGUGCAUGGCCAAAGUGUUGUGCCUCUCGCUAAUGCCGACGGUGGCAGUAGCUGCUGUUGGCUAUAGUCCUUAAAAAGAAGAAAGAAUCCUUUUUAUUAAUCCUUAAAAAAUUUUUAAUUUGUCUCAAAUUCCAAAUUUAUUUUUGCUAAAUACCAAAAGUCAACCACAAAUUUGUUCUCAAAUUUAAUAAUAUUAGAAUUAUUAAAUUCAAGAACACCAAAACUUUAAUUAUUAAUAAAAAUAAAUCUAACUCUCAAUGAUUCAACAUGAAUGAGCUCUAAUACCACUUGUCAGAAUAAGAAAACUUUAAAUGAAAAGCAUCACCUAUAACCCAGGAAUAUUCAUGUUUUAUCACCAAGAAUCAAUAAUAAAAUAUAUGCAGAAGCGUACCUGAAUCCAUAAUGUUUAAUUGCCCUCUAAGGUGGUGUGGUUAGCCUUUCAGAUCAACACAUUCUCCUAGAGAAUCCUUCAAGUUUUCCACUGCUCUCUCUCUCUCUCCGAUGAUGGAAUGUCAAAAAGAAUAGAAAGAUAUGUUUGACCUGGGGACCAUAACCACUUAUAUGUACAACAUUUUCCUGUUGUCAUUAGAUAUUCCUAAUUCUGCCCAUCAUAGAAUUAAUAUACCAUUGGGUCUUUACACAUUGAAAGCUCACACCCUAUUAGAUACAUUAAAGCUCAUAAUACCAAAAAUCUUGAUAGAUCACUUUUAAUUAGGUUUAACCUUAUAUGACAGUUUGCAACACAUAAUUAUUCACAUAUAAACCCAACGUUGGAUUAAUAUUGGAUUAAAAAAAUCCAACAUAAAUUAUAUUUCAAGCAUUAAUGAAAGGCGAUCAUUGUUAUCAUUGAAAAGAAAAGAGUUUGGAGGAAACGUUUUUGAGAAAAUUAAGGUUUUUGUUCUUGAAAGCUUCUUUUUAAAAGUUUCUACUGAUUUUUUGAAAACUUCUUUUUAAACACGAUUUCCAUUGGCCUGUUUAGUUGUUAAUAUGUUAAGAAGGCAUUUUUUGACGUGAGUCAGGAGCUAAAAGUGUUUUUAACCAGCAUGUUUUCAGAAGUAGUUUUUUUUUUAACUGAUUAAGCAUCUGGUUACUUUAUUACACAGAUAUUUAUAUUAAAUUAUGUGAAGUACAUGCCCAAAUAAAUAACCCUCACUGAGGAGGAGUAUCUCUACUCCACUCGCAUUUCGCAAGGGAGAAAGACUUUACAAAUAAUCUCCACACAAUUAUGCUUAAUUGAGGGAAGUUGAUUCCAUGGGGACUCGAACCAUUAUCCUCAUAGUCAUGCUUAAUUUUGAGGGUAGUGGUUCACCACUUGGCCUUUUCAGAAGUAGUUAAAUAAACUUUGAAGGGUCAGUUUUUGCCAAAGUAGGUUUCAUAGUUUUAACAAAAACUUUUUGGAAUUCGCUAUAUAUUAGUGGGAAACCAGCGACAUAUAUUCUGAUGGUCAACCUAAAUGGGGACUACAUCAAUUUGCACUACUGGUAUAAUAAGGCAGGUACCUAAAUGGGGACUACAUCAAAUUUUUGGAAUUCGCUAUAUAUUAGAGGGAAACCAGCGACAUAUAUUCUGAUGGUCAACCUAAACGGAGACUACAUCAAUUUGCACUACUGGUAUAAUAAGGCAGGUGCAAGUCUUCCCCUAGUUUGAACUAGUCGCCCGUUUAUCUUUCCUCUUCUUUGGUGUCAAAGCAUCUCUUUUGUUCUUGUUUUAAAUAUUUUUUAUAUAAGUAGUUACAAGGCAGACUUCAUUGACUUUAUGAUAUAUUUCUCUCGAUUGCUAAAUUUGCUCAAGAUCUUGAAAACUUCUAUAAAAAUCCAUUUACUAUUUUAGAAAAAGAUUUUGAUACUUGGAUAGAAAAUAACCCUUAUAUAGAAAUUUUAGAAAUUGUAGAAACUGAAGCAGCAAGAAUUCGUAGUGAACAAUUACAAUUAAACAAUUUAUUAGAUGAAAAAUUUGGAAAUAUAAAACUUCCAAUAGAUUACACAUUUCUUUUACCUCCUGAAAUAGAAAGACAAAUAAGUAUUAAACAUUACGCUUUUACAAAUUUGCCUAUAUUUAACUUUAGAAAGUAUAAUUUACAAUAUUAUAAUAUUAAUAAGCAAAUGAAAUUAUUAGACAAGUACGAAAUCUACCAUUAAAAAUUAGAAAUAAAUUAGAAGAUUUAAAAAAUUAGUUUCUGAAUUUUUAGAGAUUAGAAUAUUUAGAUUUAGAAAUUAGCCACCAUAGAAAAAAAAUUAAAUUUAACAAAAAGAGUUAAAAUUAGUUGUAAUAUAGAACACUUAAAAAAUCAAUUUAAACAUAUUCCACACACUAGCAAUAGUCAACAAAAUUUCAUAGUAGUCCUCUUACUUAACUUAAGACAAGACCUAGAAGUCAAUAUUGAAAAGCUAAAAGAACUAGUUCUAGGACUAGGAAAAUUCUUCGAAACUAGUAAUAUUAACACGUUAAGAAGAAAUUUAGAUUAUAUUAAAGAAUUAGUAGCAUAUUUUAAUAUUCAAAUUAAAAGAUUCCCUAGCAAGAAAUAAAUAAUAGAAUUAAUAUGAUUAUUAGACAUAAAAACACCUAAUCCAGUAGAACCAGAAAUUAACAACCUUGUAGAAAGUUUAAAAGUAAAAAUAGAAAAUAUUAAAUUUACAUAGAGAGAUUUACAAAUACAAUUAGAUGCCAUAAAAUUAAUAGUCAGUGAAUGAAUUCAGAAAAAAUAUUAAUCAAACCUUUAGCAAAAUUAAAAUAUGACAUACCACAUCUAAAUCCAGUAAGUUAUAACUUUAAAGAAUUUAGUUAAGAAAAUAAUAGUAUCCAGCAAGCACAAACCAAUACUAUUAUUAAAUUAUUAGUCAAAAUCAGUAAUAAGUUAGAAGACAUAGACAAUAGACUUAGUAAAUUAGAAAAUAAUUUUUAAAUAUUUAGAAAGAAUAAAGAAUCCGUAUCAAACCUAAAACUUAGCAACUCAUUAGAUAAUUUAGAUAAAGAACUAGACAUAUUAACCAAUAGAGUAGAAAAUUUAAAUUUAAGUGGACCAAUCUUAGCACCUAGAACCGUAGACAUUAAAGAUAUUUUAGGACCUAAAGUAAUAUUAAAAAGAAAUGAAAUAGUAGAAUCGAUGUAAAUAUGGUAGAAAGACUUAAAAGAUCUUUAUCAUUUUCUAGUAGAGGAAAAUAAAUUAUAGAAAGAACUGAAAACAUAAUAGAUGAACAAGAUCCAGAUAAAUUAUUAGAAAGAGGAUUUGAAAAAUUAGAAGAAAAAAAAGAUUAUAUAAUGAAGGAUUAAUGUCAAAAGUAAAUAAUAGUUUACAUAUUUAUACAAAUGAAACUAAAUUAUCAGUAGUAAAUAAAAGAGAAGAAUUAACAUUAAUCAGUCCAAUAGGUAGAGACUAUCUUAGAAAACAAAAUUACAAUGGCAUACAUUGGGAAUAAUAGUUAUAGGAAUUCUUAGUCAGGCUAGAGAAGGACUGGACAUAAAGGCUCAUUUACAUCUAUAUUAUAGUAGCUUUUAUGACCAUGAACAAGCUCAAAUAACCAGUGGAAAAGUAGACUUAAAAAAUAAAGUAGCUGUAGUAGGAUGUAUGCUUAAUAUAGACAUAUAAAAAGUGUACAAACUAAAGGUUACAAAAUGAAUGCAGGAUAUAAAAACCUUACAGUUAAUACAUUUUUUCUAGAAAAAUUGUAUAAUGAAUAUCAUAAUAAAUUUAGAUUUGAAAGUAAAAAGAUAGUCGAUUGUUUUAAAAGCCAAUAUGUAGAAACAGUAGUACCUAAGAAAUCAAGUAGUAGUGAAUUAAAUGGAUUAGAAUUGAUAUUACCUAAAUUAGAACAAGAUAAUGUGAUAGAAGUUCCAAAAACAAGCUAUACAUAUAUAAAUAGAUAAAAGAGAAAUUUACAACCUUCCACCUGUUUGUUUUACAUUUUUCAAAAAUACACAAACACUUGUUUUUUCAACGCGCCACCUAAAGUUUACUUUUUGUUGCAUUCGUCCACUUCCAUCUAAUUUCUGUUAGCGAAUUUAACAGAAUGACCUUUUUACCCCUCAAAAUUACAAUUUAACCCAAAAUAAAUAGAAAUUGGAGAUAAAUUGGAUGGAUUUGAAUUUUUUCCAAGGCGGNNNNNNNNNNNNNNNNNNNNNNNNNNNNNNNNNNNNNNNNNNNNNNNNNNNNNNNNNNNNNNNNNNNNNNNNNNNNNNNNNNNNNNNNNNNNNNNNNNNNNNNNNNNNNNNNNNNNNNNNNNNNNNNNNNNNNNNNNNNNNNNNNNNNNNNNNNNNNNNNNNNNNNNNNNNNNNNNNNNNNNNNNNNNNNNNNNNNNNNNNNNNNNNNNNNNNNNNNNNNNNNNNNNNNNNNNNNNNNNNNNNNNNNNNNNNNNNNNNNNNNNNNNNNNNNNNNNNNNNNNNNNNNNNNNNNNNNNNNNNNNNNNNNNNNNNNNNNNNNNNNNNNNNNNNNNNNNNNNNNNNNNNNNNNNNNNNNNNNNNNNNNNNNNNNNNNNNNNNNNNNNNNNNNNNNNNNNNNNNNNNNNNNNNNNNNNNNNNNNNNNNNNNNNNNNNNNNNNNNNNNNNNNNNNNNNNNNNNNNNNNNNNNNNNNNNNNNNNNNNNNNNNNNNNNNNNNNNNNNNNNNNNNNNNNNNNNNNNNNNNNNNNNNNNNNNNNNCAAUUGACCAAUUUUGUAUUUAUUUUCCUCCAAUUUCUAGCCUCCACCUUUGAAAAAAACCAAAUCCAUCCAAUUUAUCUCCAACUUUCAUUUAUUUUGGGUUAAAUUGUAAUUUUGAGGGGUAAAAAUAUCAUUUCGUUAACAUUCUGUUAAAUUCACUAAUGGAAAUUAGACGGAAGUGGACGAAUGCAACAAAAAGCAAACUUCAAGUGGAGCGCUGAAAAAAAAAAAUGUUUGUGUAUUUUUUAAAAAGGCAAAACAAACAGGUGGAUGAUUGUAAAUUUCCCUAGAUAAAAUCAAGCUACACAGAGAUUUAGUAAAUAUAGACAGAGAAAUAAUCCAAAAUUAGACAAAAAAAGAAGAAGAAAUAGAAAUCAAUAUGGCUAUAAUAGAAAAUUUAAGUAUUGAUAAACAUAAAACAUUACUUAAUAAUAAAGAUAAAAAUAUAAAUCUAAUAUUUAAUGAUCCUAAAAAAUACUUAGAUGAGGAACUAUUUGAAGAAUUAUGUAAUAACGAUGAAUUAGUAGAUGGUAUAGACAUAGAAGUUACAGAAAAUUUAAAUUUCAAGAAUUUAGAAAUAGAUUAAAUUUAUUAUUUAGAACAAGUAGAUGAAAUAUUAGUCAAAGAGGAAGGUGGAAAGCCAUAACUAGGAGAAAGUAGUAAUAGACCUAUAUUAGAACCAAGAGUAGAACCCUCAAAUGUGGAAAUUUAUUUAAAUAAAGAGGAAUCCCAUAAAGUAAUGAAAAGUACACAGAAGCAGAAAGAGUAUUUAAAACUAAAAUAAAAUUAAAAAGUUAGAAAACAAUGCCACAAGCUAGAGAUUUAUUAGUAUUAGAAUUAGAAAGACAUAGACCCGGUGAAUGGAAACAAGUAUUUAACAGUGGGAAGGUGAUUUACUUAGACAUUCUAUAGAAGCAUUAGUAGCUAUAGUAGACCCAAUUAAAAAUUAAUAUAAUUAGAAAUUAUUUUAGGAAGUAGAGAAAAAAAUAUAUAUUUAGGAUAGAGAGAAUGGAUGAAGAAAAAUAAAUUAGAAGAGUUAGACAAUUUUGAUAUAAAUAUUAUAGUAAUUAGUUUUAUAGAUUUAAUGAAAAAAUUAAUAUUAGGAGUAGACAAAAAAGAUGAUAUGAUUACACAGAUUAAAGCAAUUAGAAAUUUAGAACAAUUUAAAAUUUGUGAUUUAAGAUAUUUUGAUGAAUAUGCUAAUUAUUUUUAUAAAUAUUGGAGUGAAAUAGGAAGACCUUUGAUGAAGAUUUAUUAUUAAAAUUUGUAGAUAAACUACUACGAAAAAUAAGAGAAAAAUUACAUAAUAAAUUAAUUAAUUGGUUUAAAACUAAAAGAACACAAGGAAUAAACUAUUAUGCUACAUUAUGACCAGUAAUGGAAUACGUUAAAGACAUGAUUAAAGAAUACUGUGAAGAAGAAAAAUAUAGACAUCAAAUAAAGUUACAAUUUAUAAAAUUGUUUAUUGACAUGACAGAAGUACCGACAUUAGGCUGUAAUUAUCCUAGUUAUUUUAGACAUAAGAAACAUAGAAAACAUAGGAAACGAUAUAGUCAAAAUAAGCAACCUUAUAGGUAUAAUAGUAGAAAAUUCUAUAAAAAGAAACUUUUUUAAAUAUAAUUAUAAUAAACAAAAAGUUAGAAAAGCAUUCAAAAAGGGAAAAAGAAUAUAUAAAAGAAAUAAAGCUUGUAAAUGUUUUUUAUGCUGUAAAAAAGGACAUAUUAAAUCAGAUUACCUAGAGAAUAAAAAGAUCAAUCAAUUUGAAGUAGAUAGUUAUAAUAUAGAAGAACAUAUUUUAGACAUAGAAGAAAUUCUUAAUGUAGGUCAAUUACCUGACAAUGAUAGUAUAUGUAGUAUUAGUAGUGGUGAAUCAGACACUAGUAACAAUUCAAGUUCAGAAUCAAACUUAGAAAUAGAAUCAGAUUUAGAAAUUAAUGUUAUAGAAAUUUACACAUCAUUUUUUGUAGGGGUGGGCAAAAUACCCGAUCCGAUCCAAAAAAAAUCGGGUUCGAAUCGGAUCAGAUUGUAAAGAAAACCCGAUCAGGUGCAUUUGUGUCAACCCGAUCGGAUCAUGAUCGGAUCGGAUUGGGUGGAUUAUGAUCGGAUCGGGUUGACCCGAUCGGGUUGACACAAAAUAAAAAAAAAAAUAAACCUCAAAUACACACCCCACACACACACCGGAACACAUAUACACCACACACACUAGAACACACACGCUGGAACACAUACACACCACACACACUGGAACACAUACACACCACCCACGCACUGGAACACACACAUUGGAACACACACGCUGGAACACAUACACACCACCCACGCCCUGGAACACACACACACCACGCCCCCCACGCACUGGAACACACACACUGGAACACGAAGUGAACACCACACACACUGACACACCCACAGCCCCCUGCCGACCAGCAACAUAAUCGCCCACACCCACCCACAAGCCACAGCCUCCCUCUCUUGCAUCCCACUAUCGACGGAAACAAGCGACAGUUAUACAGCCCACUCCAACCGAGGCUACUCCGUGAGAAUGGUGACCCGAUCUACUGAUCUACUGCUACCAAGUACCGGAUCUGCUGCGUCACCUCCACGCCUCCAAUCCUCCGCCAUCACCCGAUCCGAUUCAAGCUCCAUUUGGCUGUUGAGUUUUGAAAGCUUUGGGUUGUUGCUGUAAAUGUGUAGAUCGUGUGUGUGUAAAUGGGUAGAUUGUGUGUGUAUUUUUUAUAUCCGACCCGAUCCAAUCCGAAUUAUAUUCGGAUCGGGUCGGAUCGGGUUAUAGAUUCGGGUUGAAUUCGGAUGAGUUCUCAUCUAACCCGACCAACGCGAAACCCGAUCGGGUUGAUCCGAACCCGAACCGAACCCGAUUUUGCCCACCCGUAAUUUUUUGGUAAAAAUUGUAUAAACUGUGAUAAAAAUUUUGAAUUAGGAUAUAGAGAUACAAUCACAGGAAAAGUUCUUUUAUAAUAAUUGUAAAGAUAAACAACAGGAUGGUAAUACAAUAGAAAUAAACAGAGCAAGUAGUGAACUAAUAAAUACAGAUGUAUGAUUAUUAUUUAAAAAAGAAAUAGUUUAUACUAAAGCAAUGAUAGACACAUGUGAAAAUAAAUGUAUUAUAAAUGACAGUUUAAUACCUAAAGAUAAUAGGAAUAAGCUUAGAAAUCUAGUAAAUAUUAGACGAUUUAAUAGUGAAUUAAUUCAAAAAACAGAAUGUAUAAAUAAUAAACCCAUAAGAAUAAAUGGAGAAACACAUAUUUUACCAUAAACAUUCAUUUGUAAUAAAAAUGUCGGAUAUAAAUUUAUUUUAAAAUUAAACUUUAUAUUAGGAAAUAAUGGUAGUAUAUUAAUAACUCCAAAUGGAGUGAAUUUCUUUAAAAAAAUCAACAUUUAUUCAACCUAACAAUGAGACACACAUUUUUCCAUACGAAUAGAAAACUUUAAUGAUCGAAAAAGAUGUAGACAUAAAAUUUUUUGAUUCUUUAUUAGAAGAAGAAAAAGCAGAAAAAUCAAAAGAACUAGACAACAAAAGUAAGUUAGAAGUAGAAAGUGAUAUGCAUGAAGUACAAAUUUUAGAUGACAAAGAAAUAGACAAGUACUUAGAAGAUGUAAUGAAUGUAGAAAAACAAGUAGAGUGUUUAGAAUAUGAAAAAGGGCCUGAAGAAAUUAGAAAAAAAUAGAAAUAAUAGGUAACGGUCCGAUUAGAAAAGAUAAUAAGAGAGUAUACAAAUUUGAAAUCAUUAAUCCAAAUAUAACAAUAGAAACACAAGAUUUAGCUUAUAGUUUAGAAGAUAUAAAAGAAUUUAAAAUGCAGUUAAAUGAAUUAUUAGAAUUAAAAGUUAUUAGAGAUGUACGCAUUUAUUGUAAAUAAUCAUAGUAAGCAAAAAAGAGGUAAGAGUAGGAUGGUAAUUAAUUAUAAAAGAUCAACCGACAAUACUCUAGAUAAGAGUUAUAAAAUACCUAAUAAAGAUGAAUUACUAAAAUGUAUACAAAAUGCUAAAUAUUUUUCUAAAUUUGAUUGUAAAAAUGGAUUUUGGCAAAUACGACUCUGAAUAGUUUAUAUUGAUGAUAUUCUUGAUUUUAGUCAAAAUAAGUUUAUGCAUAUUACUCAUUUACAUAAGAUUUUAGAUUGUUUUAAGAAUAAUAAUAUAUUAAUUUCUAAAAAGAAAAUUCAAAUAUUAAAACAAAAAAUAGAUUUUUUAGGACUAACAAUAGACAGAGAAACUAUAGAAUUACAAUCAUAUAUAGUUAGCAAAAUAUUAGAAUUUCGAUACAAAAUAAAAGAUAUCAAAGAACUACAAAAAUUCUUAGGAUUAUUAAAUUACAUUAGAAAAUUCAUACCAAUCUUAGUACAUUAAUAAGACCUUUAUAUAAUAAAUUAAGUGAAAAUGAACAAAAAUAUUUUAACAGUGAAGACAUAAAAUUAGUUCAAAAAUUUAAAGGAAUAGUAAGAUAUCUUAAACCAUUAGCAUUACCUAUAGAUAGUUACUAUAAAAUUAUACAACAAAUGCAAGUAGUUUACGAUGGGCAGGAAUAUUAAUACAAAAACCUAAUAUAGACAGUUCAAAAGAUAAAGAAGAAAUAGUAAUGUAUACUAGCAGUAAAUUUACAGAAUGAAAGAUAGAAAAUCAAGUAUAGAAUUAGAUAUUUUAGGAAUAAAAAAAUCUUUAAAUUCAUUUCAUUUGCAUAUGAAAAAUGACACAUUUACAAUAAGAACAGACUUUAAUAAUAUUAUAGAAUUUUAUAAAAAAACACAAAAGAAAAAAUUUGAGAAGAAAAAUUAUUUUAUUAGCAAACGAUGGAUAUACUUUUUAGAAGUAAUAACAGACAAAGGAUAUAAAGCAAAGUUUGAGCAUAUAGGAGAUGAAAUUUCAGUCCCUCUUGGGAGCAAUUCUAUAGUACCUCUAUUGUACUAUAUCUAUUUAAUGCAUGUAUGACAUGUGUGCAUGAAUUAAGUAUAACUAUCGAUUACCUGAUGAUUUUUCAGAAUAAAUGCACGCAUAUCAUACACGUAUUGAGUAAAAUUCAAUAGAGGUGAUAUAAAAUCUCUCAUUUUUUUAGAUGUGAUUGAUGCAUGAAACCUUUCACUUAUUAUUUUCUCGAAAGGCUAUCCUUUUUUUUAUGGUGAAGUUGUUAAGAUUCUCAUUUGGAUGCAAUUUGGUAAUUUAAACUUCUGAAAUUUUUUAAAACAUUAAAAGUAAAUUUAAGACAAAGAAAAUUCCAAACAAGACUUCUGAAACCCCAAUAAGAGCAACAUUGCGACUUUGUAUGGCUCCCAAAAGCCAGGUGCUAUGACUAUAAUGAGCUUAUAGUGAUAGACAAAGCGUGGGAGCGAGAUAAGCCCAACAAAUUAAUGGAGAGUACAGCAUCAUGAAGAUUUUAAAAUUGAAUAAUGUGUUUCAUUCAAAAUCUAAAAAUUGAAUAAUGUGUUAUUGGAUCACUGGAUGUAAAUUAGGAUUUAACUUGUUCCAUUUAUAUGAAUAGAUUGACUAGGAACUCUUCAACACAAUCUCCAAGCAACGGCUAAAUUCUUGGCUAGGAAAUUUCAUAAUACCAGUUUAAUUUCUUUUAGAGUGCUUGGGGUGAUCAGUUUGCUUUUUCGGGGUGACAAAAGGAAUUAGAGUUUCCACACAAUAAUUUGCAUUGACAUUGAGAUGAUCCGCCUUGAACUCUAAAGGUGAGUCUAGCUUCUUUGUUCUAAAUUAAUUAAAUAAAAUUAUUAAUAAGGAUCUUGCCAAAAAUUUAAUGCAGUCUCUCUUAUACUUUUUACAUUUUUAACCUAUAAAUCUGUAAAAUAAGUACUCUAAAAUAAUUUAAUAUUCAACCAAUUGCAUUGAUCAUUCUCCCCAAGCACAUAACAUCAUUCAUUAUUGUAAAUAAUAUACUUAAAUGAUAACAUCCAAAUAUUACCACAUAUUUUCAAUGGUUUCCAAAAAUAUGUUGCAACUAAUAGAUUAAAUAUUUACAAUAAUCAUAUCAAACUAUACAAUCCAAAAUGAAGUGAUCAUAAUGCUCAAAUAAUAUGAUCUACAAUUCUUAGCAAUAUCACGUGGCUAAAAUUCAAAAUAAUCAUAGUCACUGGAUCAACUAAUGUAUUUGGAAUCUUCUCGAGAGAGAAAAAUACAGUAAAAUAGAGUUUAUUCUUAUUCAUAACUAGCCCAAAUUAGAAUUAAAUUUUUUUUAUGAUUGUAAGAAGAUUAUUCAUCUAUAUAGUAUCAUUACUGAGAGAUUUUACUGUAUUAGGAUUUAGGCAAACUCCAAUCUUCCAUAUUCGAAUUUGAAUAAUGCCAUAUGACAACACAUAAAAUUAUACAUAGGCACAAAAGAUAAGAAGCAUUUCAAUAUAAAAUAAGCUUAUUAUUUUAUCUUAUUAAUUUUAUCUUUAUAUGUUAGUGUCCCCGUUUCAUUUAUCAGUUAUAAUUUUGCGUGCAAAUAACAUUUUUCUUUCAAAUUUUAUUUCUAAAUUAUUUUCGCUGCAUAUCGUCUAUGUCUCUUCAUGCCAGUGUACGAUACUCGAUGACAUUGACUCAUUGACCACAUUUGGUGUAGUGCCAACUCUUUCUUAAGCUUAAAAUAAUGAAAUGAUUGCAUCUACUUUACAAAACAUUUUUUUUUUCUUUUGUGAAGUAAUGUUUUCUGAAGAAUGUACUUACUAGUGCUUUCUUUUAAAAUUUAGUUGUUUGAAUGAAAAUGAAAAGGUAUUUAUGUGUUACAUAGAUUUAAAAGAAAAAAAUUGAAAAACUAAUUCUAUAUAUACGAUUUUGAUCUUACAAAUUUUAAAUAUUAGAUAAUUACGUUAGUACCUAUAGGCAUUAACAUAACUUUUGAUACUCAUAGUAUAUGUACUUUGAAUUUUCUCCAAAAAAUUGGAUAACCUGGAUGAUAAUUUCUCGCAACGAAUUAAACUUGCAAAAAAAAAAAAAAAUGACCCUGAUCUCAUAUUUGAUAAGUGUAUUGAGAGUUUAACUCAACGACCAUUGAAGGAAGCUUGGCAUGAAAUUAUUGGAUGGACUUGAAAAGGGGAAAAGAAGUUCAAAAAAGUAAGCAAAGCAAUCAUUUUACACUUUCAUUUAUCUUUAUUCUUCUUUUAGAGUACUUUAUGGCUGCUUCUUCUCCUGCUCCUCCUUCUUCUCAUUAUAAAGUAGAUGCCAGAAGUCUCUUUUUUUAGAUGUCAUCAACUAUUUUGUAAAGUUCCAUGGAAGGAAUAAAGUAGCUGAAGCAUCAAUAUAUGCCCUGCAGUGACAUUCAAUUCACAUAAAAUCAUAAAUUUUCUGACCAAAAUCUCUCUAAUCAAUUGAACCGUUUCUCUAUGGCUUCUUCUUCUUCUUCUUCUCAUUAAAUGUACAUGCCACAAGUAUCUUUUUUAAGAUGUCAUCAACUAUUUCGUAAAGUUCCAUGAAGGAAUAAGUAGCUAAAGCAUCGAUAUAUGCCCUGCAGUGACAUCCAAUUUAUAUAACAUCACAAAUUUUCUGGUCAAAAUCUCUCUAACCAGUUGAACUGCUUCUGUAAUGGCUUCUUCUUCCACUUCUUCUUCUCAUCCAUCUAGCAGUUUGAGUUCGAUGAAUAUUUGAAACAAUAAGUAUGAUGCUUUUCUUAGUUUCAGAGUAGUGGACACCCGUGACAGCUUUACUAGCCAUCUUCAUUCUGCUUUGUGUCCAAAAAAGUAUUGAAACUUUCAUUGAUGACAAACUUAUCAGAGGAGAUGAAAUUUCAGAGUCCCUUCUUGAUACAAUUGAAGCAUGAAGCAUUUCAAUUAUCAUUUUCUCCGAAGCUAUGCUUCUUCAGGAUGGUGUCUCGAUGAACUUUUAAAGACCCUCGAAUGCAGGCACAAUUAUGGAUAGAUUGUGAUCUCUUUCUUCUAUCGCGUAGAUUCAUCACGUCUGAGAAAGCAAAUUGGGAUUCUUUUGGAGAUUCAUUUUUGAAGUUUGAAGAAGGAUUUCCAGGGAAGAUGCAAGAUGGAGGAGUGCUUUGACGGACGCAGCCAGUCUCUCUAGCUUUGAUUCUCUUGUCAUUAGGUAAAAGUCAGCUCAUUAAUUAUUGGAUAAAUAAUUGUUUCGUCCCUAUAUUUAAUUUAAAUGAUUCUCUAUUCUUUAAAAAUAUCUCAAAAUACUAUUAUAUUUAGCUAUAUUAUAUUCUUACCUUUGCUUUUGCCUUCCUUUUACAAUAAUAGCUUUGCAAUAAUAUUCUUGAUAUUAAUUAAUUUAUCUAUAAAAAUUUAACUAGAAAAUUAACCAAUGAUUAUUUAUUAUUCUAGCAAAUUAACUAAAAAAUAUCAGUAUGAAAGAACUAAUAUUUAAUAUCCUUACAACAUUUUUAUUAUUUUAUAAAAAAAUUAAUUUGCCAAAUUAAUCUUAAAGGUAAAAUAAUAACAUAAGAUUUAUAAAAUUUUUAUAUUACUUUUAAGGUUAAUUUGAUAAAUUAAUAUUUUUUUUCAUUAAUAUCCUAGAGAAGAUAAGAAUAUUGUUGUAAAAAUAUUAUCAUAAAAGGAAAGACAAAUAGAGAGUAGGUAAGGAUAGCAAUGGAUACCACCCACUGCGGGUUUAUCACUACCUAACCCGCAUCCACAAAAAAUUUAGAUUACUAAAUCCACCCAUAAUCGGCCGUGGGUUUUUAUAUUUUUUUAAAAAAGCUUGCCUAUUGCGGGUUUUAAGGGUGGCAAAAAUACCCAUAUGGUUCGAACCCGAACGAUGUGGGCCCACUAAUACUAGGCUUGGGUAUGAAGCCAAAUCAGUCCUAGGCAUCACUUGAUAAACUCAGGACCUGGCUCAAAACCCGAAUUUUAUUAAAACAAUAUUAUAAAAUAUAUAUGAUUUUAAAUAUUUAUAUUUAUUUGACUCAUCUAUUACAUAUAUAUAAAGUUUUAAACAUUUAAAAUUUAUAUUUUCAUGUCCAAUUUCAUUGAAAUAAAUUUAAAAAUAAAAAAAUAUGCACAUAUAAUAUUAAAAAAGUACAAAAUUUGGGUACAAAAAUCCAGAUUAAAAAACCCGGCCCGGUGCCAGGCUUUUAAGCCCGGCCUGGGUGUUUAAAAAGUACAAUUGGGCUGGGUCCGAGCAUUGUGAUACCCAAACCUAGGUUUUGACAACCUGGCUGGUUUUAAUAAUUAAUAAACCCACCUCUAGCACCUAGUGAAUUUUUUACGGGUUUUUUUAUUUAAAAUCACAAAUAUAAAAAAAACUUUUAAUAAUAAAUAAUAAAUUAAAUUAAGUGAUUCAAAUAUAAAUUUAUAACAAGAGCCUAAAAAAUCUGCAUACAAAACUGAAUUCUAAUUUUUACCAAUGAAAAUAAGAAAUUAAAAUUUCAACAUCAAAUAAAUAUACAAAAUAUAUUAAAUCUGACAUAAAAUAUUUUUGAUGCAGUUAGAAUAUUUCUGUUGUAACCAAACCAUCAUUACUAAUAUCAACGUCUUGCUCUAUCUUUUAAUCAAUAUAUAAGAAUUAUCAAAAAUAUUAAUAAGUAAAUUUUGUAUAAUUAUCGUUAGCAAUUAAUUAAACAAAUAAAAACUCAACUUUUGGUUGUCAAUCAUUAGGUUCAGGUCAUUAGAGCAAAACAAACAAAAUCAGUCAAAUUAAAAUAAAAUAUCAGUAAUAUUAAACUUAAAAACUAUAAAUUUUCUACUUAUUACAUAUAUAUAUAUGGAAUUAGGAAAUUAAUUACACAUAUUUAUGAUUAAAUUUUUAAUUUAUUUUUAUGAUUAAAAUUAAAAAUAUAAACAAUUAAAAUAAAAAUGUAGGUUGGUGAAUACUUGUGCGGGUAUCCAAAGGAUUUUCUUUCAAUACCAAACCCACCUGCAACCCGUGGGUUUAAGUUUGAAAUACCAAACGUGCCCGCAACCUGCAAAAUUACUCGUAGUGGGUGGGUCUUUGCAGGCGAGUUUGGGCGGAUUUACUGGUUGGCAGAUAAUUUUGCCAUCCUAUUAGGUAGGAGUGCAACAUAUUUAACAGUAAGAAUAUCUUGAGGCAUUUGUUAAAAUAUAAGAAUUAAAUGGACACUUAAGUCAAAAUAUGGGGACUAAAUAAAAACUUACCAUUAUUUUAUUAUUAGGGUAAUCAGCAAUAUCAAAUAUUCUAAAGUUAAAUUUUAAAUCAUUUGAUGAAGAUUUAUUCGGUUACGUCAUAUAUUAUAUUACUCAUUUUUUCUAAUUGUAUUUUUUAACUCAAGUUUGAUUGUUAUGUGGCCAAUUUAAAAACAAUAGCAUCAAAUUAAAAAUUUGAACUGCACUCUUUUUUUUUUUUUUUUGGUCUCAAUUUUGAACUUAACGCUAUUUUUUGCAUUUGCUAGGAAUGAAUCUAAACUUAUAAAGAAAGUUAUUGAUGACAUUUUGGAGAAACUGCCUAAAGUGGUUCCAAGUAAUAACAAAACCCAGCUAGUUGGAGUAGAAUCAAGAAUUGAAGAAAUUGAAUCUCUAUUAGGUGCUGCACCUCUAUUAGGGAUUUGGGGUAUUGGUUGUAUAGGCAAGACAACAAUUACUAUUAUGAUCUAUAAAUUUAAAUAGGAAUAAAUAUAAUUCCUAUAAAUUUUAAUAGGAAUUAAUAUGAUAUUCUUGUCUUACUUGUCUCAUAAGAAAUAUUUAGAGCAUUUAAUAAACUUUAUGUUUGAACCAAUUUUUUCUCACUAUGACAACGCUCAAGCUAGGUUAUCGUCAACAUCUAUAGAUUAACUCACAUUCAUGGCUCCUCCUAAGCCAAAGAAAUUACACAAUUACUUUCCGAAAAUGAGAAAAUACAAUUAACUUUAUGCAAUAUUACUCUAAAUGGAUAUUAACCCUAUAAAUUAUAAUUUCUUAAUCCAUAAUUGAAAGUAACAAAAUUACUAUAAUACUCUCAAAGCCAUAAAUUACACCUUAUUGUCACGGACUGCAAUCGUGACACCCAAGAUAUGCGCUGUACGCUAGUAUCGAUGAUAGCUGUGCUGAUUGUUGGAGACGUGCUUCAGGGGCGUGCGUGUGGGGAAUACAAUGGUCCUAGAUUCCUUGGAGUUUAGGCAGGCUGACCCGGUUGAGUUUGGGGAGCUUGUCGCUAGUCGAGGACUUAACAUUGAAGAGGGGUCCAGGCGAAGCCCUACACACACUGGUUGGGAACUGAAGCCGUUCUCCUGAUAAGCCCAAUGUAGGGCGAAACCAGUCGAUAUUGUGCCACUUCCACUAGGCUUACUCUCGUAGUAUGUGAUGCGCGAGUGCCGCACAGGCUCGAAACCUCUCGUCCCGUGACAUUAUGCUCAAAAUUUUAUAAUUCACCUCCAUAAUUAAAUUUUUCAUAUCUUAUAAUACUGAUAAAUCAAGUGAUAGAUAAUUAUUAAGUCCCACCAUUUUUAAUUUAAAUAGUAAAAUUCUAUUAGUAAAACUUCAGUUAGAAUACCAAUUAAGAAUUCCAAUAAUAUAAGAUUAGAAUCACUCCUUUGCUUUCAUGUCAUGCGGAUUUAAUUACGUUGAGUUAGAUCAUCUUCUUCUUCUUCUUUUUUUUUUUAAAGGUAAGGGGGGUGGGUAAGUCCAAAUACAAUUUUUAGCCCCCUUACCACUCCCAAGAAUCGAACUCGGGUUUUAGUAGAAGCUACAGCUGCACUGCAGCCAAUCCGACUACGCCUUUGGGGGCUGAGUCAGAUCACUUACUUAUGGAGUACUAUUUCUUUGGUGAUCACGUGGAAGUCCAGUUCUAUUUAAAGGGAUUUUUUUAUGAUUAUUCAGAGUGUUGCCUGGUGAAAAAUUGUGGGAUAUACUUUAAGCCCCAUAUUUUAUGGAAUUAUGCAACAGAAAAUCCAAGCGGAAGUUUCAGCUAUAAUGAAGAAAUUGCAGCUGAUACAUUUGGGUAAAUAAAUAUCUCUUCCUAUUUACAUAUUUGUGUCUGUGUGCAAACUUUUUUUUUUUGGCUUGCUUUCUUUUUUUGUAGGUGUAUUUUCAAAGACAUCCAAAACUUUUAUCUUAAAUUUUAUUUCAAAUGAUGUAGUAUGUGAUAUGUUAUUUAUUGAGUUGUUGAUAAUUUUUCACAAUGUUCAAGUCAAUUAAUUGUAUUUUCUCAUCAUCCAAUUGAUGAAUAUCAUAUCAUUUAAGAUAAAAUUUUAGGAUGUGUAUCAUUACUUUUCUUUAAUUCUCAUAAUAAAUCAUGAGGACAAUUUAUGAAAGAACAAGCAAAUAUUAAUACACACUUCUUAUAUAUACAAAACAAUCAAUCAUAUAAUAACCUCCACCUAUCUAUGGCUAAAAGAAAUUGUUGUCCCCAAACCUAAAUAUAUAAGCCAACAAUUCCUUGGUUGGAUGGUUGGCAUCUCUUGGGAAAGUUUGAAUCUCUCCAGUGGCUUGAGAGUAUUUUCUUUGAGUUCUUAUUGUUGGUUUUAGUGGGCGUCAAUUAUUUGUUGGGCUUUGAAUGAAUAUUUAGAGCUAUUGGCACCCUUAAAAAAUUCUUUUAAAGCCCCUACAUCGUAAAUUUACAUUUUAAACUUGAGUUUUUAUUUUUUGUUAAAUAAAACACAAUUUGUUGUGAUGGUGAUAAUAUUUUUUUUUUAUUCUUAAAUUAGUUGUUAAAUAACACAAUUUUUUUAUUUUUAAAUAACAUAAUAUUUUUAUUUUUAUUUUUUGUUAAAUCAAACACAAUUUGUUGUUCCAUUAAUGAAAAUUAAAAGGUAUAUACACACGAACAACUUUUGACAAAAAUUAAAGUAUCUUUUCUUAGCUGUCAUCAACUAUUUUGUAAAGUUCCAUGGAAGGAAUGAAGUAGUCAAGUAGCUAGAGCAUCAGUAUAAGCCCUGCACCUGCAGUGACAUUCAAUUCAUAUAACAUCUCAAAUUUUCUGAUGAAAAUCUCUCUAAUCAAUUGAACUGUUUCUCUAAUGGCUUCUUCUUCUUCUUCUUCUUCUCCUUCCCAUCCAUACAGCAGUUUGAGUUUGAUGAAUCCUCAAAACAAUAAGUAUGAUGUUUUUCUUAGUUUUAGUAGAGCGGAAACCCGUGACAGCUUUACUAGCCAUCUUCGUUCUGCUUUGUGCCAAAAAAGUAUUGAAACUUUCAUUGACGACCAACUUAUCAGAGGAGAUGAUAUUUCAGAGUCUCUUCCUGAUACAAUUGCAGCAUCAAGCAUUUCAAUUAUCAUUUUCUCAGAAAGAUAUGCUUCUUCAGGACGGUGUCUCAAUGAACUUCUAAAGAUCCUCGAAUGCAAGCACAAUUAUGGACAGAUUGUGAUCCCUGUCUUCUACCGCGUUGAUCCAUUACAUGUGAGAAAGCAAAUUGGGAUUUUUGGGGAUUCGUUUUUGGAGCUUGAAGAAAGAUUUCCAGAGAAGAUGGAAAGAUGGAGGAGUGCUUUGACGGAAGCAGCCAAUCUCCCUGGCUUUGAUUCUCAUGUAUUCAGAUAACAGUCAAUUUAUCGCCAAUUAUAUAAUUUUUUUAUUAUUAGAUAUGAAACAUUCUAAUAUUAAAUAUUAAAUCAAUUGAUGAAGAUUACUAGGUUACAUCUUAUUUUACACUUUUUUUCUUUUUUUCUUUUUUUCAACUCAAGUUCUAGUCUUAUGUAACUACUUUAAUAGCAAACAAUUAAGCAUCAAAUCAAAAACUGGAACUAAUUAAAGACACUCUGUUUUUGUUUUUUUUUUUAGCUUAAUACUAUGUUUUGUAUUUGCUAGGAAUGAAUCUGAACUUAUAAAGAAAGUUGUUAAUGACAUUUUGGAGAAAUUGCCUAAAGAACUUUCAUGUAAUAACAACAUCCAUCUGCCUGAAGUACUUUCAUGUAAUAACAAAAACCAUCUGGUUGGAGUAGAAUCAAAAGUUGGUGAAAUUGAAUCUCUAUUAGCUGCUGCACCUCUAGUAGGGAUUUGGGCCAUGGGUGGUAUAGGCAAGACAACAAUUGCUAGGGCAGUUUUCAACAAAAUCUCUAGAAAUUUUGAAGGUUCUUGCUUCCUUCAGAAUGUUAGAAAAGAAUCACAAAACCCAGGAGGAUUAGCUAGGUUGCAACAAAAACUUCUUUCAGAAGUAUUGAUGGAUGAAAAUGUGAUUCCUGAUAUUGAGUUCAACUUCACAAGGCUCAGCCGCAGGAAGGCUCUGAUUGUUCUUGAUGAUGUGACUUGUUUCAGACAAAUAAAAUUCUUAAUCAGAAGUCUUGAUUGGUUUAUGCCUGAGAGUCGAAUCAUAAUUACCACAAGAGAUCAAAAGGUUCUUAAAAAUGGGGGAGUGAAAGAGAAAGACAUUUAUGAGAUGAAGGCAUUAGAAUGCGGCCAUGCCCUUGAGCUUUUUAGUCGACAUGCCUUCAAAGAAAACCUUCCUAGUGAAGUAGGUUAUCAGGAGCUGUCAGAAAAGAUAAUUAACUAUGCUCAAGGUGUUCCUUUAGCACUUGAAAUUUUAGGUUGCUUUUUAUAUGGAAAAGGAAAGGAAGUUUGGGAAAAUGCAAUAAACGAAUUGAAAAGAAUUCUUAAUAUGGAAAUCCAAAAGGUGCUAAAAAUUAGUUUCGACGGUUUGGACGAUGAACAGAAAAAUAUUUUUCUGGACAUUGCCUGUUUCUUUAAAGGUGAAGAUAAAGAAUUUGUGAUAAAGUUCCUUGAUGCUUGCGGUUUCGCUGCACAAAUAGGAAUAAGUGAUCUUGUUGAUAAGUCUCUUAUUAUCAUACAUGGCAAUAGCAUAACAAUGCAUGAUUUGCUGCAAGAAAUGGGUAGAGAAAUUGUCCGGCAAGAAUCUGUAAAUAAUCCAGGAGAACGCAGUCGAUUGUGGCAUCAUGAGGAUAUUAUCGAAGUUUUGACAUCUAAUACAGUAAGUAUUUUAUUUGAGACAUAUAUAUAUAUAUAUUAUUAUAUUAUUUUGGAAUGCUAUUGGAUGUGUAAUCUUUGAUGAUAAUUAUACAUAAAUAGAUGGGUUAUAAGCCCAAUAGAAGAGUGACGCUAAUAAAAGGAAAAAAUGAAAAAAUUGCAAUGUCAAUUUGUAUGUACAAGUUUGCAGUCACACAUUUUAUUAUUAUUAUUAUUAUUAUUCCCUGUAUGUAGGGUUACAUUUACUGCCUAAUGAUAACAAUCAACUUAAAUUUAUAGAUUUGAUUUUAAUUUGUGUCUUUUAUUGAUUAUUAGGGGACUGAAAAAAUUGAGGGCAUAUCCCUGGAUAUGUCUAAGGUGAGACAGAUUCGUCUAAAUUCUAACACAUUCACGAAGAUGCGUAAAUUAAGAUUUUUGAAAUUCUAUAAUUCAAUCUCUAAGGGAGGGAACAAAUGUAAGGUGUCUGAUUUUCAAGGUUCUAUAUUUGCUGAAGUGAGGUAUUUGCACUGGCAUGGUUAUCCAUUAACAUCAAUGCCGUCAAAUAUUAAUCCAGACAAGCUUCUUUUUCUUGAAAUCCCUCAUAGCAAUAUGGAACAACUUUGGGACUGUGUCCAGGUAUAUCUUAUAUUUUAUUCAAGCUUCUUUUUCUUGAAAUCCCUCAUAACAUUUGAUUGUUGAAUGAUUUGUCAUCGUUGCUUCUUUUCUGUCCGAACAGCAUCAUGGUAAGUUCAACCGGAUGGUCAUUGCUGCCUGGAAUUCUUUUACCAAAACCCCAAACCCCUCGUUGAUUCCGGGUCUAAAUAAGCUAGUUAGCCUCAAUCUAAUUGGUUGCUCAAAAUUGAAGAGGCUUCCUGUAGAGAUCUCAUCAGCUGUUAAUGUGGAAGAGAUACGUUUAAAUGGAACAGCAAUUGAAAAACUGCCCUCGUCCAUUGGGAGUCUCUCUGGGCUUUUGGACUUGGACCUUCAAAAUUGUAAAAGUCUUAAGAGUCUCCCUAGCAGCCUAUGUAAGUUGAAAUCUCUUCGGAGUCUGUAUCUCAAUGGGUGCUCAAAUCUUCAAAGAUUGCCUCAGGAACUUGGAAAUUUAGAAGCUUUGGAGUUUUUGUCUGCUAUAGCAACAGCUAUAAGAGAAGUACCCAGGGACUUAGCCAGCAUAGGACCAGGUGGGGCACAUGCCCCAGCUGGCUUUUAAAAUAUUUUUUUGAUGAUUAUCUUUAAAAAAAAAAUUUAUGCAUUAUUUAUAAAAAUGCCCCAAGUCAAUUGUGAAAAUUUGAAAGUGCCACAUGUAAUUUUAAAAAAUUUCAUAUUGCCCCUAACUUAAAUGUAUAAAUCUAAAUAAUUUGAUCAGUUAUUAUAAUUUCAUAAAAGUCAACAAAGACAAAAAGGAGAACGCCUUUUAUCAAAUAAAAUCUAUUAAAAAAUCAAUUAAAGUAAGUGAAAUCACAACUUUACUCUUUCUUCCGUCUCUUUCUUUCGUCUCUUCCAUGGAUUAAAGUGUGGUGGGUGGAGCUAGGCAAUUUGCAGUGCUCAUCAAUUGUCACUAGUGCGUGAAUUUCUUCUCACUUUCUUCAUUUGCGUCGCUUGAUGUUUUAAAAUUGUAAGUUUCUUAAUACUAAGUUUUUAUUAUUUCAUUGUUUUUUACAUUUUAAAAUUGCUAAUUUUAUUUUAUAUUCAUGUUUGAUUUUUGUGUUGUCAUAUAUGAAUAUUUUUGCCAUUAUUAAAAGAUUUAAGAACAAAUUAAUUUAUUAAGAUUAAUACACUAUAUAAUGAAAUUUUAAUGAAGACCCAUAAUCUUUUGUCUAGUUCUGUAACUGUAAUUUUCAUGUAUAUUUUUUUAUGAAGAAAUUUUUCUUUGAAUGAUAAAUAUCAUACUUAUUUGAUGAAUAUAUUUCUUUGAACAGCCAUGGAUAAAUAUUUAAGAAAGAAUUCAACAACCUCAUUAGGAAAAAUGAGUGGCAAUUCAAAAGAAAAAGUUAGUCUUAAUUUGCAUGAUCUUCCAAGAGAUCCUGGUUUACGAACAGUAAUUUCGAAGUUAGAUCCUAAUAUUCAAGAUGAAGUUCGGAGAGCUUAUUUGCAAAUGGGUCCUUUUCAACCUCAAAGCCAUGAUUUUCCUACUAGGUUGUUAGGAGAAAAAUCACGACGAUUUGUCCGGAGUUGGUUUGAUAAUUAUCUUGAUUGGUUAGAAUAUAGUAUAGUAAAGGAUGCAGCUUUUUGUCUUUAUUGUUAUGUUUUCAGAGAAGAAAAUGGUAGUCAAGGGGUUGGUCCAUGCUUUACUGGUGAAGGGUUUAGAAAUUGGAAGAAAAAAGAAAUGUCGAGACAACAUGUUGGUGGCGUAAAUAGUGCUCAUAAUAUAGCUAGGCGUCGUUGUGAAUCAUUGAUGAAUCAAAAGGCACAUGUUGCUACAUUUUUCUUUAACCAUUCUAAAAAAAUUAAAAGGGAGUACCGACUUUGUUUAACUGCUGUAAUUGACUGCAUUCGGUUUCUUUUGAGACAAGGCCUUGCAUUUUGUGGUAAUAAUGAAUCUCAAAGCUCAGAUAAUAGAGGAAACUUUCUUCUUGCUAAUCACAAUGAGGAAAUUAAAGGUGUUAUUUUCAACAAUGCUCCAGCAAAUCUCCAAAUGACAUCCCCUGAUAUUCAGAAACAAAUUGUAAGUGUUUGUUCAGCUGAAACUUCUAGAGCUAUCAUUAAAGAAAUUGGUGACUCUUUAUUUUCUGUUAUGAUUGAUGAAUCUCGUGACAUAUCCACAAAAGAGCAAAUGGCAGUUGUGUUGUGUUAUGUGGAUAAAAGAGGACAUGUGGUUGAGCGUUUUAUUGGUAUUGAACAUGUUAUUGAUACUAAAGCUGUCUCUCUCAAAGCAUCACUCGACAUAGUAUUUGCUAGACAUGGAUUAAGCAUGUCUAGGUUGCGUGGGCAAGGAUAUGAUGGUGCUAGUAACAUGCAAGGGGUACUUAAUGGUUUGAAAACACUCAUUCUAAAAGAGAAUGAAUCAGCUUAUUACAUUCAUUGUUUUCCCAUCAAUUACAGUUGGCCCUUGUUUUUGUGGCAAAAAAGCACCAAGAAGUUAAUGAUCUGUUCAGUUUAGUUACUAAAGUUAGUAACAUUGUUGCAGCCUCGUCUAAACGAUAUGAUAUCCUUAAAGAGAAGCAUGCUGUUGCAGUUAUUGAAGCACUUAAAAUGGGUGAGCUUAAAAGCGGACAAGGCAUGAAUCAAGAGAUUACUUUAAAGCGUUAUGGCGACACACGGUGGAGCUCACAUUACGGUACAUUAAUAAGCAUUAUUACCAUGUUCUCAUCCAUAAUUGAUGUGCUUGAGAUUAUUGCAAAUGAUGCAUCAAAUUCUGAGCAAAGAUUUGAAGCAAAUUCAACCUUGAAGUUCAUGCAAACAUUUGAUUUUGUGUUUACUUUAUACUUGAUGAAAAAUAUUCUUGGUUUUGCAAAUGAAUUGUCACAAGCAUUACAAAGGAAAGAUCAAGAUAUUGUGAAUUCCAUGAAAUUAGUUAGCAUUUGCAAACUAGGUCUACAGAGGAUGAGGGAACAUGGAUGGAAUUCUUUGCUUAUUCAAGUUUCUUCAUUUUGUGAGAAACAUUUUAUUAGUGUUCCUGUCAUGGAAACUAUGUUUCUAACACCUGGAAGAUCAAGGCGUAGAGCACAAGAGAUCACAAAUAUGCAUCAUUAUCGCAUUGACCUAUUUUGUGCUAUUUUGGAUAUGCAACUUCAAGAGUUAAACAGUCGUUUUAAUGAGGUAAACACUGAAUUACUUCUUUGCUUGGCUUGUUUAUGUCUAAAAGAUUCAUUUGCAGCUUUCAAUAAAGAAAAGUUAUUGCGUCUUGCUCAACUUUAUCCAAAAGAUUUUUCUCAAGUUGAUCUCAUGGCACUAGAUACUCAACUUGAUAUUUACAUAAUGGAUAUGCAGUCUAGUGUUGAGUUUUCAGAAUUAAAUGGGAUUGGUGAUCUUGCACAGAAAAUGGUUGAGACUAACAAGCACAAGGUGUUUUCAUUGGUCUAUUUAUUAGUCACAUUAGCAUUACUUCUACCAGUUGCCACUGCCACUGUUGAAAGAGUUUUUUCAGCAAUGAAUUAUGUGAAGAAUCGACUACGAAGUCGAAUGGGAGAUGAAUGGUUGAAUGAUAAUCUAGUUGUGUACAUUGAAAAAGAUGUAUUUGAUUGUAUUGAUAAUGAAAUUAUUUUACAGCAUUUUCAACACAUGAAAUCCCAUCGAGGAAUUCUUGAUUAGAACAAUUGUAAUAAGUUAAUUUAUUGUUAAUUUAUAUUACACUUGUGACUCUAGUUACUGUUAUCUAAAUUUUCAAAAUUUAUUCUCAAUUUAUAUUAUAUUGCGAUUUUUUGUGUUGUGAUAUAAAUUCUUAAAAUUAUACUAUAUUUUUAAUGUGCCCCAGAUCAAUUAAAUUUCUUGCUACGUCCCUGGAAGUACCCUCAUCCAUUGUACGUUUGAACAAUGUUCGUGAUAUAAAUUUCAGUAGGAGCAAGGGUCAUAAGCAGAUGGGUUUAUCAUUGCCGAUCACAAUAUUUUUUGAUGGCUUGUACAAUCUAACGUAUCUAGAUCAAUCUGAUUGCUGCAUCACAAAGUUACCUGAAAGUAUUGGUCAGCUAUCCUCUCUAGAAUAUUUGUAUCUAUCGAAGAACAAUUUUGAGAGGAUACCAAAGAGCAUCAUACAACUUUCUAAGUUGUCAUGUCUCUACUUAAGUUAUUGUGGGAAGCUUCAAUCCUUACCAAAGCUUCCAUGCAGUCUACAUAAGUUGCAUGCACAUCAUUGCACGGCACUGGAAUCAUUAUCAGGUUUAUUCCCAAAAAGUUAUGAAUCUUGUCCGCCGCGUUUUGAGCUGAACGGUAAUUAUAACUUGGAUCGGAAUGUUGUUGGAGGAAUUCUUGAAGAUGCUCUGCAAAACAUUCAGCAUGUGGCAACUGCACGUUGGGAACACAUGCAUGCACAGGAAAAGGUGUGUCUUUAACUCUCUCAUCUCAGUUUAAUCAUACAAUGUUAUAUAUUUUUUCUUUUUUUUUUCUCUUUUAAAUUUUUAGUUAGCAAUUUUUUUUCUUUUCAAAUAAUGAUUUGUGUGGUACAGAUAUCUUAUCCGGAAUUUGAAGGUUUUGCCAUUUUACCUGGGAAUGAAAUUUCAAAGUCGUUUUGCUUUCAAAGUAUGGGAUCUUUGAUAAAAUUGAAGACGCCACCAGCAGGUUGGUUCAAUAAUAAAAAUGUAAUGGGUUUUGCUUUUGGCGCUAUUGUAUCAUUUCGAGACCAUUAUGAUGAUGUGUUUGAAUUGUUUUGUGACAUCAAAGUCAAACCCAAAGAUUGUGAUCCACAUGUGAUACAGAUAUAUCUGGAGCUGUAUUGUUAUGUGGAGUCAGAUCACUUAAUUUUGGGGUACUAUUUGUUUGGUAAUGACAAUUUGAAUGGUUUUCGGGAUUGCGUUAUUGAGGCAGUCCAAUUCUAUUUUAAGAAAGAUCAUGAUGACUCUGAACGUUUGGAAUGUUGGGGGCCAAAAAGAUGUGGGAUCCAUUUAUUGUAUGCCCCAGAUUCAUCGGAAGACCCAAGCGGAAGUUUCAAUAAUGAAAGAAGAAGAGGAACUACAACCCCAGCAGAUGACUGAAAUAAUCUUGAAAUAUCAUCCAUCACAUGCAGCUGGUACGUUUCUGUAAAUUAAUUAAUCUUCCUAUAUAUAGCUUGUUUUGCUGGCUUGGUUUCUUUUCUUUGUAUGUGUUUUCGAUUCUUUUCUACAGUUUCUAAAGACAAUUAAUUACUAACCUAAAUAAUAAGGCCGAGUAAUGAAAGAGCAAGCAAAAAACACACAUUUCAUAUUCUCCAAAAUAAUGAAUCAGUGGUGGCAGGCCCAAAAAAAAAAAAUGAUUUAUCAUGGCUAAACUAUGCAACAACUAGAUGUAAAAACUGAAAUUUUAUGGGUUUAUUAGCUUAUGGAGGUUGUUUUAAUAGAUUCAAUUGGAGCUAAGUUAAAUAAUAGUAAAACCACUUAUAUGGUUUGUUGUGGACUUUUAUUUUUUCAAUUAAAAUGUAGAUUUUUAUAAUUUUUAAAGUUUAAAUUUUAUGGAUUAUGAAUUUAUGGGACUAUUUUUAGAGAUUCAAUGGAGUUAUAUUUAUAAAUUUCACAGAGGCUAAUUAAAAGCUUAAGUAAUUUUUUCUUUAAUUUUUAGAACUUAUUUUUAACAGCAGGGCUUGGGCCCGCACAUAUUGAGCUGAGCCACCAGUGCAUAUAGUAACAUCCACCUUUAUCUGCAUGCCUAAAAAAAUGGUUGCCCCCUAGCCUGAUUAUACAUACUACGCGGAUGAGAAAAAUCCCUACGAGGACGAGGACGUUCGGGGAUUUUUCUUAUUCGGGGAGGGUACGAAGACGAUUUUAUACCUAAUUUCUUAUUAGAAGAAGGGACGGGGAUAAUUUUACAUCAAAGUUCUCAAAACUUUUUCAAUUUAAGCCAUUAACUUGAAAAUAACCAAUUUCAUAAAAUCAUUUUUCCAUUAAGUAUAAAACCUUUAUAUUAUGAAAAUAAUGAUUUAUUUAAAAUGUACGAAAAAUAAUUUGAGCUUUUAAAAGUUUAAUCAUUCUUAAUUUUGUUUUUAUCAUCAAAAUCAACAUUAUGAAUACAUAAAUGUUAACAGUAUUAAAUAAUUUUUUUUAUAAUUUAAUUUAUAUAUUAAGAUUAUUUUAGGUAUUAAAAUAGGUUCAUGGAGUAAAAUUUUAAAUUUUAAAUGCUCUUUUCUCAUAUUUAUCUCUACAUUUCUACAUGUAAAAAAACAAGACCUUGGUUUCUAUUCUUCUAUUUUACUAUAUAUAUUUCUUUGUACUUUUUUUAGUAUCUGUAUUUACCUUCUUGUUAAGAAAUAACAACUAAUAUUGUCAAUUUAUUUUAUUUUUAAAAAAAACCACCAGAUGGUGGGGGGUUAGUCCUAUUGUCGAUUUAAGUUAUCAUAUGGUCUUUAUUUAGAUAAAAUUAAUUAGGUAAAAAUUUAUCAUUGAUCUUUAUUGCUGAGAUCAAAUAUAUUCUCUUAUAUUUCAAGUUUAAAUAUGACUAAGUUCACUAUAAUUGAAUUUAAAGGAUUCUUUACAUUUUAAUCAUCGUCACCGAAACCAAAUUUCCAAUUCCCUCACUAACUAAUAUGGUACAAAUUAAUAAUUAACAACAAAAAUGAAAGUAAUGGGUGGACUGUAACACCUUAACUUAUAUAGAUAUAAGUUAAUUGGUGUGGGGCUUGAACUAAUAAUAACGCAAAUAAAUAAUCAGCUCUAUAUGGAAAGCAAUUUUUUUUUUUAAAAAAAAAAAAGGAACCAGUUACCAUUUAUUUGCAAGACUCACGAGGAAGAGAGGAAGUAAAUGCGAAAAUAUUCAAGUCUUGGGAAUUUUAACAAAAAUUGAGUUUGGGGAACUAUUCCAGAGUAUUUCCAUCCCUAAAUUCAUCUGGAAACAUUCAUUAGAGAGGAAUUUAACUGUAGGAAGCGUAGAGAGAGGAAUCAAGUGAGUGGAAAGUGAUUCAAGCUUUCAAGUUGGGUUUCUCACCAUUUGGAGUAAGAUUUCUAUCAUUUUAUCUUUAUUUGAAUUGGAUUUCUUGGGAAUGAAGCUGAUUUAAAGAUUAUUAUACUUUAUUUAUAAUCAGGGUUUCUGACAAAUUGGCAAAGUUGGUCUCAUGCUAAUUUUUGUAAUUGGUGCUAUUUUAGGUGCACAAGGGCACCAACAAGGCAUUGUAGAGCCGGAGACACGAAGCCCUUGCAAUUUUUCCGAUUCAGUAUAUAAUUAUGUUUAGGUACUUUAUGGUUAGUAAUGAGAUUGUUGAUAAUGUGGAUGAUUUAUUAGUAUUAUAAGAUAUGGAAACUUAAUUAUUGAGGUGGAGGAUGGAAUUUUGAGCAUAAGUUGUAAUUUAUGGCUUUGAGGAUGUUAUAUUAAUUUUCAACUUACAAGUAUGGUUUCAGGAGUUGUAUGUUAUGAGGUAAAUAUUCAUUGCGAGCUAUAUCUCAUAAAGUUAGUUGUAUUUCACACAUUUGGAAAUUAAUUAUGUCAUUUCCAUGAUUUAGGAGGAGCCGUGAACGUGAGUCAAGCCACUGACGUCGACAAUAGUCGAGCUUGACCAUCAUCGUUGUGAGUGGAAUAUACUAAACUUGUCUUUUAUAUUUUUAUUAUGAUAUUAAUUUGAGUAAAAUAAAGUAUUUUUAAAUGUCCUAUUUAAGUUUUUCUAGAAAUAGAAAUUUUAUUUACAUGUUGAUAUGUUUGUUAAAGGUGUAUGUUGAUUGGUUUUCCAUUUUUUCUUACCUAUUUUGAUUAUAAAUUAAUGUGCGAGAGUAUUUUAAUGAAAAGGAAUAUAGAUUUAAAGUAUGUUGAAAAUGUUUAUAUACCUGUACAUAAAAGUUUAUUUUUCAAAAAUAUUAGACAGUGCCUUUCUCUCUAGAUACAAAGAUAAGUGUAGAGAUUCAAUUACAUACAUACAAUUGAGAUAGAGGCCCUUCAUCUGAGCACUAGGAUUUGGGCCAUGUGCGUGGAUGCUUCUGCUCUCUUGGGACUAAUUUAUGCUUGCAGUAUGACGAGAUGAGACAUAUAAGAUGGCACAUCAUUGGUCUACCCGUUAUAGCUUCGGGCAUGAUAGUACACUUUCAGUAUAUUAUUGCACUGCCCGUAGAAGGUUCAGGUAUGACAAGGUUAUUCCUCUAGGUAUUAGUUUCAUGAAAAUUUUAGAAUCAGGUAUCUAAUUAUAUUAUCUUUUGAUAUGAUUUUCAAAAUUAUUAAUUGUAGUAUCAUGUAUUCCUUUUUAAUGCUAAUUGCUUGAUUUAAAGAUUAAAUAGUUUACUUAUGUUCUUACAUAUAGCUCGAUGAAAUUGUAUAUUACAAUAAUAUAAUUAUUCUAAAAUAAGUUUACUUUCAAAACUUAUUAUCCACUCAAUGAACCACUUUAUUAUACUUUUCGCCCUCACAAGAGGUUGUAGGUACACCAGUCGACCGAGCGACUGUAGUUAUUUUGAGUUUUGGCCAUAUGAUAGUGUUAGGAGACAUAGGUGAUAUUAUUAAGGCAUUUUGAUCACCUCAUUUUGGAUUGUAUAAUUAUAUUAUAAUUUGAUGAUUACUGAUGUUUAAUGUAUGUUGGCAUUAGCUAUGAUAUAUUCUUUCGAUACUUUGGAGAUGUUGGGUGAUAUUUGGAUGAGUUCAUUUAAAUAUAUUAUUUACUAUGAUGUGUGAUAUUAUGACUAAGGAGGUUGAACAAUGAAAUUGGUUGAAUAUUAAAUUAUUUUAAGAGUGUUUAUUUUAUAGAUUUACAUAUUGGAAAUAUAAAAAAUAUAGGAAGAUUUUAACGAAUUUUCAACAAAAUCUUUAUCGAUAAGUUAAUUUUUUUUUAUUAAAAGGGGCUCAUCAAGGCGAGCUAGAUAGGAAUAAUGCGGGGUUGACAAACCCCAUACAUGUCUUGUGAAAGAAUAGAAUAAAUACCCACAGGCGGGUUAGAGAAUAACUAUAGACCAUGCGGUAUUAAAUGAGCCAUAUUUGCCAUGAAAUCCGCAGCUGAGUUCGCUUCACGGUAGAUAUGCGAGAUAUUAAUCUGCCAAUUUCUGUUUAAAAAAUCACGAAUUGCCACCACUAAAGCAUAGGAGACAUUAGGCACAACCAUCUGCUGAGAAAUCAUCUGAGUUACACAGAGGCUGUCUACUUCCACCAAAAGAUGUCUGAUUCCAACAUUCCAAGCGAGGGACAAUCCUUGAUACAGGCCCCAAAGUUCAGCCAUAAUCACUGAGCUUUCCCCAAUAUUCAUACUAAAGCCUGAGACCCAGUUACCAACGGAGUCGCGAAUAACCCCACCCGCUGCAGUUGCUCCUGUAUGUUUACAGGAACCAUCUGUGUUCAACUUACACCAUGGCCAUGGAGGAGGCAACCAACCAAUAAAAAUCUCCUUACGCCUUGGUUGUGGGCUGAGAUGUGAGUUAUUAAUUCUAUGGAUCUCACUAGCUCUGGCCAUAAUAUCCGAAUAUAUUGUCUUGCUAUCUACCAAAUUCCCAGCCAUAAUAAAUUGAUUACGCCAAAACCAUAAUCUCCAAAUAGCCACUGCAAAAAUACAAUCCCAAGGAAGCUCCGAAUCAAUUUUCCACUUAUUUUGCAUGUUGGCAGCAACCCAUGCACGUAAGUUGGAUUGGAAGAAAGCAAGUUGAUGACAGGUUGGAACAAGACUAAGCCAUAGAUUCUUAAUGCAACUACAAUCUCUCACAGCAUGAAGAAUCACUACUACAAAAUUGAUCUUUAAUGACGGUUUUAAAAGACAUAAGAUGACGGUUUUAAAACCGUCAUCUUAGGCAGCGACAUUAAAUGGGGUAUAUUUUUUAUGACGGUUCAAAAACCGUCAUUAAAUGACCACUUAUAAUGACGGUUAUUUUAAAAAACCGUCAUUAUAUGUCAUGGAUACAUAAUAUUUAAUGACGGUUUUUUCCUAAAAACCGUCAUUAAAUGUGUAUUUAUAAUGACGGUUAUUUUACUAAACAGUCAUUAUUUGUUAUUUAUACUAGAGAUUUAAUGACCGUUUUUAGGAAAGAACCGUCAUUAAAAAUAAACAUUUAAUGACGGUUUUUUCUUAAAAACCGUCAUUAAAUGUUUAUUUUUUAAAUUUUUUUAUGAUGAUUUUUUUAAAUACUCGUCAUUAAAUUACUAUUUUUACAUGACGGUUUUAUAUAAAACAGUCAUCUUAUAUCAUGUUUUGCUACUUUUUAUGACUGUUUAUCAAUUUAUAACGAUGGCUUUUAUAGAACCGUCAUAUUUGAUGUUAUCUAAAAAAAAAAAAUUAUUACAAGCAUGCUUUAAUUGUAAUUUUCUAUUUCACAAAUAUAUUUUUACAAUUACGUUUUUACAAACUAUAUCAUAUACAAAAUAUUGCUUUACAAAAAUAUUAGAUGUAUAAUCCUUCAUACAUCCUCAACAAAAUGUAAUACAUUGAAAUUCUUACAAAUACUCUUCCAAUAUAACAAAAUCAACUACUAACUAAGAAAAUUCUCAUGCUCUUUUGUAGAGAACUUUGACAAUCCUUCAUCUUCAACAAAAUACUAGCUCUUCCACAUGUAAUCUAGCUACCACAUCUAAAUUCUCAUCAAGUCUUCAUAUGUAAUAUUUUCAAAAAAAUUAUGCAGCUGCUAGGGACCUACGACAUUAUUUACAAAGAAAGAAAAAAUAAAUAUAUCAAGCUCAUUUAUUACAAGUUGUAGUUUAAUCAUGAUAAGUUGUAGUAUCUAGUACUAUUAGAGACUGACCUUGAAUUAUCAAUCAAUUAAUUUUCAUAUGUAGCAGCAAGUUGCCAUGUAUACCUAGCCCACUCGCAUCUCACCUCGUCAAUCUCCCUUUGAGUGUAGCUUUGUAUCUUAACAAACUAUAAAGUGAAAAAUAUAUAAAUUAUUUUGUGGGGAAAAUAAAUAAAUAUUUGAUAACAAAUUGCCAAUACCUUUUCUGGAAUAGAGACAUUAGUAUUAGCCACAAUAUCCCACAUAUAUUUCAUCACAUAGUAUCCGCAAUGCUCAACAUAUUUGGGUUGACGAGGACACUACAAAAGAGAAAGUAAUAGAUUUAAGUUACACAAUGAUAAAAUUCAUGCAAUAAUAAAUUAUAAAUCUCAUAUACAAAAUAUUAUGAAUUUGAAUUUAAGACUAAUGUUCCUUACUUUCAUUGGUUUCCAUAUGCAAUGCUUCCGAUUAAUUUUUUCAUGUGCCGUGCUAAACAUUCUCAAUGAACUUAAUUUCAAAAAUUACAAAGCAUAUAUUAGAAAAUAAUAUAAAGAAAAUACAAGCUAAAAAGUACAAUUUUUUAACAUACCUAUUAAUAAGCUCUUUCAAGUUUUGACGCGGAUCAUGACCAAUUGAAUCAAAAAAAUAACAUUGGCCUUCAUAUGAAUCAAUAACAGUCAACAUCCAAUGUGCUCUGCGUGCAAUAUACUUAUCAUUGUCAAAUUCCAAAUAUCAUAACAAUCGUAUUCACUUUGAAUGUAUAACUUACGAUUCAUUAUAUGGAAAAAUGAUAAGUUGCGUUGGAUCGAUCGAUUCCAUUAUAUCUCCAAGCUUUUUGGCCUUUUCCUCACUGUCAUGGGCACUCCCAUUUGCAAAAAAUUCUGGAUCAACAAACUUGAACCUUUUUUCCAAAUUGCAUCUCUUUAUAUUCUCAAAUAGCAGCCUGUGCAAGACAUAAUACAAAAAUAAUAUACACUCUUACAUCUAUACAUAGCAAUAUUAGAAAUUUGGAAUAACACAUCACCUCAUAUACAAUUUUGGUGCUGUAUAGCUACUGUAAUUGUGUUAAAACAGCACCUGUAACUUUCAGGUGCUGUUUUUAAUUAACAUCAAACACAUCAUGACAGCACCUAAAAAUUUAUUUAAGUGCUGUCCAACUAAUAAAAACACCACUUGAAAGUUUUAGGUUCUUAUUUUAACAGCAAACAGCAGUAGGACAGCACCCAAAGUAGUUUAUGUGCUGUUUAACUGAUAAACCCAGUAACUGAAAGUUCCAUUGCAGUUUUUACAACAAACAGCAGCUUGAAUGCACCUAAAAAACUUUUCAAGUGCUGUUUUUAGCCUUAAACAGCAGCAUGACAGCACCUGAAAAUUUUGUGAGUGCUGUCUAGCUGAUAAAAACAGUAACUGAAAUUUUCAGGUGCUGUUUUUGACAGCAAACAACAAAUUACAGCACCUAGAAUAUUUUAUAAGUGCUACGUAGCUGCUAAAAAUGCAUUAAAAGCAGCUGGACAGCAGCAUGACAGAACCUAAAAUUUUUUGGUGCUAUCCAACUGAUAAAAACAACAUUUGAAACUUCCAGGUGCUGUUUUUAACAGCAAAUACCAACAAGACAACACCCAGAAAAAUAUUUAGGUGUUGUCCAGCUGAUAAAAACAGCAUUUGGAACUUCCAGGUGCUGUUUUUAACAGCAAAUACCAGCAAGACAGCACCCAGAAAAAUUUUUAGGUGUUGUCCAGCUGAUAAAAACAGCAUUUGGAACUUCCAGGUGCUGUUUUUAACAGCAAAUACCAGCAAGACAGCACCCAGAAAAAUUUUUAGGUGCUGUCCAGCUGAUAAAAACAGCAUUUUGAACUUCCAGGUGCUGUUUUUAACAGCAAAUACCAGCAAGACAGCACCCAGAAAAAUUUUUAGGUGCUGUCCAGCUGAUAAAAACAGCAUUUGGAACUUCCAGAUGCUGUUUUUAACAGCAAAUACCAACAAGACAGCACCCAGAAAAAUAUUUAGGUGCUGUCCAGCUGAUAAAAACAGCAUUUGGAACUUCCAGAUGCUGUUUUUAACAGCAAAUACCAGCAAGACAGCACCCAGAAAAAUUUUUAGGUGCUGUCAUGCUGCUGUAAUUAUGUUAAAAUAGCACCUGAAACUUUUCAAUACUGUUUUUUAGAACAAAUAGCAGCAUGACACACUGAGAAAAUUUUAUAGAUGUUGUCCAAUUGCUAAAAUCAGUGCUUGGAUUUUCCAUGUGCUAUUUUUAACAGCAUAUAGCAGCAUGACAACAGCACAAUAAUUUUACAAUUGUUGUUUUCUUUAUAAAUCAGUGGCAAUCACAGCUUCUAAAAACUUCAGUAUAAGAAAAGAAUAAUUAAAUCCUCUCAAUUGAGUUUGGGAGGAAGGAAUACUUUUAUUACAUCAAAACAAAGUUAAAAAACAACAAAAACGAUUGAUGUUAUGGCCCUUUUAAGGUUUUCUACCUAUUAUUGCCAGUCAUAGAACUAAAUACUUAACGAAACAAAGUUUUCUGAAUUAAACAUGAAUUUCAUAAAAUCCACACCAUAGAAUUACAUGGCAACGAAAAAGUGUUAAAACAAACUAUAAGAACUGAAACAAACCUUGCAGAUGAUUGAACUCAAUACUGAUAUCAAGCACACCAAAAAUCUCUGAGAGAAGUAGCCAUGUUUAGAGUCAUCCAAUGCUAGGUUACAAAACCAUAAAACCUGCCCAGUCAAAUUAAUGAGAUUUAUAAGUAAUAAAAUGAAAAUACAGAGAGAGAUAGAGAGCAAGAAUGAUUUGGCUCAUAAAUAAGAAAUUUCAAAUUCCUUCCAGUAAUCUGACCUAGGUAGUGAACUGAGGAUGGAUUGGAGCAUUAAAAAUGGGAUUCAACCCGGUGGUUGCUGAGACGGCACAAUAAUCCCAAGGUUGCGAUGGUUAGGAAGUGGGCAACAAUUAAUCUUGGCUAUUCUGGAGAGAAAUGAGCGAGUGAAGGAAUUUGGGUAUUUGGGUAUUUGGGAGAGAUAUUUUGAAGUGAUGAAAUAAAAUGCCUAAGUCUAGAAAUCGGCUUUGCUUUUUUUUUUUUUUUUGUAUUAUUCAUGACCGUUUAUGAAAUAAACGGUCAUGAAUGAAGAUGAAUAAUUUCCUCUUUAACCACGGUUCCUAAAAUAACCGACAUUAAUACUGGGAUUAUAUUUUAGUGGAUAUAUAAUGACAGUUAAGUUUAAAAACCGUCAUUGUAAGUAUGUAUUUUUAAUGAUGGUUUUUAUAACAAACCGUCAUUAAAAAUAAUAUUAACAUUUAAUGACGGUUUUCAAAUAAAACCGUCAUUGUAACUAUAAAAUAUUUUUAAUGACGGUUUUUACAAAGAACCGUCAUUAAAACUAACAUUAUAUUUUAAUUUUAUAUUUAAUGACGGUUUUCGAAUAAAACCGUCAUUGUAAGUAUAAAAUAUUUUUAAUGACGGUUUUUAUAAAGAACCGUCAUUAAAAAUUUUAAUUUUACAUUUAAUGACGGUUUUAGAUAAAACCGUCAUUGUUAGUACCAAUAUUUUUAAUGACGGUUUUUAUAACGAACCGUCAUUAAAAAUUUUAAUUUUACAUUUAAUGACGGUUUUCGAAUAAAACCGUCAUUGUCAGUACUAAUAUUUUUAAUGACGGUUUUUAUAAUGAACCGUCAUUAAAAUUAAUAUUAUAUUUUAAUUUUAUAUUUAAUGACGGUUUUUAAAAAAAAACGUCAUUAUAAGUAUUAAAUAUUAUGACGGUUUACAUAAUAACGGUCAUAAAAAAGUUUUAAUGACGGUUAUUUUUAAGAACCGUCAUAACUUAUGGGUCAUUAAUUUGAAUUUUUGUAGUAGUGAAUGCCCUCAGCCGAAACCCCACACCUAACACAAACUUCAGAAACGGGGAUAUUACGCCUAUUAAGCUCACUGUGGGUCUUCAAUUUGCCAUGCAAAGUCUGCCAAAUAAAGAGCUUUAUAGAUUGGGGCCCUUUCCAAGACCAUGGCAAUUUCCAUACUUUAUCUUGAGUGUCUAAGUUAUGGUAGCAAAGAGACUCAUAAGCAGUUCGGACUGUGAACAACCCUCUUGGAUUAUAACUCCAAUAUAGUCUAUCAGGACCAAGAUGCGGCGCAGGUGGCAUGAUCGAGGCAAUCUGCAUAAGAACAGAAGGGGGCAGUAGGAAUUCAAAGCUCGCCCAUCUCCAGCCACCAUAAUCAUUAGUAAAUUCGCUAACCGUAGCAUUGAGAGAGGCCUGAGGGAUCGGUUGGAGAGCUAGGUGAAUCAAAGGCUCAUAUUUCGUCACCCAACAGUCCAGCCAGAAACGAAUUCGAGCACCAUCACAUACUGCCCAGCGAGCUCCAUGCAUGGUUGCAUUCCACGUUUUUCUUAUAGCAGACCAGAUACGCGAACCUUGUUUGUCAGGGGGGAAGACGGCAAAUUGCAUGGGUCCAAUCCAUAUUUGGAACAGAGAACCCGCACCCAUAACUUAUCUGAGUUGGAGAUAAUGCCCCAACUAAUCUUCAUCAACAGGGCAUGAUUCAUCACCUCUAAGUUCUUAAACCCCAAGCCACCACUUGAUUUCGGCAAGCAGAUUUUAUCCCAGCCCACCAUGCACAUCUUAGGACUCUUCGACCUCCCAUCCCAAAUAAAUCUACGGCAACUCUUAUCAAUUCUAUGGCGCACCGAAGCAGGAAGCAUGGUCGUUUGCAUUGCAUAAAUUGGCAUAGCUUGAAUCACCGAUUGCGCCAAAGUAACACGACCAGCAAAGGAUAAAUGAGCCGCGUUCCAGCCACUGAGCCUUAUGUCUACCUUGUCUAAAAUAGAUUGAUACGUAGCUUUAUUCACCCUCGAAUGAAGUAACGGCAUUCCAAGAUAGCUUCCCAGAUCAUGAGUAAUCGAAACCCCCAAGGCAGCACCAAUGAGCUUGGCCUCUCUUGCAGCAACGUUCUUCGAAAAGAAAAUUGUAGUUUUCACUUUGUUAACCUUUGCUUCAGAACUUCGACAAAAAUUCUCCAAAACCGCAUCAAUAAUAUGAGCUUGAUCAAUCGAAGCUUCUGCAAAUAAAAGCAAAUCAUCAGCAAAAAAAAGGUGGGUAAGGGGAGUGCCAUGUUUAGCCAGCCGAAUUGGCUUCCAACUUCCAUCCCCCACAGCUUGGGAUAUUCCAUGGCUCAAACGCUAUCGAUAAGUUAAUUUAAUCACGUUAGAUUGAAACUUUUCCUUAGAGUUCGCGACGGGACAUUUCAUAAACUCCUCGCAUUAUUAUCGCAUGAUGAUCGUUAUCCCUCAGAUUGUUGUUGUGACUUGUGACCCUUAAAAAAAAAAAUAAUAAUAAUAAUAUAAUGAUACAAAGUUGAUUUUCGCGUAGUGUAAAAUGAGCGUGUAUUCUAUCCUCUGCGGCUAAACAAUGCAUAUUGCUCAAAAUACUUGUUAAGCUACUUCACAGUUUAAAGUUUAAAGAAUGAAAUCAUCAGAAAAUUGCUGUCUGGUGCAAUUACUGAGAGCCAAUGCAUUUCACGUCUCCGGGAUUUGUUGUAGUCCAAAUUCUCAGCUGGUUUCCGUGCUGCUGGAUCUGUAAUUAGGACCUCUGUUUUCAUAUUUUCCUUUUCCCGCAUUAAUAUCAAGCUCUGUUUAUGCUAUGUUCAAUGCAAAUCUAUGUUUCUACUUCUAUUUUAUCUCAAGGUAAGUCUUCUUAGGUGGCAAUCUUUCCAAAUUGUAGCGUUCUAGGAGCAGUAGGCCAGAAAACGGCGAGUACGUCUGGUGUUAGUGACACUCCUUUCAAUGCUCUGGCCAGGGUAAAUAUUGUAUACCAUUAAUUUCUCUCUUUCAUUUUGUAUUCAUAAGUCUCUCAAUUUAAUUAAAAUUUAUCAACUUAAUUUUAUAAGUUACUUGUUGCUUAUUAAUUAACUAAUUAUUUAUCCACGAAAUAAAACAAAUGAUAGCAAUCAAAAUAUUUAAAUUCAAGGGUGUAGACCCAUUAUCAACACUAUAAAAAAAAACACACAGUAUCGCAGAAAUAUCCUCUGCAUGGUUGUUCCCAAGACUAAUUAUACUAAGGCAAAAAAUUUUAACGCUAAAAACUAAAAUUAUGUAACAUUGUCAGCAAUAAAUUUGAGAGAAAUAGCAUCAAGGUAAAUGAAUAUACAAAUGGAAAUUUGUUUUUGUUUAAUUAUAGAAGUAUUAAAUAAUCUUUUUUGAUAAUUUAGCUUAUCAGUGGUAUUUUAGAUAUUAAAAUGGGUUUAUGGAGUUAAUUUUAUUUUUUAAUAUAGUAAAAUUUCAAAUUUUAAAUGCCUCUUUUCUCAUAUUUAUCUCCACAUUUCAACAUCCAAUAAAACAAGAACUAAAGUUUCUAUUCUUCUAUUUUACCAUAUUUCUUUGUACUUACCUCUUUUUUUUUUCCUGUAAUAUUUGGAUUUAUCAUCGUGUUAACAAAUAACAAUUAUUUUCGUGGAUUUAAGCUAUCAUACGGUGUUGAUUUAGAUAAAAUUAAUUAGGUGAAAAUUCAUCAUUGACCCUUAUUGCUGAGAUCAAAUAAUCUCUUAUAUUUCAAGUUAAUAAAUACGAUUAAGUUCACUAUUAUUGAAUUAUAAUACUCUUUACAUCUUAAUUAUCCUCACUGAAACCAAAUUUUUUUAUUCCCUCACUAACUAAUAUAUUACACAUCAAUAAUCAACAAAAAUUAAAAUAAUAGGUGGACUCCACGCACUAUUAUCACAAUGAUUAUUGCUAUCUCUUUAGAUUGUUGUUGUGACUUGUGACCCUCAAAAAUCUAAUGAUACAAAAUUGAUUUUAUAUUUUAUUUUAUCGCAUGGUGUAAAAUGUGUGUGGAUCCUCAUUUUUCAAUAAUAGGAUGAGUGAAGCAUUUUGUAAAAGCAUCCUUUUUUAACUUUUAUGGUGAUAAACGGACAGGUGACAAUCCCCUGCUUGAUUCUUGGAUUGCCUUCUUGUCUUUUGCGCGGACUUGUCCCUUCCUGGUAGGGACAAGCCAAUUGGGGUGGGUGAGUUCUUUUGUGUUCUUAUUAAGUUAACAGGUAUUAAAAAUGGCGCUACAACAAACUAUACAGUGGAUGAUUGGCAUCUCCAUUGCAUAACAUUAUUUCGGUGUAACACCAACAUUAAAAAUAUAUAUUUUUUACAUUAAAUUAUUAUUUUAUCUCCAACUCAUUUACACCAAAUUUUACACUAAAAAAAUAUUCUUUUUUUUAUUCCUUUAAUUCUCAAGAAUUAAUUUAAUUAACACAAUAAAUAUUACUAUUAAUAUAGAUAAUUAAAUAAUAAGUAAUUUUAUAUCGAUUAACAAAAAAAAUAUAGAAAAUUUUUAAAUUUUAAAUUUGUGUUAAUUUAAUUUUUUAUUUUUUAUUUUGUAAUAUGUAAUCUAGUAAUUAAUGUUAUUGGCAUUUUAUUUUUAUUAUUAAUUUUUGUGUUGAAUAUUUUUUAUUUAAAAUAUUAGUAUAAUAUUCAAAAAUUAACAAAAUAACAAAAAUAAUAAUAAUAACUUAAAAUAUUAUAUAAAAUAGGACAUAUAUGUAAAUAAGAUAAAAUAAUAAAGAUAUUUGAGAUUUUUUUUCCUAGCACCAAAUAUGGUGUAAUGAAUAGUGUUGCACCAUAUUUGGUGCAAUAGUAUUCAUUACACCAUUUUGGUGUUGAUUUUGGUGUUACAUUAGAGAAUCAUUUUACACCAAAAAUUGUCUAAAAGGUAAUUUGGUGUUAGGUUUAGUGCUACAUUGGAGAUGUCCUAACACUUGUUACUUAGGUGCGGAUGAGGGUUGAUCUAUACGUCAUCUACAGUCAUAUCACUAAUUAAGUCAAGAUUUAAAAAUAAUAAUAAUUUAUUUAAUGUGUAGUUUAUUUUUAUUUAUGUCUGGCUAAAAUUAAAAUCAUAAUUUUUUAAGAUCACAUAGAUGUUAUUCUUAAAGAGAUUAUCAUUUUUUCUCUUAUUGAAAUUGAUAUGUAUCGCUUACCUUUUAUUGUUUUCGUAAUCUCUAAUAACUUUCUUGGCACUAUAAUUUUAUAAUAUUAUCUUUAUUUAUAACUAUAUUUUUAUUCAUAUUUAUUAUAAAUUAAAUAAAUUGAUAUUAAAAUAAAAAAUUUAAAUACUAAAAAUAAGAAAUAUAAGUUUCAUGUGAAUAAAAAAUUAAUAAUAAGAUUUUUUUUUGUUAUUUUUGCUGGGUGAGAUAGAUAUUUGCUUAGUGAGAUAGAUAUUUCCGUAUUCGUAAUUUUGUUAUGCCAAAUUUAAUCAAAGAUACGAGCUAUUUAAUAACCCUACCACAGUCAUUGAAUGCAAAUACGAUCUAUCCAAAAACAAGUCGACACUGGUCAAUUAAUAAGCAAGUCAAUGAUUAAUCUGACAAUACGAUUAGCACGAUUGAAAAAUUGUCCAUACCCACUAUCUCGUGUAAUCAUGCCAACCUCUAAAUUGGAAAACCUUAUCCAUUUAAAUUUCGCCAAACGUUGAGGACGUAAAUGUUAAUAAUGUCCCUCGGUUGAAUGAAACUACGGCGACCCAAUUGUCGAAGUUAAGAGUUGAACGUCAACACAAAGACCCAUUGAAGGCAGCCUGGCGUGAAAUUAUUGGAUGGGCUAUACAAUUCACGUCAUUGUUAGAGCGAACGCAUAUUAUACGACACGCUCCAACAGAAAGCGAGAAUUUUGACGUGGAUCAGAUUUUUUUUUCUUUAUUCGGGAGCAAAAUUGUUGACUGAAAAAAAUCCCUCAUAAUAUCAUAUAUAUUGUUGACUGAGAAGGGAAAAACGCCAACAAAUCUGCUUGAAAUUAUUGCCCAAGGAUAAUUGAAAAAGAUAAGAUGCAACUAUCAUCGUGAAAAUUCCCAGAAAGUAAGGUAAGUAGCUAAUUAAGAAACUAUAUAAAAACUCUGCCGUCUGAUUCAAUUAUUAUCACAUCUCAAAUUUUCAGAUCAAAAUCUCUCACCAGUUGAAUUGUUUCUGUUAUGGCUUCUUCUUCUUCUCCUCGAAACAAUAAUGAGCAUGAUGUUUUUCUUAGUUUCAGAGGAGAGGACACCCGUGACAACUUUACCAGCCAUCUCUAUUCAGCCUUGUGCCAAAAAAGUAUUGCAACUUUCAUUGACAAUGAUCUUAAGAGAGGAGAUGAAAUUUCACAGUCUCUUCUUGAUACAAUUGAAGCAUCAAGCAUCUCAAUUGUCAUUUUCUCAAAAAGGCAUGCUUCUUCAGGAUGGUGUCUCGAUGAACUUUUAAAGAUCCUCGAAUGCAAGCACAAUUAUGGACAGAUUGUGAUACCAGUUUUCUAUCGGGUUGAUCCAUCACAUGUGAGGAAGCGAAUUGGGAGUUUUGGGGACUCAAUUUCGAAGCUUGAAGAAAGAUUUCCAGACAAGAUGCAAAGAUGGAGGAGUGCUUUGACCGAAGUAGCCAAUCUCUCUGGCUUUAAUUCUCACGUCAUUAGGUAACAAUUAUUAUUUGGCAACUUAUUGUGCUUUUUACUAUUUUACAGUUAUGAAUAUGGGACAAAAAAAUCCUCUCGUUGCGUUUUUUCUCCCUAAGGUUGCUUUUGUUGUUUUUUUUCUUAAAUUUGAAGAUAUGAAUUUAGCUAAAGUAAGAAUAUGUCUGAAUGAAAUAUUUAUUUAUUUUUUUUAGCAUAUGAACAAAAAGAAUUUAAAAAUUAGUAGUUUAAUAUAAAUAUCUUUUUAAGUGGUGUAUUUAUUAUUUUUUACAAUAUAAAAUCUUAACAUGUUGAUUAGUUUAAUGGCAUUAAAAGAAAUGAUACUAUCGGUCUUUCUUAAUUUAAUUUUGUAAUAAAAGACAUAAUUAUAACAUCAAUUUUUAUUAUAAAGUCAAUGUUGUUAUUUUAAUUUUGAUUCAUCACAAUGACAUAAACGGAUCCAUUCAUUAUUUUAAUUUAGUUAAUGUUACUAUGUGAACAAAAAUUUAAAUCAAUUAAAAAAUAACUUCAACGAUAAUAUAAAAAUAUUAGGUUUGUACAUAAUAUAGGAAAUAUAUGAACUAUUAAAGAUAUUUUUUAGAUUUCAAAUUAAAAAUUUUCAUUUAGAUUUCACAGAUCAAAGUAGAUUUCUUCUACUUUUUCUAUUCAAAUAAAAUUUUGUAACAAUAAAUGAUGAGUUAAGAAAACAAAUAGUCCAAAACAAGUAAAUGAAAUUCAGACCCAAAAGAAUACAAGACUUUUUUUUUGUGAAAUAAAUGUUAUGAUUGGAUUUUAAAUUUUGAUAUUGACAAUCAAGUUAUUUUUUUUCAAUUCAUUUAUAGCUAAGUCAGCUUUUUUCACUAGAUUUAAAAUACUGCAAGAUUGUGUGAGAAAAAUACUAGGAGAUCACCUUAAUCUAUGAAAUAUUAGUCAAAUGAGUGUGUGUUUUACUAUAUCAAAGUAAAAUAGGAAAAAACACAAAAGUAACAGUUUUUAAUCUGUAGGAGAUUUUUUAUGAUUUUUAAAAGACGUAGGCGAAUGCUUAAUUUAUUGAAAAAAUGGGGAGUUGGGGAGUGGCGAUCGCCCCCCCCCCCCCCCCCCCCCCCCCUUUCUGUAUAACCACACACUUCGUAAUUACUGUGUUACCCUUAGUGAAAUAAUUAAUAUCACUGUGUUACCCUUAGUGAAAUAAUUAAUAUAAACAAAUAAAUAAAAAUUUAAAUUAUUAUUUUAUUUAUUAAAUUAAGAUAAAUUUUUUGAUACACAUAAUAUUUAAUUGAUCAAGGAAUGGGACUUUAUUUAAUGUGAAGAAUUUAAGCAGAAAACUAAAGUAAGCUGAAAUUAACGAUUUUUAAACUAUAGGAGAUCUUUUCUGAUUUUAAAAAUGCCUUGGGGAAAUGCUUAAAUUAUUUCGGCAACGGGAGGUUUUGAUCAUUUCCUUGUUAAAGUAACUAACCUCUAUCUUUUAAUUUAGAUAUCACAACUUCAAAAAAAAUAUAUCUUUUUGUUUGGUUUCAAAUUACUUGAACUUAGUUCUUGUUAUAUUUUGGUAGGCCUGAAUCUAAACUUAUAGAGGAAAUUGUUAGUGAAGUUUUGGAGAGGCUAGAUGAUACUUUUGAAACUGAAAACAAGUUGGUUGGAGUUGACUCUCGCAUUGAAGAAAUUUUAUCUUUAUUAGGUGUUGGGUUGACCAUGGAUACUUGCAAAUUAGGGAUCUGGGGCAUUGGCGGCGUAGGAAAGACAGCAAUCGCAGGUGCUUUUUUUAGUAAAAUCUCUAGACGUUUUGAAGGUUCUUACUUUGCUCAUAAUGUUAGAGAAGCAGAAGAAACAGGCAAAUUAGCUGACUUGCGAAAGGAACUUCUUUCCACAUUAUUGAGCGAUGGAAAUAUGAACAAAUUUCCAAAUAUCGGCCUUAAUUUUCAAAGCAAAAGGCUUACUCGCAAGAAGGUUCUAAUUGUUUUUGAUGAUGUGAAUCAUCCAAGACAAAUAGAAUUCUUAAUUGGGAACCUUGAUUGGUUUGCUUCUGGGAGUCGAAUACUAAUAACAGCAAGAGACAAACAAGCGCUUAUAAAUUGUGGGGUCAAUAAAAUAUACCAGAUAAAGGAAUUAGUACAUGUCGAUGCUCUUAAGCUUUUCAAUCAAUGUGCUUUUGGAAGAGACCAUCCCGAUGCAAGUUAUAUCGAGUUGACACACGAGGCAAUAAAAUAUGCUCAGGGAGUUCCAAUAGCGCUUAAAAUUUUAGGUCGCUUUCUAUUUGGAAAGAGAAAAGAGGUGUGGGAAAAUGCAAUUAGUAAACUGGAAAUGGUUCCUCAGAUGGAGAUUCAAGAGGUCUUAAAAAUAAGUUAUGAUGGUUUAGAUGACAAAGAGAAGAAUAUCUUUUUGGAUAUUGCAUGUUUCUUGGUCGGAGAGGACAGAGAUAUAGUAACAAAAUAUCUAAAUGCAUGUGAAUUCUUUGCAACAUCAGGCAUAGAAGUUCUUGUUGAUAAGUCUCUUAUUACUAUUUCAGAAUACAACAAAAUAAGAAUGCAUGAUCUCAUGCGAAAUAUGGGCAGAGAAAUUGUUCGGCAAGAAUCCAUCAACGAUCCUAGUAAACGCAGUCGAUUGUGGCAUCACAAAGAGAUUUAUGAAGUUUUAACAGAGAACAUGGUGAGUAAUUAUGAUUUUGCAUCCUAUUUUAUUUAAUAUUUGAUUAGGAUUUAUAUUUUCUUUUAAGUUUUCUUUUUUAAUAUGACAAUACAACUAAUAAGAUAUUCGGAAUAAUAAUAAGGUUCAAAAUUAGAGGAAUGAAUAUAAAAAAAUCCGUAAAAAUGUUUUAAUUAACUAAAUCCAUCGCCAUACAGAUCUUUUUUUUUUUUUCAAUUUCAAAAUGAAUGUAUAUCAUUUUGUUGAUUUCAUGGACAUUAAAUAUGUUUCCUUGUUGGGCUAAGAUAAACUCAGAGAGCGUUAUACUUGGCUCCAACGUUUAAAAUUGACUAAGGGUGAGUUUGGAAUUGAGGUUGGGCAACUGUAGCUUCCAAGGUACAGCACUAAAGUGUUUGGUAAAUACCAACUGUUGUAACUUGAAAGCUAUGUUAAUAUAAUUUUUCACUUGUAUUAUGGAAAAUCUUUUAUAUCUUUAAUAAUUUUAUCAAAAUUAUUAUUUAAAAUUUAUAUUUACUACAUAUUACUAACUUUUGUUCCAUAGUUAUAGUUUUUUUUUCCACAGCAGUUGCAGUUUAAAAGUUACAACACCUCAAUCACAAACGCACCCUAAAAAUUCAUUUCUUAAUCUUUGUCGGUCCUCUUCAUCUCUCUUUCAUUGUCUUUUCCUCUUUCCCUACUCCAACUUUUUUUUUAAAAAAAAAAGAAAGCUUUUUAUUAAAUUAGCUCUAGAAUUUUCUAAAACACAUAAAUUAAGUUCUUUCAAAUUUGAAUUUUGAUUCAUUCAAGUUCUUGAUUAAAUUUUGACCAUUUUUAAGUUGAUGAAAAAUGAAAACAUUAACAUGAACAUAAGAAGACAAUUGCGCCUAUGUAUUUCGCAUCAAUGGUUUAAAGUCCACUUUAUCAUUGUUAUUAUUUCUUUUUAUUUAGUAUGCUAAAAAUUGGAAACAAAACUUGGAGCUUUUCACAUUAUUCAUCACAUUUGAUCUCCCCCACAAUACUUAAUCAUUUCAACACUUUCAAUAGUCCCUUCAUUUCUUUUUCUUUUUUUUUUGGCACUCUUACCAUAACAUUUUUUUACAUUAUUAUAUAAUCUUUUCAUUUUCUAGAUCUUUUAAAUACUGUUAAAAAAUUAAAAUUUUCAAAAAUUAAAUUUCAAUGAUCGGGUUAUAAUUGCAUGGGACCAAGAUCUGGUGCGGAGCUGAGUUUGUGCUUAUUAUCGGAUCAAUAGUCUGAAGUUAUCCAACAUGGGUCCCACAUGGGACUCAGGCCUAUCAUGAUUGUUAAUAAGAUGAUCAGCACAAACCGAUCUCAACAGCAAAUCCAUUUACAAUAAAUAAUAAAAUUUUACGAGAAUGUUAAGUUAAUAAUGGAUUUUACAUAUCAAAAUUUUUCUUUUCCAUAUUUGAUAAAAACAAGUAACUUCACAGUUCAAAAAUAAAUUAAUUAUAAUAUUAAUAUUUGAAAGAGGAAAUUAACUUUACUUGUUAGAAAUUUUUAGGAUGAUUUUAAAAGUUUGUGGCAUUAUAUUACAAAUUCUAGAAACUUUAAAAGAAAAUAUAUAGGAGUUAAAUUUCACUCCUAUUCGUUCAUGAACACAUAUGUUCAAUUUAUACAAGUGUUUAAAAUAAAGAUGACAAAGGACCAGUCUGGGAAUGCUAUAAUUUUUAAAAUAAUUGUUGUUAGCUGUGCUGUAGAAAUAAUCAGCUGUGAAGAGAAUCAGUCAAGUGUUUAGUAAAUUUUAUUUUCAGAAGUACUGUGAGUUUUGAAAACAGUUAUAAACGUUUGGUAAAUUUUACUGUUAAACUGCUGAGAGAAAAUAAAUGACUAAAAUGUGCAUAAUAUAAGAUAAAAAUAAGUGACUAAAAUGUGCAUAAUAUAAGAUAAAAUUUACUCAUACAUAUAAAAAUAUGUACAUAUAAUUUUUUAAUUGUGUAUUAUAAUAAUUUUUACUUAAAAUAAAAUUUAUAAUAUAUUGAUUUUACUUUUUUAUUUUUUUAUCUUAAAACAAUUGAUAAUUAAAUUAAUAAUAUAGUGAAACAAAUUUAAUAAUAAUUCGACCAACAAAUUGAUAUUACUAAAUUGACAUUGAUGAAUUAUAAUAAAAAUUUGUUAAAAUAUUUAUUUUGUUUCCAAUUUGAAUAAGGAUAAUUUUGGGUUUAGGUAAUAAUUUUAAGAAUAUUUAUGAAAUUGUAUUAAAGGGUAAAAUUGAUUUUUAAAAUUAGAAUCUAAAAAUUACUUCUUCCCUGCAUUUCAAAAUCAGCUGUAGGAAGUGCUGAUUUUAAUCAAAGUGAUUUUGAUUUUUUUUUUUUUACCAAACGCUAAAAUUAGCAUUUAGAUUUUUAAAAUUACUCUUAGGUCUCCUAAAAGCAAUUCCAAAUAAGCCCAAAAUCUUCUCUGGGUUUGAAACUCCAUAAGACCCUACUCCAAAUGAGGUCAAUUUUGAUGAAUUAUUGGGAAAUGGGUGAAAAAUAAUUUCCAAGUUCUUAAUAUGGUGGAGCUUGGUUUUAUACAAUUCCCAUAUAUAUAAAUAUGUGUAUAUUUUAGUCUUUAUUUAUUUAAAUAUAUUACAUUUUUAUGUGGUUCAAGAUAUUAUUCAUAUAUAUCGGAGAUAUUUUGUUAUUUUAAUAAUUUAAUUACUUUACAAUAUGUUAAUAAUGAUUUUAUUUGAGUGAUUUUUAUUUUAUUUUACUAAAUUUAUAGGGGAAAGGCCAACCACACCCCCAAUCUUUGCUUAAAUGGUCACACGGGCCCUCUUUUAACUAUUACACCCUUGAUUACAACAGCCCAAUAAUUGACUUUAGAUAAUCUUAUAUAAAAGAUAUAAAUUAAAAUUAAAAAUAAGAUAAAAUUUAUAAAAUAUUUAAAAUAUUAGAAAAGUUAUUUUAACAUUAUUAAUUUGCCAUAUUCUUUUGAUAAUAAUAAAAUUUGUUUGACAUAGUAAUAAUAUUAAAAUAAUUAUACCUAAAAUUCAUAGUAAUUUAUAAAAUUUUAUAUUAUUUAUUUACAAUAUCUUUUUUAAUUAUGUUAUAUUAGUUUAAAUCUUAAAGUCAAUUUUUAGAUUAAUAGAUUUUAAUAUUGAUAAAACCCAUUGAUAUAGACUAAUAAUAAGUUAAUAUUGAAAAUAAUUUUCUUUAUAUACAUUAUUUUUAAUUAUACUUAUUGUAACAUUUUAUUUGUAUCAUAUGAUAUUUAUUUAUUUUUUUUUAUCUUAUUACUAUAUGUAUAUUCAGUUGGAUUGUUAUAAUCAAUGAGUAUAAUAGUUAGUUUUGAAAUUAAGGAGUCCAUGUAACCAUUUAAGUAAAUUUUGAGGGUGUAGGUUACUUUUUUUCAAAUUUAUAUAUAAAAAUCUAUUAUAAAAUAAGUUAAAUAGAGAACAUGUGGAAAUAAGAAACCGAUCCUUACAUGAGGAUUUUCCAUCCUCGUCCCACUAAAAUUUAUUGAGGAAUAUGAUGGGAAAUGGGGGCCUAAUUUGGAAUGAGAUCGGUGUACCCCAUUGUCAUCCCUAGUUUAAAACAAAGAAAAGGAAAUUAAUGAUAGAAUUUUUUUUAUGAAAAAAUUGAUGAUAUGGUUAACAUAGUUAUUGUGUCAAUCAAUCUUUAUAUUAAUUGAUAAGCAAUCAUUUUCUAAUCAAUACUUAAGAUAAAGACAAUCAAUCAUUUGAGUUAUUGUUUUGUUUCCAUCAUUGUUGAUUAUUAUCAAAUGCCAUGUCAUUUUAAAAAAAAGUAAAGAGUAAUGUAACUACAAAUUAGGGGACACAGAAGUCUUAUCCCGAAAAAAUCAAAUAACAAAUUGAAAAAAAUAGGUGAAAACCUACAGCAAACAAUGAAAUAUUAUAAUAAGAACAACCAUCACACUAGGAAAAUUGAUAUGGUUGGAAACUAUUUGCAAUCUCAGGAUAAUAAUCUAAGAACCUCAGUAGCUAGGAGGUUAAUCAGCUACAUAAUUAGUAAGAGUAAGACGAUGCUUGAAACAGAAUAAUAAUAACACACACACAUAUGUAUAUAUGAUUACAUCUGCAGCAUAUUUUAUAUCGCUUAUCUAAUUGUCAAAAGUGAUUAUCUAAUCCCACAAGGUCCUUCUAAAAUUUUUUGUAUUGUUUGGUUGUAUUUUUUAGUAGAGCUUUUGGGGAUUAAAUAAACUAUUUUGUCUCUAUUAGUAAAAACUAAAAUUUUGAACUUUUGAGAGUAAAUGUUGGAAAGUUUUUUAAAAAUAUUAAAUUAUUUAAAAUAUUUUCUACUUAUUUCAUAAUUUUAUUUCAUUUGUUUCAAAACAUAACUUUAAGAAACUUGUGUAUUAAAAUAAUUUUAUAAUUUUUAAUAAAAACUCUCAUUAACAAUGAAACAAUUAAAUUAAUUUUUUGAGGAAAAUCUCAACUUAUAAAAAUUUCUACUAAUAAAAGUUCUACUUGAAUAAGCUUUAUUUAAAAAAUUAUAUAAAUGAAGCUUCAUAGUUUGUAUGUUUAGUUUAUUAUUUGUAUGGCUAAAACGAGUUUGACAGCCUAAUGUAACUAGCUAGCAACGUCAAUCAUAUAAAUUUAGUUUUAACUUAAUGGUUUUUAUUCAUUAAUUAUUAGGGGACCGAAGAAAUUGAGGGCAUAUGCUUAGAUAUGUCUAAAGUGGAAGAGAUCCAUCUAUAUUCAGAUGCUUUCACGAAGAUGCGAAAAUUGAGAUUUUUGAAAUUUUAUAACUCAUCCAUCAAUGGAGAAAACAAAUGUAAGGUGUCAAAUAUCCAAGACCCCGUAUUUCCUGAAAUUAGGUAUCUGUUUUGGCACGGAUAUCCGUUGAAAUCAUUACCAUCAAUCACUCAUCCUGCUAAACUUGUUUUACUUGAAGUGCCCCAUAGCAAUAUUCAACAACUCGGGGAUGGUGGCCAGGUAUACAUUUAUAUAUAAAUCUUAAAAUUUAUUCAAUGUCUUUAUAAUAUUAACGUUUAAUUAUCUAAUGAUUUGUCAUCAUGCACGGCCUCUUUUUUUUUUUUUUUCCCCGUCCGAACAGCAUCAUUGUAAGUUAAGCCAGAUAAUCACCGCUGCCCGUAAUUUUGUUACCAAAACUCCUAACCCAUCGUUUAUUCGAAGUCUGAACAAGCUAACUAUCUUGAAUCUAAGCGGCUGCUCACAACUGAAGAGACUUCCUGCAGAGAUCUUAUCUGCUGGUAAUAUGGAAGAGAUGAUUUUGAAUGGAACUGCAAUUGAAGAACUGCCCUCAUCCAUUGAGUGUCUCAGUCGGCUUUUGCACUUGGGCCUUCGAGAUUGUAAAAGGCUUAAGAGUCUCCCCAAAGGCCUGUGUAAGUUGAAAUCUCUAAAAUUUCUUAUUCUGAAUGGUUGCGGCAUCACGCAGUUACCUGAAAAUCUUGGCCAGUUAUUCUCGCUAGAAGAAUUCUGUCUAAGGAAAACCAAGUUUGAGAAAAUACCAACAAACGUCAUACAUCUUUCUAGGUUGCAUUCUUUCUGCUUAAGUUAUUGUGAGAGGCUUCAAUCUUUACCAAAGCUUCCAUGCAAUCUAAAGGAAUUGGAUGCAGAUCAUUGCGCGGCUCUGGAAUCAUUAUCAGACUUAUUCUCAAUAAGUUAUGAUUAUUAUAUCCGGUGUUUUGAGCUGAGCACUAAUUAUAAAUUGGACCGGAAUGAGCUCAGAAGUAUUCUUGAAGAUGCUCUGCAAAAAAUUCAGGAUAUGGCAUGUACAACACGUUGGAAACAAUUAUACGAAAAUUUGGAAAAGGUGUGUCUUUAAUUAAUUCUCUUAUCAUCAUUUAAUAUUAUAACUUUUUUUUUCUUUUAAGGGAAACUAUGAUCCGCAAACCACGCCGAGAAUAUUGAAAGAGCAAACAGUCGCCACUAAUUUCUGAAAAUAUUUUUACUCUAUCCUAAGUUUUAGUUUAUAUCAAUCAGUAACUUUAACUCUCUUCGUCACUGUUAAAUAAUCUAAGUUAAAAAACUAUUUUGUCUCUAAAACAAAAAGGUAUAAUCAUAGACGAUUUACCUUAUUAACUAAAACUAGAGGUAAAUUAAUUUUAUGUAGAUUCUUUAACAGUAACUAAUAGAAUUAACCAAAAAGUAGUUAACACUUGAGAUGGUAUAAAGAUAUUACGAGAAACUCGUGGUGGUUAUUUGUACUUUCAAUAUCCUUGAGACGACUGGGGAUAAUUUCCCUUCUUUUUUUUUUUUUUGGUGAGAAUAAUUUCCCUUCUUUUAAGUUUUCAGUUAGCAAAAUUUUUUUUUCUUUAAAAUAAUGAUUUUCGUGGAACGUACAGAUAUCUUACCCAGAACGUAGAGGUUACGUCUAUGUACCAGGUAAUGAAAUUCCAAAGUGGUUUAGGUUUCAAAGUGUUGGAUCUUUGAUAACCUUGAAGGUGCCGUCGCCACCUGCAGAUAAUUGGUUCAGUAAUGGUAAAGUAAUCGGCUUUGCUUUUAGCGCUAUUGUGUCAUUUCCAGACCAUCAUGACGUGAAAAAAUUAGGGCUAUGUGAAUUGGUCUGUGAAAUCAAAGUUAAAUCGGAAGAUUGCAAUCCGCAGGUCAUACUGAGAUAUGUAGUGGUAGUUAGAAAUUUAGAGUCAGAUCACUUACUUAUGGGGUACUAUUUCUUUGACGAUCAUGAUUUUAAUGCUUUUCGGGAAAAUACUUGCGUUCUUGAGGCAGUCCAAUUCUAUUACAAGAUGUACGAUGAUGCUUCUGAAUGUCUGGAAUGUUACCCGGUGAAAAAAUGUGGGAUUCAUUUAUUCUCCGCCCCAGAUUCAACGGAAGACCCAAGCGAAAUUUUCAAGUGCGAAAAAGAAGAGGAACCACAGCACCCCAGCAAAAGACUGAAAUACUCUUGAAGCUAGCCAUCAUCCAUCCCAUGCAUGCGGAUGCUAUGUACUUUUCUGUAAAUUAAUUAAUCUUCCUAUAUACAUAUAUGCACACACACAUAUAUUGAACCUUGAUUUGCUAGCUUAGUUCCUUUUCUUUGUAUGGGUUUUCAAUUCUUUUCUCAAGUUCUAAGGUCGAUCUCGUAAUGAAAGAGCAAGCAAAAACCUGUGGAUCAUUCUAUGUUCCCGUUAUUCUUUUACGACAUUAAUAAUGUAACAAAUGUAAAUACUUGGAUUUUAAUCAAUGGUGUAAAAUAUUUGUAUGAAUAAAAAGAUAAAUUUUUAAAAGUGUAAAAUAUUUGUAUGAAUAAAAAGAUAAAUUUUUAAAAAUACUGUAAUUAGUUAACAAAUCGGUUAGAAGAUUAUUUACAAAUUAAAGUAGAAUAAAUAAAAGGGGUGGUGAUAUUUCCACCCCAUAAAUUUUGUAAAUCCACCCCACUUUGAGAAAAUAAUUAUAUAAAGCUCAUAUUAUUUUUAAAAAAUUUAAAUAAAGAAGAAUUCUGAAGAAUUAAUCAAUUAAAUCUAUUCUAAUUUAGUUUUUUUGUAAUAUCUUAAUUUAUUUUUUUGUGACUUAAAUUUUUUUUAUUAUAUUUAACUACUAAGAUUGUUUUAGCCUAAAAUAGCUAUUUUUCCUUUAAAGGUAAAAAUACCAAAAACUGACUUUAAUUUCAAUAAUUUUUUUUAUUUUAUACAAAAUUGAUUGUUUUUAAUAAUCAAUUCUACUUGCCUAGUAUGAUUAUUAACCUUUAAUUAAAUAACAUAAUCUCUUUAUGAGACAAUACCCAUGUAAAUUAUUAGACUGUCAAAUUUAUGUUAUUUACAUGUAAAAUAUUAAAAAUUAUUAGAAUCCGUUUAAAAAAUUAGAUUAUAAGUUACAAAAGUAUUGGAUAUAAGAACACAUAUUUUUUGGGGCAAUUGGUUCAUUUUAUGUCACAAAGGUAAAAUAAUUAAAUAAAACUUAUAUUAAAGCAAACUUAAUGGUAAACAAAUGUUGAAAAAACUUAAGUAAGAAAAAAAAUAUAAGAAUGACUUAAUUGAUGAAUCAUACAAAUAUUUUUGUUGAGAAAUAUUUAUAUUUAUUAGAAAUAAUGUGAAUUUAUUGUAAAUAUAUUUUGAAAGUGGUUUGGGUUUAUAGAAAUAAUGUGGUGGAAAUAUCCCACCCUAAAAAAAGAGUGAUAAUGAAUCACGACUUCUCUCUCUCACAUUGAAUUCAUAAGUCUCUUUAUUUAAUUCAAAUUCAUCAACUUAAUUUUAAAGGUUACUUAUUGAUUAUUAAUUAACUAAUUAGAUAUCCACCAAAAUAAAGUCAAUGAUAGCGAUUAAAAAUUUAAAUCGAAGGGUUUAGACCCAUUAUCAACACUAUAAAAAAUGAUACAGCAUCAUUAAGAAAAUUCUCUAUAUGGUUGUCCCCAAGCCUAAAUAUACUAAGGAAAAAAAAAAUGUAAUGCCAAAAGCUAAAAUUUUGUGACAUCGUCAGCAAUAAAUUUGCAAGAAACAGCAUCAAGAUAAAUGAAUAUACAAAUGGAAAAUUAUUUUCUUUAAUUAUACAAGUAUUAAAUAUUUUUUAUAUAAUUUAACUUAUCAAGGGUAUUUUAAGUAUUAAAAUGGGUUUAUGGAGUUAAUUUUAUUUUUUUAGUAUAGUAAAACUUUAAAUUUUGAAUGCCCCUUUUCUCAUAUUUAUCUCAACAUUUCAACAUGCAAAAACAAGAACUGAGUUUCUAUUCUUCUAUUUUACUAUAUUUCUUUGUCCUUACCUCUUUUGUUUUUUUUUUGGUGGAAUAUUUGUAUUUACCAUCUUCUUAACAAAUAACAACUAUGUUCAUGCAUUUAAGUUAUCAUACGGUCUUAAUUUUCCUCACCGAAAGCCAAAAUUUUUAUUCUCUCACUAACUAAUACAUUACACAUCAAUAAUCAACAAAAUAAUAAUAAUAAUGCGUGGACUCCACGCAUUUAGUAUCACAAUGAUGAUUGCUAUCCCUUAGAUUGCUGUUGUCACUUGUUGCUUGGGACCCUUAAAAAAAUAAAAAGAGAGCAAAAAAAAUCUAAUGAUACAAAUUUGAUUUUGUUUUUUUCGCAUAGUGCAAAAUGAGUGCGGGUCCUCAUUUUUCAUUUAUAGGAUGCGUGAAGCAUUUUGUAAAAGCAUGGCUGGGUUUUUUUUUUUUUUUAAUGGUGAUAAAUGGACAUGUGACACAAUCCCCAGCUUGAUCCUUUCGAUUGCGUUCUUGUCUUUUGCGCGGGACCUACACAGACUACUAAUUUCAUAAGAUGACAAAAAGCCCCUUUCGUGGUAGUGACAAGCCAAUUGUGGGGGGUGAGCUUUCUUUGGCUCUUGUUAAGUAAAAUUGUAUUAAAUUGGGGUUUUAUAAAUCUAAAAUAUUAAAUCUCUUGUCACAAAUUUCUUAUUUUUGUUUACUUGUACCUCUUUGUUGUUAAUUUGUUUUUUUUUUUCUGAAAUGCUAACCUUCUAAAUUUAGCGUAGUUCCUUAUCCAAAAAAGAAAAAAAGAAGAAGAAAAUCAUAGUUCAUUCUUUAUAGCAAAUUUAAUUAUACACACUCUGAUGAUGUCUAAAUACAAUGCAAUAUAAAUUCCACACCCACAAAGUCUAAUCAUUAAGUUCAUAAGGAUUGAUUGAUAGUAUUAUCUGGAAUCAUUUUAUAAUUCAGACAAGAAUAUUUUCAUCCCAUGAUUGUUGUAAAUUCAUUUUGUUUUUAAAAAAUAAUUAUAAUAAGUUCACGUUGUUUUUAAAAUAUAAAAAUUAACAAAAAAAAUUGAUAAUUAAUCAAUCAAAUCUUUCUUAUAAGCUUUUUACUUAGAUAUUUUUUACUAUUAAAGUUGCUUUAAGAUCAAUUUUAUUUGACUAUUUUAUCCUAAUAAUAUAAAAUAAUCAAAUUACCCCCAUAACGUAAGCUCUUGUAUCUAAUCGUUUAAGUAUUGAGUUUUAUUUGAUUAAAUUUCUAAACUUCUUUGUUAUUUAUUUUUUAUAAAAGGUAAUGUGAACUUAUUAUAAUUAUUUUUGUGAGGCGGGUGAGUUUAGAAAAAUGGUGGGAUGGAAUAUCACCAUCCUUAUAAUUCAACAUUUCUUAUCUAUUAACAAAUUAUUACAUAAUUAUGUUACUUAUAUAAGGCUUCGUUUAGAAUUUUUGUAUACCAACAGUGGCUUUUAAAUUACCAUUCUUAAAUAUUAAUAAACAUUUUGUAAUUGUGAUUUGGAUUUGCAAGUUAAGAUUAUUUUAUGCAACAAUUAUUUGGUAAAAAACUUAUACUAUAUUUAUUAUUUUUUCUCAAAAUAAUUAUUUAAUGAUCAUACUUUCAAAUAUUAUCAAUUUUUAUUUAACAUUAGAGCUUUUAUUUAUUUUUAAUAACUACAGUUUAAAAGGCAUGACACCACGAAUUCCAAAAAAAAGCCUAUGGGUAAUUUGAUCGGUUCAUUAGGGUUCUUGGAAAGGGGCCUAUUUAUUACAAAUAAAAAAUAAAUAUACUUUUUAGAGAAUAAGUAAACAAAUAGGGAUCCAAAAGUAAUUAUUGUACUUGUUAACACACGUGACCUGUGACGAGCCGAACUGAAACAUUUCCUGGACUACGUGUCAUCCUACUAUUGGUGAUACUCAAAGAUACUCUUAGACUGACAGACAUCGGAUGCCUCCCUCCUCCGUUUAAUUUCAAUUCAUCAUCUGUGCAGUACAGCAAGUGACUCACUUUCAUUCUCGUCAGUUCCAGCAACCAAAGACGCCAAAUUAUUAGUUCAUUGAUAAAGAAAGAGAACGGGGGGGAAAAGAGAGAGAGAGAGAGAGAGAAACAAAUCAAUGGCGUUCUCUUCGAGUGUCUCCUCCUCGCGUAUGAUUCACUCUCCAGCCGCAUUGGCUUACCAAUCAAAGCUCAACAACAACCAAAACAAUAAGAAGAUCUUUCAUUGCCGCUCUUUCUCUCCUCUUCCUUUCAUUUCCAGGUGCUUUUUGUUUUGUUCAUUUGCUCCGCACUGCUUGGAAACGAUGCGUUUUGAUAAUCAACUUUUGCUUUACGAUUGUUGUCUAGUUAUAAUUGAUGUGAGCAUGUCACAAAAAACGAUGCGUUUUGGUGCUUUGUGAUAGUUCUUUGAAUUGAUUCGAGGUCUUGGAGUUGGUUUUGAAAUGACGAUCCAACGGUGUGUGUUUGUGUAUGUAAAUGUGACUUGUCUAGUCCUCUUUCUUAUGCUUCAUUUAAAAUGAAAAAAAAAUUGGAAAUUUGAGAUUCUGUUAUUUUGCCAUUUGUUGUGUGUUUGAAAGUGCUUCCGGUAAAGUGCUUUUGUGUCUUUCUUGCUAUUUUCAGUUGAAAUGGAUAAAACUGCCUUCAGGAAUCAAAACAGAAGCACUUUUAUGUUUAAUUUUUUUGAGAAGUGCUUUACAAGUUGCAAAGGAAUUUGAUGUGCUUUCACAGCAAGCACUUUUGUUUGCUAGUGCCUUUUCUAGACUGUUUUUAUUUUUAUGUUUACAUUUCGAUUGGUUUCCUAAGGCAAUUGGCAGCUGAGCUCCUUCUAUGUAAGGCUUUAAAAGCUGCAACCUGGAGUUCGUGUAUGAUAUAGCUUUCUUAACAUUUCUUGAUGAUUUUAAGUUCAAUACUUUCUUUUACUUAAUAUUAGUGUUUCAUGGUUCAGAUUGAGUUAUGUCUCUCGGAGGCGAAAAGGGGAGUCAUUGAAUAAGCACAUAAUGGCUUCAGUUACAGGUCCAUUAGCUGCUUUAUCUAUUUUCGAAAUCUAUUAAAAUUGUUACCAUCUUCUAAUUGACAAAUGUUUGUUCAGUUGAUUCCAUCUUAAUUUUUUUUUCUUAUAUGUUUACAGAUAUUUCAGUGGACAAAUUAACCGAAGAAGCUCAGAUUCCCAAAGGACAAAUGUGGUCAGUUCAUAAGUUUGGUGGCACAUGUGUUGGAACCUCCCAAAGAAUAAAAAAUGUUGGUGAGAUAAUAGUUAAUGAUGAUACAGAAAGGAAGUUGAUAGUUGUGUCAGCCAUGUCAAAAGUGACAGAUAUGAUGUAUGACCUCAUCUACAAGGCUCAGUUGCGAAAUGAUUCCUACUUAUCUGCCCUGGAUGCUGUUUUUGAAAAGCAUCAAUUAACAGCACAUGAUCUACUUGAUGGAGACGAACUUGCUGGGUUUUUGUCUCGGUUGCACCAUGACAUAAGCAACCUCAAAGCAAUGCUCCGUGCUAUAUACAUCGGUAACAGAGUGCUCGCAUGAUGCAUAUUCAUGGGACUUUUUGGUGGAGAAAAUUCUGUUUCCAUUUGUGUGGAUCUAUCUUUACAAUGAGUGAUAAAAAUACUGCUUGCUUGCAAUUUAUCAUGAGUUUGUACCUUCAUCUAAGUCCCUCUUUACAAAUUUAGUUUCUUACUUGUUAAUCUUUUUCUUUACAAAACAAUUGCAUAUAGCUUUAACAGUUUGAUAUUUAAGUUUCUAUUCUGAGCUAUACAAGUCAUGCAUUCAUGUUCCAAGUUUUGUAUAUCAUUCAUAUCAGUUGAAUAUCUACUUGGAUGUUGGUUACAAGUUAUCCUUUAUAUCCGAUUUGCUCUACUUUUAGGUGAGGAAUUAUGUUUUUAUCUCUGAGUUGUUAUAUGAGUUCAUAAGGUCUACAUAUAAUUUCUUGUCAAAUGUGGACUGUGUUUACUAAUUGUUUAUUCGUAUAUAUUUGAUACAUUGAUUUGAUUUUCUUGUUUGGUGGGAUGGGAUUUCCAUGGCAUAUUCUGUCAUCAACCUUGUUCUUUUUGAGGCAAACUGGUCAUGGGAAUCUAAUCUUUUAUUUAACAAUUUGUUGCAAACCACUUUUAAUCAUUUUAUUAUUUUUGCAGCUGGCCAUGCCACAGAAUCUUUUACAGAUUUUGUUGUCGGACAUGGAGAGUUGUGGUCUGCUCAGAUGUUAGCAGCUGUUGUCAGAAAGGUCCGGCAGUUAUAUGCACUUUGUUAUUAGAAAUUUCGCUUGAUUUUAGCUUUUGGAAGUUGCUAUAACUUUUAGAAGCUAUUUGAACUUAUUUUUUCUUGUGCAGAAUGGCAUUGAUUGCAAAUGGAUGGAUACAAGGGAAGUCCUUAUUGUAAAUCCAACUAGCUCUAACCAAGUUGAUCCUGAUUUCUCAGAAUCUGAAAAAAGACUUGAGAAAUGGUUUUCUCAGAGUCCAUCAAAUACAAUAAUUGCAACUGGUUUUAUAGCCAGCACGCCUGAUAAUAUUCCCACAACUUUGAAGAGGGAUGGAAGUGACUUCUCUGCAGCCAUAAUGGGAGCUCUACUCAGGGCUCAUCAAGUCACAAUUUGGACAGAUGUGGAUGGAGUUUACAGUGCUGACCCAAGAAAAGGUUUGCAUAGAGCAUUAUAUGUAUGCCUUCAUUUUCAGAAGAUCCUCAAUAUUCUUGUAUAUUGCAAAUUCAGUACAAUGAAUAGAAUGCUUGCUUGGGAUUUUAAUGGAUCAUAACUUUGAUAUUGUUGUAACUCGAAUUUCUGCAGUUAGUGAAGCUGUGAUACUGAGGACACUGUCUUAUCAAGAAGCCUGGGAAAUGGUGAAUUGACCUCUACUCUUAUGCCUGCCAAAGCUGUGCAGAAUUCAGACUUACAUUUCUUACACUAUAUUCAUGUGUAUUUGCAGUCAUAUUUUGGAGCAAAUGUGUUGCACCCACGAACCAUUAUACCAGUAAUGCGAUAUGACAUUCCAAUUGUGAUACGGAACAUUUUCAAUCUUUCGGCACCUGGAACAAUGAUAUGCCGGCCUCCUGUUGAUGAAAAUGAAGAUGAGCAAAUAAUAGAUUCUCCCGUAAAAGGUUUUGCAACAAUAGACAAUUUGGCUCUCGUAAAUGUUGAGGGGUGAGCUGCCUGUUCCGGUUUCAGCUCUAUUAUUUUUUGGAUUAUAAUUUUUUUUCGAUUUUAAAUCAAUUUUAUCUGCCUGUAUUGCUUCUUUUUAUUUUUAUUUUGGUAGUACUGGAAUGGCUGGUGUUCCCGGCACUGCAAAUGCGAUUUUUGGUGCAGUGAAAGAUGUUGGAGCUAAUGUCAUCAUGAUUUCCCAGGGUAAUUUAUCCUCUGAUUUACGUUCCAGGGACAGUCUUCUUUAAUAAACACAGAUGCUUAGUGACUGAUUAUGGUGUAGGCUAGUAGUGAGCACUCUGUGUGCUUUGCUGUGCCCGAGAAGGAAGUAAAAGCUGUUGCUGAGGCACUGGAGUCUAGAUUUCGUGAAGCUUUAAAUGCUGGACGUCUUUCCCAGGUAUGUUUGUCAUUUUGGUUAUGUGAUUAUACUUGAUAAUCUUACAAAUUUUCAAACUGGAACAAUUUAUACUGACUUUUGUCCUGCGAUUGCUUAUCUGGGCGUCUCUUACUUAAUAUUAUGCACAAGAUUUUGGUUCUAAUUUAGUAAUCUUUUAUUUUAACUUCCUUUUAUCAUCAUUCCUUUGUUUUGUACAAGAAUAGACUAGACUAGACUAGACUUGAUAAAGAUAUCAAGACUCUGGCUGAAUAUAAUUAUUAAGCUUUCACUUCUGUACCACACAGUUUAAAGUAUUAAAUCAUCGGAAAAUUACUGUCUGUUGCAAUAAUUGAGAGCUAAUGCAUUUCAUGUCUCUGUGAUUUAUCAUGGUCCAAAUUAUUAGCUCGCUUUUUGUGCUGUGAGAUCUGUAGUAGAAGCUGCGUUUUCAUAUUUUCCUUUUCCUGUAAUUACAUUAAAGCUCUGAUUUUGCCAAGUUCAAUGCAAAUGUAGUUUUCUGCUUCUAUUUUAUCUCAAGACAAAUCUUCUUAGGUGGCAAUCGUUCCAAACUGUAGCAUUCUAGCAGCAGUUGGCCAGAAAAUGGCGAGUACUCCUGGUGUUAGUGCCACGCUUUUCAAUGCUCUGGCCAAGGUAAAAAUAUCAUCUCUUGAUAAUCCCUUAUUUCUGCUUUGAUCUUAAUUUCUAAUUAUCUGUGUGAUAAGUGUUUGAAGUAUCAAUAAUGCAGGCUAAUAUCAACAUCCGUGCAAUAGCUCAAGGUUGCUCCGAGUACAAUAUUACUGUAGUACUUAAGCGUGAAGAUUGCAUUAGAGCUUUGAGGGCUGUCCACUCGAGGUUUUAUCUUUCAAGAACCACUAUCGCAAUGGGGAUUAUUGGCCCUGGUUUGAUAGGUGCCACAUUACUUGACCAGCUCAGGGAUCAGGUGCAGUAUUAGACAGUUUCCCUUCGUAUUUGGUUUGUAUGAUAACAUCUAUGAAUAAAUCAAUGCUGGAGUUUGAGAAUAUAUGGAGUUCUUAGUCUUGGUCAAUAUGAAUACAGUCAAUAGUUGUAAAUUCUUGGAAAUCUAAUAUCAACAGCGGUAAUACUAUUGAUUUGUGUUAUACUAAAGAAAUCUAUUAUGGACAUUAAUAAAAUAGAUCUGCUAUUUGUAAGUCAAAUUAGGGACAAUUAAUUGACAUGACUAGGCAUGCUGUAGCCAUUAAGCGAGCAUGGGGUUCAUUAAUCUGGUUGCCAUAUUGGUGUCUUUUCUCGAAAUAUAGCAACUGGAGACAAAAAUAUGAAAACGGUUUUCAAACUUUGAAGCAAAAUGUGCUUUUGUUGUUGGUAGUUGAACAAGUUUUGAAAUUUCUGUUUUACUCUGGCAGGCAGCGGUCCUGAAGGAAGAUUUUAACAUUGAUUUGCGGGUCAUGGGAAUCACUGGCUCCAGAACAAUGGUCUUGAGUGAUACGUAAGUUAGAAGCUUUAUUUGAGUAUUCAUGGCUCUUUGAUAUCAUUGCAUCAGAUGGGUUUAAAAAAGACGUGGUAACUCUGCUCUUCCUUCUGAGCUGAGCAUAAACAUAACCAUUAUUCAGACUAACAAAAAUUUGCUCAUAUGAUUAUUUUUCUGUUGGGCGCUCUGUCGGAGUUCAGUAUCCAUCAAUAUGAAGCGAUCAUAAGUUCUAUAACAUAUUAUCUUAUAUUCCUUGUUUCACACCUUGGUAAUGACUAUUUUGUUCUCAAUAAGAAACAAUUAUAUCAGAAAUAGAGGAAUAGAAUGUAAAAUAAAGGGGAUCAGCAGACCAUCCUAUGCUCAGGUGACCAUAUUAAAGAAAAACAAUAUAUCAAGUCAAAGGAAGAAGGAACUCAGCCUUAAAUAACACUUUUCCAGUUCCUAGGAAGACAGAAUACGUCUUCAAAACAGUUCACUGGAGACUAUAAUGAAGUGAAAUUCAUUGUUCUGCUUUUGUAGAAAGUACAAUAAACUGAACUCCAUAGGCCCAUUUUUACCCACAUGCUUUCCAUAGGUUGACACCAACAACUUUAUAUGUUUGGGGCACAUGGUUCACAUAUUAUGUUGAGGUUUUGGGAAAUGAAUGCGCAUAUUCGAGUUGUAUAAUCUGAAUAUCAUGACGAUUUGCUAUUGGGACCUGUCUGUUUGGGCUUCACUAUCAGAGAUUAUUUUGCUUUUCUUUGUUGACUGAAGACAUUAUUCAAUUGUAUUCUUUUUUCCUGCCUUUCCUGUGGUUUUAAUAAAUAUUGUGAAGCUACCCUUUUUUCUCCUUUUAAUAUAUGCUGGGACAGUGGGACUUCUUAAUUUAUGAAUGAGCAUGCUUAUUUCAUUAAUUAUAAGAAUAUUACUUUCGAAUGUAGUCAAAUUUACUGCAACCCUUCGUCUCAUUAGUUAUUCAUUGUAGGGGAAUUGACUUGUCAACAUGGCGAGAGCUUCUAAAGGAGAAAGGAGAAGUGGCUGAUGUGGAGAAAUUUACUCAACUUGUGCAUGGAAAUCAUUUUAUCCCUAAUACAGUUUUGGUAGACUGUACAGCAGACUCUAAUGUUGCCAGCUGUUACCAUGAUUGGUUGCGGAGAGGAAUUCAUGUAAUCACCCCAAACAAAAAAGCAAAUUCCGGACCGCUGGACCAGGUAACGAAAUUCUUUUGUCUUUGGGAUAUGAUCAUUCAUCAUCACCAUCAUCAUUGUCAUAUAGAAGCCUCUUCGGUAGUGUUACUCUUUUGGGGAAAAGUACAACAUUCCAGAUUUUUUAAAAUAAAUUUACACUACAGAUUUACAUCUUGAUGUUUAUUCAUCUGCACUUGCUUCUUUUUUAAUAUCAAUCUCCUGCUGGAGCAUGGUUGAUUUGAUGUCUGUGUGCUACCCAGCCGGAUGAACUGUAUCCUGGUUCACCUAAUAGUUAAUUUAGAAAGGGACAAUUUUACUGUUGAUUUUUUUUUUUUCCUCUGAUCCUUCCGUUGGGAGAUUUGUUAAUGUAGUUCUGCAUAAAUCUAGUAUUUAAAGCUGAGGCCUCUUCAACGGAAAUCCUAUACACAUUACUUCUAUGAAGCAACUGUUGGAGCUGGUCUUCCAAUUAUCAGCACUUUAAGGGGUCUGCUGGAAACCGGGGACCAUAUAUUGCGCAUUGAAGGCAUUUUCAGGUUGGUCAUAUGUAUUGGCUCAUAUUGCAAAAGACCCUCAUGCGGAAAAAAUACGAAAUAUCAAUAUGUUCGUUGUGUACUGAAAUAUUUUUCCUUAAAGUUGACUCAUGCGUCUUCUGACAAGCGUUCACCUGUGUGUUUUGCUGUUGCAGUGGGACUUUGAGUUAUCUUUUUAACAGCUUUGUAGGCACAAGAUCAUUCAGUGAGGUAGUGACAGAGGCGAAAGAAGCAGGUUAUACUGAACCUGAUCCAAGGGAUGAUCUAUCUGGAACAGAUGUUGCCAGAAAGGUACUGUAUGCAGUAAUUGUUUGUUUUGUUAUUCAAAUGAUUACUACAAUUCAGAGUGUCGAAUUAGUUUCUGCAUUCUACCACAGCUGUUAGCAAUUGGUAAAUGCCUAGGAUUUCAUUAAGACAUCUACUCAAUUGCCAUUCUAUAAAUUUGCACAUCAAUGCAUGUGUCAGAUAAGUGACAUAAAGUUGGCAGAUGAGCUUUCUUACCUUUUAAAAAUUCUAUAAUCAGUUAUCGCAGAAUGAUGUUCACAGGCAUGACCAAACAUUUUGAAUUGUCAGAGAAACUGACCACAGUUGAUGCUUCCAUAUUUGUUUGUGGUUUAUUCCUGUGUCUGAAUGCUGAAUUUAAUUCGAUGAGAAUCAGACUGAAAAAAACUUUCUUUCUGCAGGU